UUUUUUUUUGUAGUGGUGUCAUGCACCAGAUUAGAGUGCGGAAUGGAAGGGGCAUCACCCCAGACGUAGCGCCAGUAAUUCAUGGCUAUAGUGAGUAGUCAUAUCACAAGUCUUUCUAGCAGUAACGCGCCGUCAAAUCGCAUAGCCCGACCUUUCCAGCAGUAAGUUUGAGUCUGCCACUCCCUCACCCUCCUCGCCUCUCUGUCAAACCGCCUACUCGAAAACUGUCGUGCGUACUGCCCAGGAAAAGCCCCGCCUUCAACUUUUAACUACGCAAAAAUAGUUCGAGCUUGUUCGUUCUAUAUAAAUACUUACUAUAUAUUUAUUCACCCGUGGAUGAAUGGAGGGCCUGGGACCACAAGUGAACAAUACUAGUACUACUAGUAGUAAGUAGGAGUCGUACAAUUAGUCACCUUAUAGAGAGUUUCUUUUCUUUAAUGACACGUACACAAAUUGAAACCCUUGUUGUGGAGAGAAAAAGAUAAUCACUCCACUAUAUAUGUACGCAGGGGCCUGAGCGCUUGAUUUACUAGGGUUGCUCUCUUCAUUCUCUCAUCCUCUCCAGAUCUAAACAAGACAGCUGGUGGCAACAUUUUCUCUCUGCUCACCGCUGGUCACAGAUCCGGCCGGAUCCCUUCGGCUGGUGUGUGUAGAGGACUAAAAGGUGCAUCGUUCGCGCUGUCAACGCUGCCGAGGGAGGAAACCCAUAGCUGCCGGUGGGGCCUGAUCAUCUGCCUGUGCCAUUCUCUCUGACACAGUGCCAGCUCGGGAGGUCCUCCGACCCUUCUUCCUCCCUGCCGUAUUGUGCGCAGAUCAGACCUGCCGCCGCUGACAUCCCGACCAACCUCAGGUACAAGUUCUUCGAAAGCGGCCUUGCUCUACUGCCCCAGCUCCCAACGUGAUUGCAUGUGCAUCUUUUUCUACUUUAAUGAGAUCUUCCAAAUCCAGCUAAAUUUUUAGUAUUAUUAGAGGUAAAGCUACUUCAUGCAUUCGAAUCUAGGACUUGGUUCAAACAACGAAGAAAGGGGGGAAAUCGUAGCAUGAAUCUAGGACUUUAUUCAAAGAGGAAAUAACAGGGGGAAAGUAGUAGAGACUGGAUACCCAACCGGUCUCUAGGUUGAAAAGGGAAAUAAUGGGAAAACUUAAUACAAACUGGAUAAGGAAUAGAUCUAUUAUUUGUUGAAAAAAGGAUAGAAAGUGGCGGCUGGUGGACAAGUCAACAGAGUAUAUCUAGGAUUAGAUUUGCUGCCCUCACAUGGUAAAAGGUCUCCAGGAUUAGAUUUGCUGCCCUCACAUAGUAAAAGGUCUCCAGGAUUUGAUUUGCUUCCCUCACAUAGGAAAAGUUCUCCAGGAUUAGAUUUGCUGCCCUCACAUAGGAAAAGUUCUCCAGGAUUAGAUAUGAUGCCCUCACAGAGCAUGAAAAAACUCGGCAUCACCACUUUAUGCCUCCUUGUAGGUACAUUAUGCUGAUGCAUCCACUGUCGCAUGUCCUUAUACCAAUGUUUUUCUAUUGUUAAUGUAAGGGCAUAUGUGAAAUGAAGCGAUCACACUGUUACAUUAAGGACUUGUCUAACCAGUGUUAUUGUUAAUCUAAUGCCUCCAGUGAUAUGAUGCAAUUAAACUAUGUUAACAAAUUGUACUCCUUCUAUUUUCCCAGUAUGACAAGUAAGUUGCUUCUUUACGCUGCCGAGUGAUCUGGUGUCCCCACUGUCCCAUGCCCUUAAACCAACUCUUUAGCUACUGUUGAUUUACUGUAUCUAGUAAACAAGCAAUGCCACCAUUAAAGUAAUCCCAUAUUUGAGGAAUGUCAUAGUUGAUCGUAUUGCUUCCGGUAACAUGAAGCAUUGCUAAUGUUUUAUAAUUUCUAUUGUCCUUGCGUGAUUGCCAUGAACAUAAUUAAUAUGCUUCCUUUCAUUUUGUGUAUGUUUCAUAUAUUCUUAUUGACCAGCAACCGUUUACUUUCUAUCUUUUUGUGCAGAUAGGGAUAUCCAUUUCACCUAUUGCUAUUAUGACCUUUUGGUGAACUGCACAAAACACUUUCUUUUGGAAUGAGUGUCUUGUGCAGUUCAACUAAAAUGUCACGUGAGCAACAUCUCUCAAUUUUGGUGGAAUUGCACAAAAUGGUGAUUAGAGUUUCCAAAAUCUCUAUCAAAUUCUACUGGUAAUCUCAUGCAACAUUUUAUUAGCUUUUGCAAGAUGAGCCGUCGCUGUCACCACAAUGGCACUUUAUUUUAGUGGCAUUGCACAAAAGGAUAAGCAAAUUAUUGUUGCACCUUACCUCAGCAGGACAACCAACCUCAAUGUUGCUGAAGUUUAGUGCAACUACUAAAGAAGAACCUGCCAGCUCAUGAGAGCAAGUACUUCUUGCUAGCUGAAUGAUGCAAUCUUUGCGUCAUUUCAGGUGAACUGCAGAAAAAGGUGCAUGAAUUGAAUCAUGGAUCUGCAGGUUGACCUCAUCCGAGUGGAGUUGCAGGUUUACCACAUCGAGUCAUGGCGGUAUAGGGCCCCUCACACCGGUUGCUUCAACUAGUGCCACUAUUAUAGUAAUCAUGCUCUUUCUUAUCUAUGCAAAUAGGAAUACUCUACUACAUACGUUGUGAUGGUCAAGAGCAUUCGCCAAGUUCUUGGGUUGUAUGACAUGACUAGCCAAGAUGGAUUUAAUCCCGAUAUUCACUUUAUCAAAAGGCUCUAAUGGGUUGAUUCUGAAUCUUGCAAGCUAGGAAUCAAUGAGAUGUGUAGGCAUCUUUGUUGUACUUAUUAUUUGAAUCUUAUUUGUUGGUUCUGAAUCUUGGAAGUUGGGAAUCAAUGAGAUGUGUAGGCAUCUUUGUUGUACUUAUUAUUUGAAUCUUAUUUGUUGGUUCUGAAUCUUGCAAGCUAGGAAACACGGCAUGAUGAUGCAGAGGACAGCAACCAUAACAAACUGUUCAAACUUGGUAGUAUUUUCUGUGUGAAAGUGCGGCAAAUGUGCUGAUCAUGUGCGUCCUUAGAAUAAUAAUUCUAAUUGUUGUGCAUGUUGAUCCUGUGGCACUGAUAGAACGAGCCAAUGCAUUGCUUGUUUUAAGAAUAAAUUUUAAUUAAAGCUAAUUAAAUUUAAGUAAAGUGACCACUAACACUUGUUAUUACAGUACCAAUACAGACACACUCGUGAACCAACGUAUGUGGCCGGAAUAGGUUUCUUAAUGGAGGCGUUUGAAUGCGCCGAGGGUGCAUAUUCUGUCAGGCGUGCAGCGGGCGAAGGAGGGGUAGUAACUGUUGUCGCCAAUACACACUUAGUUUACUGUUGAAUCGAGUUCCCCAAGAGCUAAAAAACGAACUGUUGUUGCCGCCUACUCACGCGUUCACUUGAAGAGACUCCAAUGGAAAUCGAAGGGGUGAGCCUGCUGGAUAUGGAAUUUAGCAAGGAGUUCACCUUUGAGUUCUCCGUUCAGUCCCAUGGCAGCACCAAGUUGAAUGUGAUGUACACCAAUGAUCCGGACUCGGUGAAGCUCUGCCUCGCCGAGUUCAAGCAGUACCUACAGGAUGAGAAAGCACAAGGUCGCAGGACUAGACCUUGUGCCCAUCCAUUCAUCUCCUAACAGGGACCAGCGGAUCGCGGUCGCCCAGGUAUGCAUGUGAGACGAGGUUCUCGUCUACCACUGCUGUAGGGCCAUCCGAGGUUCUGGAGGAUUCGCUCGUUUCAUCGGCAGCGCCGACUACACCUUCGGUACGGUGGAGAGAAGGAAGAACGCGACAAUUCAGCCAUCUGGUGCAAUAAGCUUGUCGACAUCCAGAAGCAAUACAAGAUCAUUGGCAAUGGGUAGGAGAAGGACUCCAUGGUUGACCUCGCUAAGACCAUCAUGAACCCCUGCUACGCCAACAUGAAAGAAGACAAUGAUACCAAGGAGCUCCACCGGCCACACUGCAUCCGAACAAGUCAACCCUCGUACUCCCCUCCGCCUGCGUCUUCCCCCGCUCCGGUUCGUUCGGUCCAUGGUCUCGAUGUCGUCCUCCGCCUUGGUGCUCUCACCGCGGCGCCGCCGUCUAUCAUUCCCAACAUGGUCAGCAAAACAAGAGGAAUCGGGAGACAACUGUUCGUCGAGAGGCUGACAGUCCCGAGCCCAUCAGGUCCAUGGCCUAGGUUUUGUUGUUUAACAUGGCAGCCCACAACAUGUUUCAACGUUUUUUGGAUCAAGCGGCCUCUGGGCCUCCCAACCUAGCUUGUCUAUAACAUCAGUAGCCCAAGUUAUCUUUGUUUUUUCAAUACGACGCACAACUCAGUUCUAUUUUUCUAUAAGAAUGCAAAACGGAACCUAUAUUUUCCCUUCAAUAAUAGUAUAUAUAUAUAUACAUCUUAUUUUAUCACAUAUAUAUAUAAUAUAUAAACAACAUAAGGUUCCGUUAAACCUGUCGUUCGUCCAACCAUUUUAUAGACCUUCCCACUUCCUUUAUUUUUUGUUUUCAUUAAUCCUAUAUCUGAAUUUUCUUCCACUUUCUUUUUCGAUGUAAACUGAAUUUUCUCUUAGUACUUUUCCCUAGAACCAACUCAAUUGUCCCACGUCUAGCCUAAAAUAUAAUAAUACCCCACGUCCUAUUAACUCAUCAAAUUAAAAUGAUAUUUUAUUUCGUAAAUUGAAAGUUCUUACAAAAUAAUAAUAAUAAUUGUUUAUAUAUAACUUGGAAAGCUAACUCCUAGUGAUUGCGUACAUAAGCUUGCAAAGAUUUUACUGACCAAUGCAGUAAUAGACGUGCAAUCAUGUGUUUAUGUUUUUAUAACAUUUCUCCAUCCAGCCCAACAUGAUAUUUUCACCCAGCCCAGCAAGUCCGCGGAUUUCGAGAAAAAUGCAAAUGGGCUUUAAAUUCUAAUAUAUAUAUAUAUAUAUAUAUAUAUAUAUAUAUAUAUAUAUAUAUAUAUAUAUAUAUAAACGGGUUGCAUAGAUGCUACAUCAUUGUUUCAUCCAGCCCACCAAAUGGACUGGCUGACAUGUGGGCCAGUAGGUCAAAGCCUAAGCAACGCGUUGGAUUUACAUCUAACGGUCGGCAUUCUUCUUCAAUCUCUCGUCUUCUUCCCCCAGCGCUGCCGGGAUCGCCUGCUCCAGCCUCCGGCGUCCGACGGUGUUGUUUUGCACGCCUCACAGUGAAAAGCUACCCCGCCGACGGCCAGGCCAUCCCUCCACUCCACACCCGCUGUUAUUCUCUGCCGAGUGUAGGCCCACCCCACACCUGAACCAGUCAAGUUUCCCACUCCUCUGCGUCUUUGAAUCCACUAACGCGGCUUCCCCAUCUCCGGGUCAUUCUAGUCUGGGGCCUCACCGUCGUCCACUGCCUCGCUGCGCUCGGCGCGGCAUGGUCAACAAACGAGAAUCCUCGGAAGAGGACUGUACGUGAGAGCUUGACGGCUAGGACCCAUGAGGUCCAUGGUCGCACGCAAGGAAAGUUCAUCCUUAUUAAGUUGUUUCCUCCCCCUGACAGCUGGGACCUGAGGGAGUCCUGGAUAAGGGGGUAUUCAGACAGCUGGACUAUAUGCUUUGGCUGGACUGUUGGACUAUGAAGAUACAAGAUUGAAGACUUCGUCAUGUGUCCAGAUGGGACUCUCCUUUGCGUGGAAGGCAAGCUUGGCGAUUCGGAUGUUAGAUCUCCUUCUUUGUAACCGACUCUGUGUAAUCCUAGCCCCCUCCGGUGUCUAUAUAAACCGGAGGGUUUAGUCCGUAGGAUAACAACAAUCAUAAUCAUAGGCUAGCUUCUAGGGUUUAGCCUCUAUGAUCUUGUGGUAGAUCAACUCUUGUAAUACUCAUAUCAUCAAGAUCAAUCAAGUAGGAAGUAGGGUAUUACCUCCAUCGAGAGGGCCCGAACCUGGGUAAACAUCGUGUCCCCAGCCUCCAGUUACCAUUAGCCUUAGACGCACAGUUCGGGACCCCCUACCCGAGAUCCGCCAGUUUUGACACCGACAGGACCCACCGGCUAUAUCUUCGCAUGGAAGGAAGUGCCUCCUUGUUAUGCGAAAAAACUAUUCCUCCCAAUGACAGCUCGGACCCGGCAGAUUUGGUAGCUAACUUGUGGGCCUACUAAGCAGACGUGUACGCAGGGCUUUGUCAACUUAAGCAACAAAUGAUUCUAGCAGCCGGACCGUUGGAUGUUAAUCCAACAGUCGUGCUCCUUCUUCAACCUCUGUUCUUGCUCCUGUCUCCCGUGGGUGGCAGUGCUACCGCACACCCAAACAAGUCAAGUUUCCCACUCCUCUCCAUCUGUGAUUCCAUUGUCCCAUCUUCCCCAUCUCCGGGUCAUUCCAGUUUGGGGCCUCUCCGUCAUCCACCGGCCUUGGUGCGCUCGGCAUGGUGUGGUCAACAUGGUCAACAAACGAGAGUCAUCGGAAGCCUCACACCGCAGACGAACCAGUGAGCCCUCGUACUCCUCUCCAUGCGGGCUUCCACUGCCGCGUCUUCCCCGGAUCCGUGUUGUACCCUUCCUAGGCCUCACUGUCGUCCACCGCCCUGGUGCUCUCGGCGCGGCAUGGUCAGUGUGGUCAAGGAAUGACUUCCAUCGGAAGAGUACUGUACAUAGAGAGGCUGAUAGCUGGGUCCACGGCAGCCGCAAGGAAGUGCCUCCUUAUUACGCGCAAAAUAAUUAUUCCUCCACCUGACAGCAGGGACCCACCGGACGGGCCACCGUAUUUCAUGAAAAAAACAUUUCCGCCUGACUGCUGGGACCCACCAGCUACAUCUUCGCACGCAAGGAAGUGCGUCCAUAUUAUGGGCAAAAAAUGAUUCGCCCCCUGACUGCUAGGACCCACCAGCUACAUCUUCGCACUCAAGGAAGUGCCUGACAAUCGGGACCCACCUCGUCGAAGCAUACGUAGUGUUGACAUUCUAGUUGCGAACGUGUACGUACAUAGUGGUCGAUGUAGACGCGCACGUGUCGUAGUAGAGGUGCACACGUAGCAUGUACAUGUACGUACAGCGGCCAGGGUGCAAGAAAGUAAAUACGGCCACGUACGGGGUCUCGAACGCCUACUCGCACAUACGUAUGGCCAGGGCUCAUGUACAUGGUUGGGUCGGAACGGAGAAACUGCGUCGUCGUCGUGUUCAUGGGGAGCCAACCGGCUGGGUCGGAACGGAAUGCGUCGUCAUGUUCAUUGGGACGGCUUGGACGGAAUAACCGAUGGAAACGAGGCCUGGCGUACCACACAACGGAGGAAACGGCCUUAUGUUCGACCGGCCAUGGUCGAAAUGGGGUCUUGUUCAUCGGGAGGGGUCUGGCGUACCGCAAAAUGGAGGAAUCGGACUUCUGCUGGACCUCCUACGGUCGAAACAGAGUCCUGUUGAUCGGGAGGGGUGUGGCGUACCACAAAACGGAGGAAACGGACUUGUGUUGGAGCGCUACGGUCGAAACGGUGGUCCUGUUCAUCGGGAGGGGUGUGGCGUACCGCAAAAUAGGACACCAUGGGAUACUGUUCGUCUCCACCAUCGACCUACUCCAGCCUCCACGGGCUACUGUUCAUCCACCGUAGACCUCCUCCAGCCUCCACAUGCGACUGUUCAUCCAGCCUCCACCGUGCGCUACUCCACCGGCUACUGUUCAACCAUCCCUCUCCACGGGGUCCUGUUCAACCACCCCUCCACGGGCUACUGUUCAUCCAGCCCUCCACCAGCUACUGUUCAACCAGCCCUCCACGGGGUCGUCCUGUUCAUCCAUCCCUCCAUGGGGUCGUGUUCAUCUAUCCCCAACCGGCUCGAUCGGGGUCCUGUUCAUCCAGAGGCAACACCAUGGGGUCCUGUUCAUCCACCCCCACUGGGAACUGUUCAUCCAAACCCCCCAGCAAUGCUCACUGUUCAUCCAGGGUCAGCAUCGAUGGGCUUCAGUUAGCAGCAGUGGCGAAGGAAUUGCUCGAUCGCUCGGGUUCAGUAACGCGUAGCCUGCAGUGCAAUCGCUCGGGUUCAGUUAGGCGAACGCCUCGCUCGGGUUCAGUUAGAGCCCAAUGCCUCGCACCCAUGCGCGUACAUGUACAAGAAACGUGCAUCGCUCGGCCCCCGACCACCCACCAUAACCGGUAACUCGCCGAUAUUUUCCUCACCCUCGCUUCUACCAUGGUUUUUUCCGUCAUGGACGGCCCAAAGAUUGUCAUGCAGCUGCGUCUCCGGCCCGCCCAGGACGAAAAGCCCAUUUUCUGUCAUGAUUUUUUGUCAUAGAAGUAGGAGCUCACCACAUCUAUGAUGAUACCGGGUUUUGUCACAAUUAUCGUCAUAGUGUCAUAAGUAUGACAGGAAAAAAAUUCGUUCGGCCCAAAGUGUCACGGGUGUGUCUUUUUUUUUGUAGUGUCAACUACUAUUCCUUCUCCGGAUAUAACAUGUCCGAGAAAUCCGACUUCCUUUAACCAAAAACUGACAUUUCCUGAACUUGGCAUACAACUAAUGUUCUCUGAGCUUCUCAAGAACCAAACGCAAAUGCUCCUUAUCCUCUUCUUGAAGGAAAUAUGCCCUAGAGGGAAUAAUAAAGUGAUGUGAAUAUUGGUGUUAAAUCACAUGGUGAUGUGAACUAGAUUAUUGACUCUAGUGCAAGUGGGAGACUGAAGGAAAUAUGCCCUAGAGGCAAUAAUAAAUUUAUUAGUCAUUUCCUUAAUUCAUGAUAAAUGUUUAUUAUUCAUGCUAGAAUUGUAUUAACCGGAAACUUAGUACAUGUGUGAAUACAUAGACAAAACUUAUAGUCCCUAGUAUGCCUCUACUUGACUAGCUCGUUAAUCAAAGAUGGUUAUGUUUCCUAACCAUAGACAUGUGUUGUCAUUUGAUGAAUGGUAUCACAUCAUUAGGAUAAUGAUGUGAUGGACAUGACCCAUCCGUUAGCUUAGCAUUAUCAUCGUGUUAGUUUCAUUGCUACUGCUUUCUUCAUGACUUAUACAAGUUCCUCAUACUAUGAGAUUAUGCAACUCCCUAAUACCGGAGGAACACUUUGUGUGCUACCAAAUGUCACAACAUAAAAGGGUGAUUAUAAAGGUUAGGAUCUGUCACUCCGUGUUUCGGAGAGGUAUCUCUGGACCCUCUCGGUAAUACUCAUCACUGUAAGCCUUGCAAGCAUUGUAACUAAUGAGCUAGUUGCGGGAUGAAGUAUUACGGAACGAGUAAAGAGACUUGCUAGUAACGAGAUUGAACUAGUUAUAAUGAUACCAAUUAUCGAAUCUCGGGCAAGUAACAUAUCGAUGACAAAGGGAACAACGUAUGUUGUUAUGCGGUUUGACCGAUAAAGAUCUUCGUAGAAUAUGUAGGAACCAAUAUGAUCAUCCAGGUUCCGCUAUUGGUUAUUGACCAGAGACGUGUCUCGGUCAUGUCUACAUAGUUCUCGAACCCGUAGGGUCUGCACACUUAACGUUUGAUGACGAUUAGUAUUAUGAGUUUAUGUGAUAUGUUGUACCGAGGAUUGUUAGGAGUCCUCGAUGUGAACACGGACAUGACGAGGAGUCUAGAAAUGGUCGAGACAUAAAGAUUGAUAUAUUGGAAGCCUAUGUUUGGACAUCGGCAUGGUUCCGGAUAAGUUCGGGCAUAUACUGGAGUACCGGGAGGUUAGCGGAACCCCUCGAGAAGUAUAUGGGCCUUAUUGGGCCAUAGUGGGAGAGAGGAGAAGGGAACCUAGGAGGGCAACCCCCCCCCCCGCCCCCAAGCCCAAUCCUAAUUGGGUAGGGGCCGGCCCCCCCUUUCCUUCCUCCUUCCUCCCUCGUCCUUCCUCUCCUAGUCCAACUAGGGAAUGGGGGGUAUCCUACUCCCGGUGGGAGUAGGACUCCUCCAGGGCGCGCCAUAGAGGGCCGGCCCUCCCCCCUCCUCCACUCCUUUAUAUACGGGGGAGGGGCACCCCAUAGACACACAAGUUGACAUUGUUUAGCUGUGUGCGGUGCCCCCCUCCACAAUUACACAUCUCGGUCAUAUCGUCAUAGUUCUUAGGCGAAGCCCUGCACCGGUAACUUCAUCAUCAUUGUCACCACGCCAUCAUGCUGAUGAAACUCUCCCUCGGCCUCACCUGGAUCAAGAGUACCAGGGACGUCUCUGAGCUGAGCGUGUGCUGAAUGCGGAGGCGUCGUAUGUUCGGUGCUUGGAUCAGUUGGAUCGUGCAUUCGACUACAUCAACCGCAUUAACUAAACGCUUCCGCUUUCGGUCUACGAGGGUACGUGGACACACUCUCCCCUCUCGUUGCUAUGCAUCACAUAGAUAGAUCUUGAGUUAUCAUAGGAAAUUUUUUGAAAUUACCGCGUUCCUCAACAGUGGCAUCCGAGCCAGGUCUAUGCGUAGAUGUUAUAUGCACGAGUAGAACACAAAGAGUUGUGGGCGAUAAUAGUCAUACUGCUUACCAGCAUGUCAUACUUUGAUUUGCGGGUAUUCUUGGAUGAAGCAGCUCAGACCAACAUUACGCAUACGCUUACGCGAGACUGGUUCUACCGACGUGCUUUGCACAUAGGUGGCUGGUGAGUGUUUGUUUCUCCAACUUUAGUUGAAUCGAGUGUGGCUACGCCCAGUCCUUGUUGAAGGUUAAAACAGCACACUUGACGAAAAAUCAUUGUGGUUUUGAUGCAUAGGUAAGAACGGUUCUUGCUAGAAGCCCGUAGCAGCCACGUAAAACUUGCAACAACAAAGUAGAGGACGUCUAACUUGUUUUUGCAGGGCUUGCUGUGAUAUGAUAUGGUCAAGCAUGAUGUGAUAUAAAUUGUUGUAUGAGAUGAUCAUGUUUUUUGACAAAGUUAUCGGCAACUGGUAGGAGCCAUAUGGUUGUCGCUUUAUUGUAUGCAAUGCAAUCGCCAUGUAAUUGUUUUACUUUAUCACUAAGCGGUAGCGAUAGUCGUAGUAACAAUAGAUGGCGAAACGACAAUGAUGCUACGAUGGAGAUCAAGGUGUCGCGCGGGUGACGUUGGAGAUCAUGACGAUGCUUCGGUGAUGGAGAUCAUGAGCACAAGAUGAUGAUGGCCAUAUCAUGUCACAUAUUUUUAUUGGAUGUGAUGUUUAUCCUUUAUGCAUCUUAUUUUGCUUAGAACGUCGGUACCAUUAUAAGAUGAUCCCUUACUAAAUUUCAAGGUACAAGUGUUCUCCCUGAGUAUGCACCGUUGCUACAGUUCGUCAUGCCGAGACACCCCAUGUUGAUCGGGUGUGAUAAGCUCUACAUUCACAUACAACGGGUGCCAGCCAAUUUUGCACAUGCAGAAUACUCGGGUUAAACUUGACGAGCCUAGCAUAUGCAGAUAUGGCCUCAGAACACUGGAGACCGAAAGGUUGAGCGUGAAUCAUAUAGUAGAUAUGAUCAACAUAGUGAUGUUCACCAUUGAAAACUACUCCAUCUCACGUGAUGAUCGGACAUGGUUUAGUUGAUUUGGAUCAUGUAAUCAUUUAGAUGACUAGAGGGAUGUCUAUCUAAGUAGGAGUUCUUAAGUAAUAUGAUUAAUUGAACUUUAACUUAUCAUUAACUUCUGGUAGUAUUUUGCAAAUUAUGUUGUAGAUCAAUAGCUCACGUUAUAGCUUCCCUAUGUUUUUUAUAUGUUCUAGAGAAAACUAAGUCGAAAGAUGAUAGUAGCAAUGAUGCGGACUUGGUUCAUGAUCUGAGGUUUAUCCUCAUUACUGCACAGAAGAAUUAUGUCCUUGAUGCACCACUAGGUGACAAACCUACUGCACGAGCAGAUGCACACGUUUGGCUAGCUCAAUAUGAUGACUACUUGAUAGUUUAGUGCACCAUGCUUUACGGCUUAGAACUGGGAGUUCAAAAACGUUUUUUGAAACGUCAUGGAGCAUAUGAGAUGUUCCAAGAGCUGAAAUUGGUAUUUCAGACUCAUGCCCGUGUCAAGAGGUAUGAGACCUCUGACAAAUACUUCGCCUAAAAUAUGGAGGAGAAUUGCUCAACUAGUGAGCAAGUGCUUAGAUUGUCUGGGUACUACAAUCGCUUGAAUCAAGUGGGAGUUAAUCUAACAGAUAAGAUAGUGAUUGACAAAGUUCUCUAGUCACCAUCACCAAGUUACUGGAACUUCGUGAUGAACUAUAGUAUGCAAGGGAUGACGCAAAUGAUUCCCGAGCUCUUCGUGAUGCUGAAAUCGACGAAGGUAGAAAUCAAGAAAGAACAUCAAGUAUUGAUGAUUGACAAGACCACUAGUUUUAAGAAAAGGGCAAAGGGAAAGAAAGGGAACUUCAAGUAGAAUUGCAAGCAAAUUGUCACACCCGUGAAGAAGCCCAAAGCUAGAUCAAAGCCUGAAACUGAGUGUUUCUACUGCAAAAGGAAAUGGUCACUGGAAGUGGAACUGCCCCAAAUAUUUGGCGGAUAAGUAGGAUGGUGAUGACCCACAAGUGUAGGGGAUCUAUCAUAGUCCUUUUGAUAAGUAAGAGUGUCGAACCAAACAAGGAGCAGAAGGAAAUGACAAGCGGAUUUCAAUAAGGUAUUCUCUGCAAGCACUGAAAUUGUAAGUAACAGAUAGUUUUGUGAUAAGAUAAUUUGUAACGGGUAACAAGCAAUGAAAGUAAAUAAGGUGCAGCAAGGUGGCCCAAUCCUUUUUGUAGCAAAGGACAAGCCUGGACAAGUUCUUAUAUGAGAAAAGCGCUCCCGAGGACACAUGGGAAUUAUCGUCAAGCUAGUUUUCAUCACGCUCAUAUGAUUCGCAUUCGUUACUUUGAUAAUUUGAUAUGUGGGUGGACCGGUGCUUGGGUACUGACCUUUCUUGGACAAGUAUCCCACUUAUGAUUAACCCCUAUUGCCAGCAUCCGCAACUACAAAAGAAGUAUUAAGGUACUAACCAUAUCAUGAAACAUGUGGAUCCAAAUCAGCCCCUUACGAAGCAACGCAUAAACUAGGGUUUAAGCUUCUGUCACUCUAGCAACCCAUCAUCUACUUAUUACUUCCCAAUGCCUUCCUCUAGGCUGAAACAAUGGUUAACUUUCAUGUAGUCGACAUUCACAUAACACCACUAGAGGAUAGACAACAUACAUCUUAUCAAAAUAUCGAACGAAUACCAAAUUCACAUGACUACUUAUAGCAAGACUUCUCCCAUGUCCUCAGGAACAAACUUACUACUCACAAAUCAUAUUCAUGUUCAUAAUAAAGGGGUAUUGAUAUGCAUUAAGGAUCUGAACAUAUGAUCUUCCACCAAAUAAACCAACUAGCAUCAACUACAAGGAGUAAUCAACACUACUAGCAACCCACAGGUACCAAUAUGAGGUUUUGGUACAAAGAUUGGAUACAAGAGAUGGACUAGGGUUUGAGAGGAGAUGGUGCUGGUGAAGAUGUUGAUGGAGAUUGACCUGGCGGACGAGCAUGACCUGGACCACGUUGACAAGCUUGAUCUUCUUGUCUCUCAUAUUUUUGAUGCAGAUCUGGAGUCCGGUCAGCUCCACAGGUACGCCCCAGGCCAGGCCCUUCUUUUCCCAGGAGGUGAUCUGCACGGGGAUGCCGGAUCGGAAUUCGGGGGCCGCCGCCCAGUUGGCGUCGCGCGGUUCGGUGAUGUAAAACCACCCCGAUUGCCACCCCUUCACGGUGUCCACGAAGGAGCCUUUGAUCCAGGUAACGUUGGGCAUCUUGCCACCAUGGCACCUCCGCACUCCGCUUGCUGGCUGCUCACUAUCUUCGGUUUCACGCUGAAGAUUUGUAGCCACAGGCCAAAGUGGGGCUUGAUGCGGAGGAAGGCCUCGCACACGACGAUAAACGCUGAGAUGUUGAGGACGAAAUUUGGGGCUAGAUCAUGAAAAUCUAGCCCAUAGUAAAACAUGAGCCCGCGGACAAAUGGGUGAAGUGAGAAUCCCAGUCCGCGGACGAAAUGAGAGAGGAACACUACUCUUUCCCGAGAUUUUGGAGUUGGAGUGAUCUUCCGCUUCGCCGUAAGCCGGUGCGUGAUGUUUGCGGCCAGGUAUUCGGACUCCCGAAGCUUGGUAAUGUACUCCUCCGUAACGGAGGAGGCCAUCCACUUGCCUCCCGCUCUGGACAUGUUGCGAAUGGUCUUACGGAGAAGGUGGGAACUUGGGCGCUGGAGCUCGACGGUGCGAGAAUGGAUGAGUAAAGGAGGAAGAAGGCGUGGGUGAAAACGGGGAAUCCUUAUCUCUUUAUAAAGGCGGUAGAAACUGUGCGCCUCCCCACUUGCCUGUCAAAAUCACUCAUUUUCCAAGCAUCAUGAUUUAUGGCACGGUUGGGUUACCCAUACCCGUAUUGAUGAGAAUCCCGUGAUGAGGGUACAUGAUCUCUACUUCGACAAGACGUGCCAAGGAAACCGCCUCGCAAUAUGUGCGGUGGCUGGUUGGGAGAAAACGGUUCGAAUAAUGAUCGGGCCAUGGUGUGAUGUCACGCUAUGUAAAGUUGUCAGCAAAUUAGAUUUGUGGAAUAUUGUUCUCUCUACGGUGGUAUGUGAACUUUGUUUUGCAGAGCCGAACACGAUUUAAGUGUUCGAAAUUUUUUCUGGAGUACUCGGAGAUGGAACCCGCCUUGCAAUGCCGAAGACAAUCUGCGUGCCGGACUCAUCGUCAUUGAAGCCUGGUUCAGGGGCUACUGAGGGAGUCCUAGAUUAGGGGGUAUCCGGACUGCCGGACUAUAUACUUUGGCUGGACUGUUGGACUAUGAAGAUACAAGAUUGAAGACUUCGUCCCGUGUCCGGAUGGGACUCUCCUUUGCGUGGAAGGCAAGCUUGGCGAUUCGGAUGUUAGAUCUCCUUCUCUGUAACCGACUCCGUGUAACCCUAGCCCCUUCCGGUGUCUAUAUAAACCGGAGGGUUUAGUCCAUAGGAAAAGAAGAACAAUCAUAAUCAUAGGCUAGCUUCUAGGGUUUAGCCUCUAUGAUCUCGUGGUAGAUCAACUCUUUUAAUACUCAUAUCAUCAAGAUCAAUCAAGCAGGAAGUAGGGUAUUACCUCCAUCGAGAGGGCGCGAACCUGGGUAAACAUCGUGUCCCUAGCCUCCUGUUACCAUUAGUCUUAGACGCACAGUUCGGGACCCCCUACCCGAGAUCCGCUGGUUUUGACACCGACAUUGUUGCUUUCAUUGAGAGUUCCUCUGUGUCGUCAUUGCAAGGCUUGAUGGCUCCUUCAAUCAUCAGCAAUAAUACGGUCCAGGGUGAGACUUUUCUCCCCGGACGGAUCUUCGUAUUCGGUGGCUUCACACUUCGGGCCAAUUUGUUUGGCCAUCUGGAGCAGAUCCAUAGCUACGCCCCCGGCCAUCAGGUCAGGUUCGGAAACCUAAUCUACACAGCCGACAUCCGUGGAGACCUGAUAUUCGAUGGAUUUGGUCGCGCGUCAGGAGCGCCGAAUGAUCACGACGAGCAUGACUUAGAUCUGCCAUCGAACAGUAUUCGGAAUAUCGCACCUGCUACCGCUCCGGACUUCAAUCUGGAGCAGGUUGUGUCAUCUGAGGACGGGUGGAUGGACCCCGCCACGGAGGCCGCACACUCAUUGGCGUUGGAGCCGAACACAGACUCCACCUCUAAGGAAAUCUAUGUCACUGGACCCCUAGACUUGUCUCUGGCCGUAGGUUCCAGACCGCGUGCAUCCGUGCCCAUCGAAUCCGAUUGGGCCCCGAUCAUGGCGUUCACCGCCGCGGAUAUCUUUCAGCACUCGCCCUUCGGUGACAUGCUAAAUUCAUUAAGGUCUCUCUCUUUUUCAGGAGACUCUUGUCCGAACUAUGUCCGGCUCAAGUGGGAAGCAGAUGAUGAAGGAAUUCGUUACCCACCCUCCACCCACUUAAUUACCACUAUCAAUGACUUAACCGACGUGCUCGACUUCGACUCUCAAGACAUCGAUGGUAUGGACGACGAUGCAGGAGAAGAACAGGAACCACCGCCCACAGGGCGCUGGACAGCCACCUCCUCAUAUGAUAUAUAUAUAUAUAUAUAUAUGGUAGACACCCCCAAAGAAAACAAUGGCGAUGAGGCAACAGAAGAUAACCACUUAGGGAAGCAAUCAAAGCAUGGGCGUCAUCGGCGCCGCUCUAAGCCCGGCCAUAGCAACACUGGCACAGGAGAGGAUAACAAUCCAGAUGGUGCCGAAGAUGAAUACAAUCCCGAUCAGCCUAAUUUCGAGCAGGCCGAACAGGAGGACGGGCAAGCUAGCCCAGACGAACAGGCGAUGGACAGAGACUUGGAGGAUGACAACUAUAUGCCUCUCUCCAAAGACAAGGUGAGACUCGGCAAUGAUGAAUUUGUCGUGCCUGAGGAUCCCGUCGAGCAGGAGCGCGUUAAGCACCGGCUUGUAGCCACUGCAAGAAGCCUAAAGAAGAAGAAGCAGCAGCUCCAGGCUGAUCAAGAUCUGCUCACAGACAGAUGGACUAAGGUCCUGGCAGCCGAGGAAUACGGACUCGAGCGCCCAACCAAAGGUUACCCAAAGCACAAGUUGCUACCUCAACUCGAGGAGGAGGCCCUAUAGCCUACACUACUAGCACAGGACGAGGCUGACCGGCCACCUCGUGGCCGAGACAAAGCGGCGUAUCAGCCCGAAUACCACCCCGCACCCCGACGCGAAUACACUACGGCCCGGACCAAUAUGCAGGACCCGCGAGACAUAUUGGAAAACAAAGCAGGACAGCCAAGAUCGAUCUAUGGAUCGCGGGGGCGCGACACAACGCGUGAUGAUGACCAUCAUGCCGGAUACACUAACAAUAAGUUCGGCCGGGCCGAUCACAACCGACCAGACUUAUUCGAACUGCGUCGUGACAUAGCCCGGCAUAGAGGCGCCGCACACCCCCUCUGCUUCAUUGAUGAAGUAAUGGAUCAUGAAUUCCCGGAGAGGUUUAAACCCGUAAACAUCGAAUGAUACGAUGGCGCAACAGACCCCGCAGUAUGGAUUGAAUAUUUCCUUCUCCACAUUCACAUGGCCUGCGGUGGCAAUCUACAUGCCAUCAAGUAUCUUCCCCUUAAGCUCAAAGGACCGGCUCGACACUGGCUGAAUAGCCUGCUAGCGAACUCCAUUGGCAGUUGGGAAAACCUGGAGGACGCAUUCCUCGAAAACUUCCAAGGCACUUAUGUGCGGCCACUGGAUGCUGAUGACUUAAGUCACAUAACCAAACAGCUCGGAGAGUCAGCCAGGAAAUUCUGGACUCGGUUCCUAACUAAAAAGAACCAAAUUGUCGACUGUCCGGAUGCCGAAGCCCUAGCGGCCUUUAAGCAUAAUAUCCGCGACAACUGGCUCACCCGACACCUUGGCCAAGAGAAGCCAAAGUCCAUGGCAGCCCUAACGACACUCAUGACCCGCUUUUGCGUGGGCGAGGACAGCUGGCUGGCUCGCAGUAGCACCACGACAAGAAAUCCCGGUACUUCGGAUACACGCGACAGCAACGGCAAGCCACGACACGACAGACAUAAGCGUCGGAACAAUGGCGACAACACGGAAGAUAUGGCAGUCAAUGCCGGAUUCAGUAGCUCCAAAUCCGGUCAGCGGAAAAAGUCAAAAGAAACAAUCUGGGAUCGUCCAGUCUGGACCGCAUACUCAACCGCUCAUGCCAAAUUCAUGGCACCCCUGAUAAGCCAACCAACCACACUAACAGAGAAUGUUGGGUGUUCAAACAGGCCGGCAAGUUGAAUGCCGAAAACAAGGACAAGGGGCUGCACAUCGAAGACGACGAGGAGCCCCGGUGGCCGAACACAGGGGGACAGAAGAAAUUUCCUCCCCAAGUGAAAACGGUAAAUAUGAUCUAUGCCACCACAUUCCCAAGCGGGAACGAAAGCGUGCACUAAGGGACGUCUAUGCGAUGGAGCUAGUCGCCCCAAAGUUCAACCCAUGGUCAUCCUGCCCGAUCACUUUUGAUCACAGGGACCACCCUACCAGUAUCCAUCAUGGCGGUUCAGCCGCAUUGGUCCUCGACCCAAUCAUUGACGGAUUCCACCUCAUGCGAGUCCUCAUGGAUGGCGGCAGCAGCCUGAACCUGCUUUAUCAGGACACAGUGCACAAAAUGGGCAUCGAUCCCUCAAGGAUCAAACCCACCAAAACCACCAUUAAAGGUGUAAUCCCAGGUGUAGAGGCCUGUUGUACGGGCUCAAUAACACUAGAAGUAGUCUUCGGAUCUCCAGAUAACUUCCGGAACGAGGAGUUAAUCUUUGAUAUCGUCCAUUUCCGUAGUGGGUAUCACGUGCUACUUGGACGAACCGCAUUUGCUCGAUUCAAUGUGGUACCACACUAUGCAUAUCUCAAGCUCAAGAUGACAGGACCUCGCGGGGUUAUAACAGUCAAUGGAAACACAGACCGCUCUCUCCGAACGGAGGAGCGCACUGCAACCCUUGCAAUAGAAGUACAAAGUAGCCUUCUUCGGCAGACCGCCAACUUGGCGAUAAAAACCCCGGACACCGAAAAGCGAGUCUGGUGUACUCUGCAACAGGAUCGUCAGGCACGCCAAGAGCUCAACUAGCAAUUCGGCCUCCGUCCUAGUCCCAUUCAGGCGGCAUUUGUGCCACGCGUCCACAAUUACGCACGCAAAAUACCAUGGGCAUAGGAGGAGGCACGACGACGAUGCGGUCCAAAGUGCGGCUCAACCGUCACGAGAUCCGCACACCCAAAUCAUCUUCUUUCUUUUCAGGACCCUACCUUCGCGCAGCCCCUACACAGAACCUGAUCAUCGGACUCAUCACGGGAAGGAAAACCAAGGAUGCAAGAGGCUUUGUGAACAAAGGGAAUACCCAGGUGGUCUCUGUUAAUGAUUGUUAUACCUGUUUUACAUACCCACACGCAGCCUGCCCUUGGAUAGGACAUGUCAAAUAGUCCUAUUUUUUCUUAUCGCAUUAAUUGUACACAUACGCUUUGACGUAUUAUUUAAAUAACAAUGGGAAACAAUAUACAGCAUCAGCUUAUUAUUAUUUUCUCCAUAUUUUCCCUUGAUUGCUUAUUUAAAUAUUUCACCCGUACACUUUUGUACGUUCUGUUCGCCAGGGGCUUUAUUGUGCCCCAUAACACGGCAAGAAAAGUCCAAACACUUUCGACAGUGCGGCACCCCGAACUUAUAGCAUUAUAUGCAUCAGCUCCGAAUCAUGUCUUGGGUCAAUAGUUGGGUUUGCCCGGCUCCCUUAUUUUGGUACCUUACGUUCCGUUAUAUCGGCUAAGGUAGCACAGGGAGAACUACUGCGAUUGUGUCCCGGUUCUUCCGGAUGAGCACCUCAGUAGAGAAAGUCGAAAACUGACUGUCAUGAUGCGGCAAGAGCUGGUCGCUGUUCGAGAGGUCUUAAAUCCUUAAAGAUUUUUUCUGCUUCAGGCGAGGAAUCGGCCUUGUCCGAUUUAGGCGUGUAUAGCGGCCCAAGUUCGGCCUUCCGAAUACUAGGAGCUUUGCCGAAAUUUAAAAUUGUAGACUUCUAUGGCUAAGUGAGAGUUAUAAAGCCGCAUAGUCUGAUUGCCUUGUUCGCUGCGCUAAAUACCUCCUUAAAGGACCAAAAAUUUGGAUAAAGAGUGUUUGGGUUUUCCACGGACACCCCAGUACUAGUUACACGGGGGCGGAAGCCGACGACUGGCCUACUUUCAGAAUUUUAUAAACGGCGCACAGAAGGUAAUAUUUUAAAUCAAAAAGCGUUAUAUAGCGCACACGAACUCGUUUUAAUAUUACACAACGACAUGAGUACAUUCACUCAAAAAUUAUAUCCUUCGCACAUUCAUUAGCCACAAGGCGGGCGCCUUUCAUAACGCCGUCAUGAUACUUCUCGGGGUGGCGAUGCGCCUUGCCCUCCGGCGGACCCUCUGUCACCAGCUUCUCUGCAUCCAUUUUGGCCCAAUGCAUCUUCGCGCGGGGCAAAGGCCUGGCGGGCACCCUCAAUAGAGACGGAUUGCUUAAUAACUUCAAGCCGUGGAUAGGCAUUUACCAUCCACUUUAUAAGGCCGAAGUAGCUGUUGGGCAGGGGCUCGCCAGGCCACAUCCGGACUAUGAGGUCCUUCAUGGCCAGUUCAGCCGCCUUGUGGAGUUCGACCAAUUGCUUCAGUUUGUCACUCAAGGGCAUUGGGUGUUCGGCUCUAGCAUACUGGGACCAAAGCAACUUCUCCAUCGAGCUCCCCUCUUCGGCACGGUAGAACUCCGUGGCAUCUGAUAUGUUGCGUGGCAGAUCUGCGAAUUCCCCUGGAGAGCUCCAAAUUAGGGUAAGUAAAAGAAAUGUCUCCUCCACAUGCUUGCUUUGCAUAAUGAAUGCCUUACCCACCACUAUAUUUUUGGCCGCCUAAAUUUCCUGGAGGGCCUUUUGGGCUUCGGCCUUGGCGUCUUUCACGCUCUGGAGGGCCUUUGCAAGCUCAGACUCUUGCGUCUUGAAGUCAUGCUCCAAGGACUCGAAUUUCUUGCCGAAGUCCUAGAGCUCUUGUUGUACCUCGCUUACCCGAGCAUCCUGUUUUUCACGCUCGGUGCGCUCCUUGGCUGCCUUGUCUUCGGCCUCGGAUAGCGCUUUCUUCAGGGCCGCCACUUCGGUCGUGGCCCCUAUUAAAAAUCAUGAUGCUUUUGUUAGCAUCGCCAAUUUUUUCCUUUAUAUGACACACGGACGGGGCAUCACUUACCUUUGUUCUCUUCGAGCUGCCUCUUCGUGAGGCUGAGCUCUUCUUCUACCUGCUUCAGGUCCCGCUUGAGUCUGGCGACCUCCACAGUACGGGCGGCAGCGCAGCAGCAACGCCUGCUUAUUCACACAGACAUUCAUUGUUAGACUCCUCCAGAUUAAAGUUGACCCUCCGUUUGGCUUUUCUUUCCGAACACCAAACAGAGUAUUAGGGGCUACUAUCUAUCAGGUGAUAUUUUCUCACACUUUUGAUUACUUGCCUCAAAGCCUAUUAGGAGGCUGGUGCAGGCUUCGGUCAAUCCGCUUUUGGCGGACCGAACCUUCUCAAUCACCGUACUCAUAAGAGUACGGUGCUCUUCAUCAAUGGAAGCGCCGCGAAGCACUUCCAGCAAAUUAUCCGAUGCCUUCGGCUGGACGGAGGUCAUCGGCACGGCUGGCUCGCCCUACUUAGUGAGGGGCUGCCUACUUGAAUCUGGAACCUUUGGAGGUUCCGGUGCAGUAACCGGCUGGGAGCCAGACUUGCUGCAGCUCCCGUCAGCAUAAUCCAUGGGGAUCUUACCCCCCCCCCCAUGUGCCCGGCGUCUGGGAUUUCGCCCUGGGGCGUCUCCAGAACAGUCGCCCCCUCUUCUGGUAUCCUUUGGGAUAACACCUCGGUGUCAUCCGUGGGCCGUGGGGAGGUAGCCGUCGGGAGUGAAUCGCUAUUCAUCUUCGAUUCACUCAAGGACCCAUCCGAAGAGGAUAACUCAAGGUGGGACCCGGCCGAACUGCAUAUGCAUGUUCGGCGUUAUAACAAACCAUGAAGCUAAGACGCAUUAAACGUACUAUAGAGUACGGAUAAUUACGAUUUCGCCAAGGGCUUGCCCCUGGGCAACCACUCCUCCUCGCUAUAGGCGGCCGUGGUGGAGUAAUCCGGAAGGGAUGUCUUUCCCUUCUUCGGUGUCCUAGCCUCCCCCUGUGGGGCGCUUUUCUCUUCUUCUCCUCCCCGGUGCGGGGAGGGGGGAUUUCUUCAUUUUUUUCCGUCUCCCUGGGAGGAAUCUGCCUCGGCGUCCAUGGACGACGAAUAUAUUACGGCCCUGCGCCAGAGACCCUUCCUGGUCCCCGUAGCCUUCUUUUCGGCCUUCUUCUCCGGCACCUUGUAAGGAGCCGGAACCAGCAUCUCCGUCAGGAGUGCGGUUGCUGGAUCUUCAGGUAGCGGAGCCGGACAGUCGAUCCGCUCCGUCAUUGCCACAUAAUCCUGUUUUGUCAGCAUGGUGACUUAAAAUCCACCCAUGAAUAUGCUGGGAAAGGUACAUCUUGUGAUAUUUAGAGGGCUUACCGGAUUGGCGAGGCGCUUUGCGCUGAGUCCGCGGUCCUCGGAAGUGGGAGGAGGUACUUCGGCUGCUCUGAACAGCACCUUCCAGACGUCUUCAUGCAUUGUGUUGAAAACCUCUCACAGCAUCUGGUGUUCGGCCGGAUCGAACUCCCACAUAUAGAAUGCCCGUCUUUGACACGGGAGGAUCCGGCGGACGAGCACGACCUGGACCAUGUUAACAAACUUGAUCUUCUUGUCUCUCAUAUUUUUGAUGCAGUUCUGGAGUAUGGUCAGCUCCGUAGGUACACCCCAGGCCAUGUCGUUCUUUUCCCAGGAGGUGAUCCGCACGGGGAUGCCGGAUCGGAAUUCAGGGGCCGCCGACCAUUUGGCGUCGCGUGCUUCGGUGAUGUAGAACCACCCCGAUUGCCACCCCUUCACAGUCUCCACGAAGGAGCCUUCAAGCCAGGUAACGUUGGGCAUCUUGCCCACCAUGGCACCUCCGCACUCCGCUUGCUGGCUGCUCACUAUCUUUGGUUUCACGUUGAAGAUUUGUAGCCACAGGCCGAAGUGGGGCUUGAUGCGGAGGAAGGCCUCGCACACGACGAUAAACGCCGAGAUGUUGAGGACGAAAUUUGGGGCUAGAUCAUGAAAAUCUAGCCCAUAGUAAAACAUGAGCCCGCGGACAAAUGGGUGAAGUGGGAAUCCCAGUCCAUGGACGAAAUGAGAGAGGAACACUACUCUUUCCCGAGAUUUUGGAGUGGGGGUGAUCUGCCCCUUCACCGGAAGCCGGUGCGUGAUGUUUGCGGCCAGGUAUCCGCCCUCCCGAAGCUUGGUAAUGUCCUCCUCCGUAACAGAGGAGGUCAUCCACUUGCCUCCCGCUCCGGACAUGUUGCGAAUGGUCUUACAGAGAAGGUGGGAACUUGGGCGCUGGAGCUCGAGGGUGCGAGAAUGGAUGAGUAAAGGAGGAAGAAGGCAUGGGUGAAAACGGGCGAUCCUUAUCUCUUUACAAAGGCGGUAGAAACUGUGCACCUCCCCACUUGCCUGUCAAAAUCACUCAUUUUCCAAGUGCCACAAUUGAUGGCACGGUUGGGUUACCCAUACCCGUAUUGAUAAGAAUCCCAUGAUAAGGGGACACGAUCUCUGCUUCGACAAGAUGUGCCAAGGAAACCACCUCGCAAUAUGUGUGGUGGCUGGUUGUGAGAAAACGGUUCGAAUAAUGACCGGGUCGUGGUGUGAUGUCACGCUAUGUAAAGUUGUCAGCAGAUUAGAUUUGUGGAAUAUUGUUCUCUCUACGGUGGUAUGUGAAAUUUGUUUUAAAGAGCCGGACACGAUUUAAGUGUUUGAAAUUUGUUUUGGAGUAUUCGAAGAUGGAACCCGCCUUGCAAUGCUGUCGGGGAAAACUGAUCCACGAACACCUAUGGGGCCGGCGGACCGGGCCCCUUUCGGUUCGGCGGGGGGCGGAGGUCGCACGAAGAGCAGAUCGAGGCGAGGCACACGAGCAGUUUACCCAGCUUCGGAGCUCUCCGGAGAGAUAUCACUCCUACUACUGCUUGUCUGAUUGUAUUAUCUGGUGUUCUUGCUCUCGAGAGAGUGUGAUGUUUUCUGGGCUACGAAUGAAUCGAAGCAAACUGUCCGAACCUCCGAACCCCCUCUACGUUGCACAUGGGCCUCCUUUUAUACGCUAAAGGGGUCACCGACAGGUGGCAACGCAGAGGAGGGUAAAAACGUAAAAGGCGAGGUAGUUGAUACAGUUGCUUGUACAGUGCACCCUACCUAACCCUGACGGCAGGGGACAAGGGCAUUAAAUGCCCGUCUGAGUCGCCCGAACAGUGCAGAAAAGGACCAUUAGGGGCGCCACCGUUCGCCACGAUGGCGAUCUUGUCAGCUUGGCAUGCCACUGCGCACCGCUGGCUGCACAGCCUCCCGCCACGCGCGCCCGGGGAGGCCCCUAGAGCGACACGUUGGUGGAUGCGCUGGAGCGUGGGCGCAGAGUGGCCGCCUGCCGCGGCAAGCGCCUUGCCGCUGUUGUUAUCUCGCCGGGUCCAGAAGCUCGUCGCUCACCGGGCCUCGGGGUACCUUAUUUAGUCUUCCCGACAAGCUCCUCUUGCCGGGGCCUUGUUGCCUUGCCAGAGCGCGUGGCGCGUCGCGGCAAGUUCCUUGGAGCGCCUUGGUUGGCCUUCCCGGCAAGCUCCUCUUGCCGGGGUCUUGUCUCCUUAGCUUAAAUACUUUGUUCUUGGAUGGCUCCAAGGGAGCCUUGGGGGAUCUUGGGGUUCGCCCGGCAAGCCUUUGCCGCGGGGUGCUGCAACUGCCCGUGCACAAGUUCGGGGUACUAGGGUACCCCUAUUCUAGUACACCGACAGGAGCCCCCGGGCCUGGGCCAGACACGGUGCCGAGCGCUGUUGGGCCAGGCCCAAGAUAGGGCACGGGCAUAGGCGGGCGGGGCCACGCCAAAUCUUGCUCCGUAUCCACCACGCUCUCCCAUAACGGCACGCGUUGAAUGCGGCAUCGUGGGAGAGAUCGUGGGUGGUUGUUUAUUUGGAAGGCCGAAACGUCCGCCCCGUCCCUCUUUAUAAGCAGAGGAAACAGAGGCAGUUCGUUCCCCCUCGCUGGUUGCUACUACUCCUUCUUCACAAACUCCGCCACUCCCUCCUUCUUCUCGAAGCCGAGAGAGCAGCGCUUCGCCCCCCCCCCCCAUUGCCAUCAGCAUCACCACGCCGNNNNNNNNNNNNNNNNNNNNNNNNNNNNNNNNNNNNNNNNNNNNNNNNNNNNNNNNNNNNNNNNNNNNNNNNNNNNNNNNNNNNNNNNNNNNNNNNNNNNNNNNNNNNNNNNNNNNNNNNNNNNNNNNNNNNNNNNNNNNNNNNNNNNNNNNNNNNNNNNNNNNNNNNNNNNNNNNNNNNNNNNNNNNNNNNNNNNNNNNNNNNNNNNNNNNNNNNNNNNNNNNNNNNNNNACCACGCCGUCGACCUUCCCCACCACCUCCGCCAUGGCCCCGAAAGCCGACAAGGGAAAGGGUGUGAAGUCGGCCGAGGCGCAGCGGCUCGCGGUGCUGCGGAAGGAGCGGGCGAUCUUCACCCCCCAGCUCGGCGUGCAGGAGUUGAGGGAGUACUUCUACCUCUUUUGGGAGACGGAGACGCGUGCGCAUCCGCGCACGAGGGUACUCCCGGCCGCUGCCUCGGAGUUGGAUCCAAAUGGGUACCCGUUCUUCCCGCUAUUCUUCUAUUGCGGGCUCUGCCCGCCCUUCUCGGAGUUCUUCUGUGAUAUUAUGAACACAUAUGGCUUCCGCCUCCUUGACUUCACCCCCAAUGUUGUCCUGACCAUGGCAGUUUUCGCACACUUGUGCAAAAACUUUGUCGGAGUCCACCCUAGUGUUGCCCUUUUUCGCCACUUCUUCAUACCUCGGGUAGAGAGAGGAGAGCCGCUUGCCGGAGGGAUUGCCUGGGUCUCGAGAGUCGGCAAGAAAGAGGCGUACUUGGAGGGUGAGCUCCGCAGCAAGUGGGAGGAGUGGAGAGUGGAGUGGUGCUGGAUCGUUGAGGAGAAUCCGCAGCCCUUCACCGCCGUGCGCCAAACUCCAAUAGUGCGCGGCAAUGACUGGAGCAACGUGGCCCCGGAAGACGAGAGGCUGAAGAUCGCCAUCACUAGGAUUCUUCGCCUCAGGCUUGCCGAGCUCACCGUAGGUGCUGUCGGGGCAGAUUUCCUCCGCCGCCGCAUUGCCCCCCUGCAGGAGAGGGGGAGGCCCGCCUGGGAAUUCAAGAAUUCGGCGGACAUCAUGAGGCUGCGGCCGGGCCUCAACUACAACUUCACCGUCUUGGAGUUGGACGCAAUGCUCUUGGAAUUAUUCAAACGCGACCCCCAGCACCCAUUCACACUGCCGAGGGGCGUAGUUCCUUUGUGCAAUAACUCUUCACUUGACCGGAUCCGCGCCAUGAUGCCGUUGUGCGAUUCACACGGCAUCGUCCCAACUUGGCAAGAGCCUGCGGAUGACGUUGUGCGAGCGUUCUUCGACACCUUGGAGGAAGUGCCGGUCCGCGCUGACGAGCAGAAGAGCCUCACCCGUGACACCACUGACGAGGAGCUGCAGCUCAUCGCUACUAGGGCGGAAGAGGCUGCGGCCGCAGCUGCUGCGGGUGUGUUUGGGUUUACUAUGGAGGAGGCGGAGGCUGCAGAGGCGGCAAACCUUGCCGAACGCGUGGAGUUCAUGGGCGAGGAGGAGCCUGCCGGUUCCGAAGCCGAGCCGAGCGAGGCCGGCGAUGAGGAGGCUGAGCCUUCAGAGAACUUGCCGUAGGCGGAGCCCCCGGCCCCGCCAAGGAGGCGUCCUCACAGGGCCGGGGAUGCAGUGGGGCGGCAGCCGGCUCCACAGCCACCGAGCCGCGCGACGCGCUCUACCGCGGCAAGCAAUGUUGCCGCGGGAGCGCCUCACGCAACAGCCGCAACUGGAGCGGGAUCUUCCCGGGCCACCGCCACUGCCCCCGCCAAGCGGGCAAGGGAUCCUACUCCUCCACCUCGCCGCACCGGAGGAGGGCCGGACUUCGAUCUUUCCGCGCUCAGCUCCGACGAGGAGGAAGAAGAGUGAGUUUCUUUGGUGCUCUUAUAAUCCUUCAAUCUUGCUGUUUAUAUCUUGUAUCUGACUUGCUCCAAUCUGGACUCCUUUCUUUUCAGAACACUGGCCCAGAGAGCGGCGAAGAGGGCCAAGGCCGCGGUGAUCGUCAUCGAGGAUGACCCCAUCGUGUCAGCAGGAGGUGGGCCCGAGACCACCUUGACGGACCCGGCAACUACCCCUCAGAGCAGCCCCCAGCGCAGCCCCCAGCGUAAGUUCAUAGUUUAGCCUUCUGCUGCCGGGCGCGCUUGAGUGCUUUUUCCUUUGUUGAUAUCUUGCUUGUUGACUUGUGCAGGAGCAGAGCAGCCUCAUCAGGAGCGCCCGGAGGCCGGUCCCGAAGUGCCACCUGCUUCGACUGUGCCGCCAAGGGAGGAGUCCCCGGCAAGGGAGCGCUCUCCGACAAGGGGGGACUCUCCGGCAAGGGACAGCACUGCUGAUCCUGCGGCGACCGAGGCCGCAACUGAAGAUCUUGGCGCAGGUAAUCCACUUGCCCAGAAACUUUCCCUUGGGUUCUGCUUCUUCCGUUUUUCCUUUCUUGGAUUUUUGAUUGAUUUUCCUCCCUUCUUCGUUCUUCAGACCCAUCUACGGCUGAGCCAAUGGAGACAGAGGGCGCCGGCGAGGAAGGUGCCGGUGCUGAUGAGACCACCGGCGAAGAGGCCGCCGGGGCUGCUGCUGCUGAAGCCGGCGAGGGGUCGGGCUAUCGCACUGACGACCCUGAGGCCGCAGGAGCGCCAGGCGCUGCGCCGACCGCCGAACCCUCUGCCGCUUCCGCGGAGCCGGGCUCCGAGGAGCCCUAGCCCGGCGCCUACUUGAAGGCCGGUGACAAUAUCUUCAUCAAGCUACCCUGGGCGUCGAGCUCCAGGGCGCCGGUCGAGGGGGAGACUUUUGACAGGGAGGUGCUCGCCUCUCCUAGACUGUCAUUGGUUGACGCGCCCGGCAGCAGCAGCGGCGAGCCUGAGGAGGAGCAGCUGCUGCGGAAGCUGCUGUCACUCUACUGCACCCGGCAAGCCAAGCUGGCUUCCUGGGAAGCGCUUGUCGCGAAGGCGGGAGUUGACAUGGAAAAGCGCGCGAAGGAGCUUCGGGGCCAAAAUCAAGAAGCUCUCCGGUCCCUGGCGCAGGAGCGGGAGCGAGUCGACGAGGAGCGCACGGCCUUUCUUCUCGAGAGGGCCAAGGCUGAGGAGGAACAAAGACUGGCUGCCGAGAAGCAGUCCGCGCAGGAAGGUGAACUAGUGCAGCGGAAGGCCAACCUCGACAGCUACGAGGAAGAGCUCGCCGAGCGUGAGCGAGCACUUGGCAGGGCGCUCAAGGAGGCAAAGGACGCCGCGGCAACUGCAGAGGCCGCCAAGAAAGAGCUAGAGGAGAAGGUGGCGCAGCUGGAGGCCGAUAUUGGGAAGAGCGGCGAGGAGCUUGCCGCGCUCAAGCGUGAGCGUGAGAAGGAUGCUGCCGCCCACGGUGAGCUGCAAGGCCUUCUCGCUAAGAGGGGCAAGGAGCUCAGCGCCGCCAAGGAUUCCAAAGCAGACCUGGAGCUGAAACUGGCCAUGCUGACGCAGACGCUGGAGGCCGCCAAGGAGCGGGAGAAGACCUUGUCGGAGAAGGUCAAGGCUGACGCGGCACUGCUGGAGAGCAUUGCAGUUACCCAGAACUCGUUCAGAGACACAGUGGAGCACUGGACCGAGGGUCUGGUGAACACUGCCGCAGUCAUCAACCAGGAGCUGGCGCAACUGGGGUUGGAGGACUUUGGGUAUCCUUCCGACGAGAGUCUUCAACCCAGCGCCAAGCUCAGCCUGUUCUUCAAGGGCGUGGCAACGGCACUCCAGCGGCUCCGGGAGAGGAUCCCGAAACAGCUGGCCGACGAGUCGCGCAAAAUCUGCGCUGGGGUUCUCCAGAAGGUGCUGAUGAAGGUAGCCUUCCGCAAUCCAGGCCUCAGCUUCACCAACGUCCUCAGGUCCUUGCCGCCUGACGCCGAUCUGGAUGCACUCAAGGCCCUUGUCGGACCCAUUGUGGACAAGGUGAGCGAGAUCAAGAGAGUCGAGGGCGGACGCGUAGAUUAGGCCGCCCAUUCCUUCGUUUCCCUUGUCGCUGCUGAUCAUGUUAUGAAAACAGUCUGUUAGAGCUGCGACAAGUUAUCUUUGUAAUAUAAUUUUAUUUCUGUCUAUCAAUUGCUAUGUUAUUUCCUUUACUAGAUUCCUUCCUUUGUAUGUUAUUACCCUACGCUUCUAGGGAACUUGUCGGCGCAGGCGCCCGAGCCGCGAGCGUUGAGUGCGGAACUUCAGCAGCCUGCUGGCGGCGCUGCUUCCGACAAGAAACCUUGUCGCGACUAGAUGCAGCACGCUUAAGCUGUUGAGCGGACUCGAAACAGAGUAAGGGCGCAACUAGCCACGAGUUGGUUCCUCCGCGCACACGUUUUCCAUACAAAGCAGGGUCGUUCGAGGAAGAUAACUCAAAAAUUUUAAAAAGUGACUGCUCAAACUUUGGCAACUUAGCUUUUCUGUCAUUUGCUUCCCGGUAAGGCAAGUCUUUGCUUGAACGACACCUGGCCCAUAACACAAUCUUCUCCUUCCUCCCCCGGCAAACUUGUGUGCGAGAGAACCUUCUUUUCCUUUAAAAGAAAAAGAAAGAAGAGAAAAUAAUAAUAUGGAGCUCUUCGGCUCGUUACUGCUUACCGGAUGUAGGUGCUGCACAAAGUGUCAGAUAAUCACAUGCAAGAAAGGAACUAACGCAUGAAAUGGACAAGCUGUGCGGAGCACAUGGGGUUUUAUUAUGCAUGGGAUCUGCGCCCGGCUUUGUACAAAGGUUUACAUGCAACAGCGGCAAGACUUGUACAAAAGGUGGUUGCCGGAACGGGUUCCGGCAACCGCGCCUUAUGGGAAAAACUUACGAAGAUGUUCUAUGUUCCAGGAGUUGCUCACCGGAAUGCCAUCUUCGGUCUCAAGGCGGACAGCGCCAGGCCUUGUGACUCGUCUCACCCGAUAAGGGCCUUCCCACUUCGGCGUCAACUUGUUGGAAUUCUUGGCGGACUGAACGCGCCGAAGAACAAGGUCGCCUUCCUCGAAGCGUCUGGCUUUAACUUUGCGGCUAUGAUAGCGGUGCAAAGCUUGCUGGUAUCGAGCAGCUCGUACAGCAGCCUGAAGACGAUCUUCCUCAAGGAGCAGCGCGUCGUCUUGCCGCAGCUGUUCUUGCUCAAGCUCAUCAUAAGCGAGCACUCGAGGUGAUCCGUAUACGAGUUCCGUGGGGAGAACUGCCUCUGCUCCAUAGACUAGAGCGAAAGGUGUCUAGCCAGUGGCUCGAUUUGGCAUCGUUCUGAUCGACCAAAGAACCACCGGCAGCUCCUCGAUCCAGUUCCUUCCGCACCUGUGCAGCCUGUCGAAAGUUCUGGUCUUGAGCCCGCGCAGCACUUCAGCAUUUGCCCUCUCUACUUGACCGUUGCUUCUUGGAUGAGCAACAGAAGCGAAGCAGACCUUGGCGCCAAGGUCUUGGACGUACUGCAUGAAGGUGCGGCUCGUGAAUUGCGUGCCGUUGUCGGUGAUGAUCCUAUUAGGGACCCCGAAACGGCAAACAAUUGACCUGAAGAACUUGACUGCUGACUGUGAUGUCACCUUCCUCACUGGCUGCACUUCCGGCCACUUUGUGAACUUGUCGAUUGCGACAUACAAGUACUCAAAGCCCCCGACAGCUCGGGGGAAAGGGCCGAGGAUAUCGAGCCCCCAGACCGGAAAUGGCCAGGAUAAAGGGAUUGUCUGGAGAGCUUGAGCUGGCUGGUGUAUCUGUUUGGAGUGGAACUGGCACGCUUCACACUUGGUUACUUGUGCAGUUGCAUCCUGGAGGGCUGUCGGCCAAAAGAAACCUUGCCGGAAAGCUUUGCUGGCAAGUGCUCUUGCGCCAAUGUGGUGGCCACAUAUGCCUCCAUGUAUCUCUGCCAACAGCUUUUGUCCAUCUUCCCGGCGAAUACACUUCAAUUUCACGCCGUUGAGUCUUCUUCUGUACAGUAAGCUAUCGACAAACUGGUACAUACUUGACUGCCGGGCUACUCUUUCCGCUUCUUCUUGUUCUUCGGGAAGUUCUCCUGUCUGAAGGAAGUGGACAAUCUGCUGUGCCCAUGCUGGAGCUUGUGGCUCGACAACAAGGACUAAAGGCACAUCUGCUGCUGUGGGAACAUCCGCUUCCACGGCAAGGACUUGUGGUCCUGCCGAAGCUUGAUGUUUCCCGGCAAGCUUGCCAGAGCAAAACUUGUCGGGAGCGUCUGCUUCAAUGGAACAAACCAUAAGGCUUGCCGGAGCAGACUGCCCCUCAGCAUCCUUGGUGUUGAUCUUGGGGACUUUCUUGGCGGCGGCUUCGGGGAGCUCUGCUGGAAAGUAGUCGCUGGAAACCAACUUCCUCUUCUUGCUUUGUCCAGUUGAGGGUAUUACGGACGGUUGAGUCAACUUAAGCACAAAGAUCCCUGGUUCCACAGGUAACUUCAGUGCGACGCACUUUGACAGGCCAUCAGCAAUAUCAUUCUGAGCUCUUGGGAUAUGCUCCAUUUGUAGGCCGUCAAAGUGCUCUUCUAGCUUCCUCACUUCAUCAACAUACGCUUCCAUCAACGGACUCUGGUAGUUCUUGUUCACUUGUUGGACGACAAGCUGUGAGUCACCCCUGACAAUGAGUUUCUUGAUCCCAAGGUCUGCUGCGAUUCUGAGACCGGCAAGCAAUCCUUCAUACUCUGUAGUAUUGUUGGUUGCUUGCUCUUUGGGAAAGUGCAUCUGGACUACGUACUUGAGGUGCUCUCCGGUGGGUGCGACAAGCAGCACGCCUGCACCGGCGCCUUGCAGCGAGAAGGCACCAUCAAAGUACAUCAGCCACUCUUUGCUUGCCUCUUUGAUGGGGAUGCUCAUUUCUGGAAUUUCUUCAUCUGGGGUUGGCGUCCACUCUGCUAUGAACUCUGCCAAUGCUCUGCUUUGGAUAGUUGAGGUGCUCUCAAACUUGAGGCCAAAGCUUGACAAUUCCAGCGCCCACUCGACAAUCCUGCCCGUUGCUUCUGGAUUUUGCAGUAUCCUCUUCAGCGGAAAGCGAGUGACGACUGUGAUCUCAUGUGCUUGGAAGUAAUGGUACAGCUUUCUCGAGGCCAUGAGGAGGCCGAAAAGCAACUUCUGCAUACUAGAGUACCUUGAUCUAGCCCCCUGCAGAAGAGAACUGACAAAGUAAACUGGGCGCUGCACCAUUCUCCUUGGCAUCUUAUCAUGUUCCUGCGCAAACCCAUGUUUGUUGGGACCAGAGCUUGUCGACGAAGCCCCCUGCUUGUCGCUGGAUGGAUCUGCCGUGGUUGCUAGCUCAUCAUCCGCCUCCCUCUCCGCCACUAAAGCAGCACUAACCACUUGAUUGGUUGCCGCUAUAUACAGCAGCAACUUCUCUUGCGGCUUAGGUGCGACAAGCGUUGGAGUGGAGGACAGGUAUCUCUUCAAGUCCUGCAGCGCAGCCUCCGCUUCCGAAGUCCAUUUCAUUGGACCUGCCUUUUUCAAAAUUUUGAAAAAUGGCAGGGUGCGCUCAGCAGAUCUAGAGAUAAACCUGCUGAGAGCAGCCACGCAACCGGCAAGCCUUCGUACAUCCUUGACGCGCUUUGGUGCAUCGAUCUGCUCAAUGGCUUUGAUCUUGUCGGGAUUGGCUUUAAUUCCCCGCUGAGACACGAAGAACCCAAGAAGCUUGCCGGAAGGGACUCCAAACACGCACUUCUCGGGGUUAAGCUUGAGGUUGAUCUUGCACAGGUUUGCAAAUGUUUCGCCUAAAUCUUGAAUCAAGGGCGCUUUGUUCUUGCUCUUGACCACUAUGUCAUCCAUGUAAGCUUCCACAUUUCUGUGCAUUUGCGGCUCAAAAUCAUGGUGGACUACCCUUGCGAAUGUUGAACCAGCAUUCUUCAAACCGAAAGGCAUCCGUACGAAGUAGUACGUGCCACACGGGGUGAUAAAUGCGGUUUUCUCUUCAUCUUCUUCUGCCAUGAAGAUCUGAUGGUAUCCUGAGUAUGCAUCAAGAAAUGAAAGCAAAUCACAUCCGGCUGUGGAGUCAACAAUCUGGUCAAUACGCGGCAAGGGAAAUGGGUCUUUGGGACAAGCUUUAUUAACAUCAGUGAAGUCAAUACAAAGUCUCCAUUUCCCGUUAGCUUUGCGCACAACAACAGGAUUGGCCAACCACGUGGGAUGGAGUACUCCUCUGACAAGGCCUACUGCUUCCAGCUUCUUAAUUUCUUCUGCGAUGAAUUCUUGGCGCUCUACUGCCUGCUUCCUGACUCUCUGCUUGACGGGCCGCGCAUGAGGACAGACGGCAAGGUGGUGCUCAAUUACUUUCCUGGGAACACCGGGGAUAUCAGACGGUUGCCACGCAAACACGUCGAUAUUCGCCCGCAGGAAAGCAACGAGCGCGCUUUCCUAUUUGGGGUCAAGAGUGGCGCUGAUGGUGAAGGUACCACCAGCGCCAUCCUCCUUGGCGGACACCUUCUUGGUCUCAGGUGGAGCUGCCAUUGCCUUCUUUCGCUUGCCGGUGGAGCUCGAUGGUGCGUCCUCGACGGUAGCGCAGCACUCCGAAGAGGUGCGCUUGCCGGAGUGGGCAUCAGAGCUCUUGCCGGACUUGAUCUUCUUCUUCCCCCCGGGAGCUUCAGCGGCAAGUAUCUUGCAUUCUGCUGCGGCUGCUGCUUCCCGGUAGAUCUUGUCGGCACAGAUAAGAGCAUCCUUCUUGGCGCCAGGGACAGAGAUGACACUUAUUGGGCCUGGCAUUUUCAGUACGUUGUACGCAUAGUGAGAGGCUGCCAUGAACUUGGCGAGUGCCGGUCGGCCAAGGAUUCCAUUGUAAGGCAAUGGAAAGUCGGCAACAUCAAACGUGACCCUCUCGGUCCUGAAGUUCAGCUCGCUGCCAAAUGUUACCGGCAACGUGAUCUUUCCCUUUGGCUUGCUCCUUCCCGGGUUAAUUCCUUGAAAUGUGCCGGUCUCUUCGAGCUCGCUGUCAGGAAUCUGGAGUUUCUGGAGCACCGCGGAGGAGAUCAGGUUCAAGCCGGCCCCGCCGUCAACUAGCAUCUUAGUGACCUUGAGGUUGCGGAUUGUUGGUGAAACCAACAUCGGCAAGCACCCGACCGCAGUUAUGCAAUCCGGGUGGUCCUCAAUAUCAAAGAUGAUAGGCGUGCCGGACCAUUUCAGAGGCUUGCGUGACUCGACGGGUGGUUCUGCUGCAUUAACUUUCCGCACCCACUGCUUGAGCUGGCGGUGCGAGGCAUGCAGAGAAGCACCACCGUCAACGCACAGGACCUCUAUGGCUUUCUGGAACUCCUGCUCAUCAGUCUCCCCAUCAUCCAUAUCUUCAUCUUCGUUAUCAUCUUCAUCCUUGUCGCGGCCACGGGGAGGUCUGUCUCCUUGCCGCUGCUUGGCCUUGCCGCGGCGUCCUCCUCGGCCGGGACGUUUCUUGCCUGACCCACCAGCUCCUUCCUGGGCCUUCUCCUUGUCGCGCCGCUCAUAUUCAGCUUUCUGUUGCUCAACAAACUGUUCGACUUUCUUACAGUUCUGGAGAUCAUGGCCCUUGGUGCGGUGGAUCUUGCAAUAUUGCUUGUUGGGGCCGUCCUGCUUGCCGGCGACUGCUGCCUCCACGGCAACCUCCUUACCGGAGUCACCAGCUUUGGCUUCCUUGGCGCCGCCACCGUUGCCGGACUGCUCAACAACUAGCACUUCUUUGCCUUUCCUCCUUCUGUUGUUCCGCCGCCGGUUUUUCCUUGUCGGGGCAGCAUCUUCACUGUCAGAUCCCCCCGCUCCUAUAUUUUCUCCAGGGAGUCUCCUCCCUUCCUCAGCACGCGCACACUUGUCGGCCAGUGCAUAUAACUCACUGACGUCCCUGAUCUUGCACAUCGCCAUUUCCUCCCGCAUCAUGCGGUUCCGCACGUUCUGAUGGAACACGCUGAUCACCGCGGCAGGGUGGACGUCUGGGAUGUUGUGCUGCACACUACUGAAUCUCUGAAUGUACUUGCGCAGGGGCUCUCCUUCCUUCUGGGCGAGCAGAUGAAGAUCACUCUCCUGGCCAUGAGGCUUGUGUCCGCCGGUAAAGGCGCCGACAAACUGAUGGCACAGAUCAGCCCAAGAGGAUAUGGAGUUGUCCGGCAAGUGCAUGAGCCAGGAUCUGACGUUGGGCUUGAGCACCAGCGGGAAGUAGUUGGCAAGGAUCUUGUCAUAUCGUCCCCCGGCAGCUUGUACCGCAAUGGUGUAGAUGCUGAGGAACUCUGACGGAUGCGUCUUGCCGUCGUAUUUCUCCGGUACGUCUGGCUUGAAGUUCUUUGUACUGGGCCACUGGACUUGCCGCAGCUCACGAGUGAAUGCAGGACAACCUACCGCGUACGGCAGAUCGCCUGGUUCCCCUGGCGCGUGCAUGUCAACAGAGGGCCCAGCGCGCUUGUCGGAUUGACGUCGCGCUUCUCUUCGACGCUCGAUGCGGGUUCGAGCGUCUUCUUGUUGUCGAUCAUGAAGAACUUGGCGCUGAUCGCGACGAGCUCGUUGAUCCGACGAUGCAGUGGAGUCGCUGUCGAGGUGGAUCCAGCGAGUCGGCGAUCUUGGCCUUCGGGGCGAUGAUUGCAUGGUAGUUGCACCUCCGCCCGUUUCAUCGCCACCGGCUCACGUCCGGCAACCCUGCCGCGGCGGCGACGCGCUCGGCCGCCGUGGAGUGUCGCCGUUGGCGUAGCCGAUGAGACUCUGAAUGGUGGCCCUCCAUUCGUCGAUCUUGUCUGACGUUGGAGGGUAAUCUAGGAGAAGUUGAGCUCUCGCCAAAGCUUCUGCUGGAAUGGUGGGUAGCAGUGGCGGACGGUGCGAGGAGCGGGACGUGCUCGAACUUCUAACUAUGUUAGAAGGAGCAGUAUCCCGUCCAGGCGACCGUGCCCCGCUCGUGCCAGCACGCUGGCGUGCAUGCUGGUCUUGAGCACCCCGAGAUCCACCAGCUUGGUCUUGGGCUAUCAUGCGUAUGGCACUGCUAGUGCCAUGACGCUGUUGAUCUUGCGCCUCCUGAGAGUGCUGUGGAACAUGUACAGUCGCCGAGGUUUGUGCAGCCUUGUUCUUGGACCUGGCGGCAUCAUGAGCUUCCUCGUCGACGUCCUUUCUUCCGCCGGCAUCCAUCCCACCACUCGUUUGCUCCAACGGUGGCGGAAGUGACGUGGAUGGAGCGGCUGCCGCCGAAGUCUUCUUCUUUGGUGGCAUGUUGAUGAAGGGAAUAAAGAUCUAGCUCAUGUGAACGCCGGAUCUGGUUCACACAAUCUCAACACCCCCUACCUGGCGCGCCAAAGAUGUCGGGGAAAACUGAUCCACGAACACCAAUGGGGCCGGCAGACCGGACCCCUUUCGGUUCGGCGGGGGGCGGAGGUCGCACGAAGAGCAGAUCGAGGCGAGGCACACGAGCAGUUUACCCAGCUUCAGAGCUCUCCGGAGAGAUAACACUCCUACUGCUGCUUGUCUGAUUGUAUUAUCUGGUGUUCUUGCUCUCGAGAGAGUGUGAUGUUUUCUGGGCUACGAAUGAAUCGAAGCAAACUGUCUGAACCUCCGAACCCCCUCUACGUUGCACAUGGGCCUCCUUUUAUACGCUAAAGGGGUCACCGAUAGGUGGCAACGCAGAGGAGGGUAAAACGUAAAAGGCGAGGUAGUUGAUACAGUUGCUUGUACAGUGCACCCUACCUAACCCUGACGGCAGGGGACAAGGGCAUUAAAUGCCCGUCUGAGUCACCCGAACAGUGCAGAAAAGGACCGUUAGGGGCGCCACCGUUCGCCACGAUGGCGAUCUUGUCAGCUUCGCAUGCCACUGCGCACCGCUGGCUGCACAGCCUCCCGCCACGUGCGCCCGGAGAGGCCCCCAGAGCGAGACGUUGGUGGAUGCGCUGGAGCGUGGGCAGAGUGGCCGCCUGCCGCGGCAAGCGCCUUGCCACUGUUGUUAUCUCGCCGGGUCCAGAAGCUCGUCGCUCACCGGGCCUCGGGGUACCUUAUUUAGUCUUCCCGGCAAGCUCCUCUUGCCGGGGCCUUGUUGCCUUGCCAGAGCGCGUGGCGCGUCGCGGCAAGUUCCUUGGAGUGCCUUGGUUGGCCUUCCCGGCAAGCUCCUCUUGCCGGGGUCUUGUCUCCUUAGCUUAAAUACUUUGUUCUUGGAUGGCUCCAAGGGAACCUUGGGGGAUCUUGGCGUUCGCCCGGCAAGCCUUUGCCGCGGGGUGCUGCAACUGCCCGUGCACAAGUUCGGGGUACUAGGGUACCCCUAUUCUAGUACACCGACAAAUGCCGAAGACAAUCUGCGCACCGGACUCAUCAUCAUUGAAGCCUGGUUCAGGGGCUACUGAGAGAGUCCAUGAUUAGGGGGUAUCCGGACUGUCGGACUAUAUACUUUAGCCAGACUGUUGGACUAUGAAGGUACAAGAUUGAAGACUUCGUCCUGUGUCCGGAUGGGACUCUCCUUUGCGUGGAAGGCAAGCUUGGCGAUUCGUAUGUUAGAUCUCCUUCUCUGUAACCGGCUCUGUGUAACCCUAGCCCCCUCCGGUGUCUAUAUAAACCGGAGGAUUUAGUCCAUAGGAAAAGAAGAACAAUCAUAAUCAUAGGCUAGCUUCUAGGGUUUAGCCUCUACGAUCUCGUGGUAGAUCAACUCUUGUAAUACUCAUAUCAUCAAGAUCAAUCAAGCAGGAAGUAGGGUAUUACGUCCAUCGAGAGGGCCUAAACCUGGGUAAACAUCGUGUCCCCAGCCUCCUGUUACCAUUAGCCUUAGACGCACAGUUCGGGACCCCCUACCCAAGAUCCGCCGGUUUUGACACCGACACACAUACUCAACUAUCAUUUAGUCUUUCACAAUUGUGACACUCACGUAAUACUUAUGUUUAUGGAGUUUUAAUCGGACACGGAGAAAGAUAGGGGCUUAUGGUGUUGCCUCCCAACGUUUUACCCCAAGGGUAAUGUCAACAACAAUAGUUCAUGCUAACUUACAUCCAAUUGGAUAUAUAUAUAUAUAUAUAUCAAGAUCUUUCCAACACGAGGUGCUUGCCAAAGGAUAAAAUGUAAAAAGGAAAGGUGAAGAUCACCUUGACUCUUGCAUAAGACAUAAAUUAAAAGAUAGGCCCUUCGAAGAGGGAAGCAGAGGUUGUCAUGUGCUUUUAUGGUUGGAUGCACGGAAUUUUAAUGCAAAAGAACAUCACUUUAUAUUGCCACUUGUGAUAUGAACCUUUAUUAUGGAGUUCGUCGCUUUUAUUACUUCCAUAUCACAAGAUCAUAUAAAUCUUAUUUUCUCCACAUUAAUAAGUCAUACAUAUUUGGAGAGCAAUUUUUAUUGCAUGCAACAUGACAACUUAUUUGAAGGAUCUUACUCAAUCCAUAGGUAGAUAUGGUGGACUCUCAUGGCAAAACUGGUUUAAGGGUAUUUUGGAAGCACAAGUAUUUUUUACUUGGUGCAAGGGAUUUGGCUAGCAUGAGGGGGAAAGGCAAGCUCAACAUGUUGGACGAUCCAUGACAAUAUACUUUAACUAAGAUGUGAGAAAGCAUAACCCAUUACAUUGUCUUCCUUGUCCAACAUCAACUCUUUUAGCAUGUCAUAUUUUAAUGAGUGCUCACAAUCAUAAAAGAUGUCCAAGAUAGUAUAUUUGCAUGUGAGAGCUUCUCUUUCUUUAUUACUUCCUAUUAAUUGCAACGAUGACCAAAACUAUGUUUGCCAACUCUCAACAACUUUUAUGCCUCAUACUCUUUAUGUGUGAAGUCAUUACUAUCCAUAAGAUCAACAUGGUCUCUUUUGUUUCUUUUUAUUCUUUCUAUUCUCAAGAUCAUAGCAGGAUAGAAAAGCCCUUGACUCAACACUAAUCUUUAUUAUAUAUAGCUCACGGACUCGAUUACAUAAAGGGAUCACAAAGCAAAACUCAAAACUAAUUCAUACCAAAAAUUUAUUCUAUUAGAUCAAGAUAUUACCAAAAGGAUCGAACUAAGAAAACUGUAAAGAUAGGAGUGUGGUGGUGAUACAAUACCGGGGCACCUCCCCCAAGCUUGGCAGUUGCCAAGGGGAGUGCCCAUACCCAUGCAAUUAUGUCGCCUUUGCUGGUGAAGAAGGUAGUGUUGUUGAUGAUGUAGGCUUGUCCUCCAUCUUCCAAGGAAUAGGCUCCCCAUCAUAGAAAGAUGAUCGAGUCUCCGGGAUCCUCAAAUCUGCAGCCAAAGUCAUCAUCUUGAAUCUAUAUUCAUACUCACAGUUUUGGUUUUGCAGGUCAUAGAUCUGGGCUUGGAGGUGCUCGAUUUUCUCAUGAAGCUUGAUGAUGGUCUCCCCAAUGUCCUUGGCAUCCAGCUUGUGUUUGUUGGUGAACUCCGCGAUCAUCAUCUGGUUGGCGUUGAGUCCGUGUUCCACCAUUCCUUGGCACUUGAAAACUUGUUGUUCUGUUGCUUCAAGCCUUGUCUCCACGCUUCCGGUCCUCCUUGGUCCCUCAACAUCGCGGAUGUGCAGCACCCCCUCAUGCAUCUCAAUGGUUUGAGUGUGUUGCAGCACCUCUACGAGGUAGGGAUUGAUGACCUUCUCGAAAAACCUGUCCUUGGGGGCGCUUGAAGACGUUAUGGUGAUAUAGAUAUGUCAGAAAAACAGCUCGAAACAAAGACAGAGGAUAUUUGCGUGAUACAGUGGCCAAAACCUCUGGGAGAUUAUAUAAUGGAUUUUUACCGACCAAAAGAAGUAUCAUGCAAGAAAACGGGGUCCGGAGAGCACACGAGGUGCCCACGACGCAGGGGGUGCGCCCAGUAGGGUAGGGCGCGCCCUCCACCCUCGUGGAUGCCUCGUGUCCUUCCCGGACUACUUCUUAUUUUCCUAUUUUCUUAAAUAUUCCAAAACGGAGAAACAUUGCUGUUAGAAUUGAUUUGGAGUCGGUUUACUUACCGUACCACGUACCUAUUCCUUUUCAGAGUCUGGAACAUUCUGGAAAGUGUCCCUUAUGUAUUCCUCCGGGGUUACGGUUUCAAUAAAAUUAGUUUCAACAUUUAUUGGGUUACCUAAGAUAUAAUGUUUGAUUCUUUGACCGCUCACCACCUUCGGGUUUAUGCCCUCGAAGUUGUUGAUUUUUAUGGCACGGGAAUGAUAGACUUCCUCGAUAACGUAAGGGCCUUCCCAUUUAGAGAGAAGUUUUCCUGCAAAAAAUCUUAAACGAGAGUUGAAAAGCAACACAUGGUCACCCACAUUAAACUCACGCUUUUGUAUCCUUUUUUCAUGCCAUCUUUUAACUUUUUCCUUAAAAAGUUUGGCAUUUUCAUAAGCUUGGGUUCUCCAUUCAUCAAGUGAGCUAAUGUCAAGCAACCUCUUCUCAUCGGCAAGUUUCAAAUCAUAAUUGAGCUCUUUAAUAUCCCAAUAUGCCUUAUGUUCUAGUUCAAGAGGUAAAUGACAUGCUUUUCCGUAAACCAUUUUAUAUGGAGACAUACCCAUAGGAUUUUUAUAUGCAGUUCUAUAAGCCCAUAAUGCAUCAUCAAGUUUCUUGGACCAAUUCUUUCUAGAUAUAUUAACAGUCUUUUGUAAAAUUAAUUUAAGCUCUCUCUUACUCAGCUCUACUUGGCCAGUAAACUGUGGGUGAUAAGUAGAUGCAAUUCUAUGAUUAACAUCAUACUUAGCAAGCAUUUUACGAAAAGCACCAUGAAUAAAAUGAGAGCCAGCAUCAGUCAUUAAGUAUCUAGGGACUCCAAACCUCGGAAAAAUAAAUUCUUUAAGCAUCUUAAUAGAGGUGUUAUGAUCAACACUACUAGUUGGAAUAGCUUCUACCCACUUAGUAACGUAAUCAACAGCAACUAAAAUAUGUGUAUACCCAUUAGAGGCAGGAAAAUGUCCCAUAUAAUCAAAGCCCCAAACAUCAAAUGGCUCAAUAACAAGAGAAUAGUUCAUAGUCAUUUCUUUACUUCUACAAAUAUUACCAAUUCUUUGACAUUCAUCACAAGACAAGACAAACUUAUGGGCAUCUUUGAAGAGAGUAAGCCAAUAAAAACCAGAUUGCAAUACCUUAUGUGCAGUUCUAUCUCCAGCAUGGUGUCCUCCAUAUGCUUCGGAGUGACACUUGCAUAGCAUCUAUCCAUGUUCAUGCUCAGGUACACAACGUCUAAUAACACCAUCUACUCCUUCUUUAUAAAGGUGUGGGUCAUCCCAGAAGUAAUGUCUUAAAUCAUAGAAAAACUUUUUCUUUUGCUGGUAUGUAAAGCUAGGUGGUAUGAAUUUAGCAACAAUGUAAUUAGCAUAAUCAGCAUACCAUGGAGCAGUACGAGAAGCAUUUAUGACAGCUAAUUGUUCAUCAGGAAAGCUAUCAUUAAUAGGUAGUGGGUCAUCAAGAAUAUUCUCUAACCUAGAUAAGUUGUCUGCAACAGGGUUCUCAGCUCCCUUUCUAUCAAUAAUAUGUAAAUCAAAUUCUUGUGGCAAGAGAACCCACCUAAUAAGUCUAGGUUUAGCAUCUUUCUUUUCCAUAAGAUAUUUAAUAGCAGGGUGAUCAGUGUGAAUAGUUACUUUAGAAUCAACAAUAUAAGGUCUGAACUUAUCACAAGCAAAUACAACCGCUAAAAAUUCUUUUUCAGUAGUAGCAUAAUUUCUCUGGGCACUGUCUAGAGUUUUACUAGCAUAUUGAAUAACAUUUAGUUUCUUAUCAACUCUUUGUCCUAGAACAGCACCUACAGCAUAAUCACUAGCAUCACACAUAAUUUCAAAGGGUAAAUUCCAAUUAGGUGGCUGAAAAAUAGGUGCAGAACUCAGAGCUUUCUUAAGUAUUUCAAAUGCUUCUACACAAUCAUCAUCGAAGACAAAAGGAAUAUCUUUUUGUAAUAGAUUAUUCAGAGGCCUAGAGAUUUUGGAAAAGUCCUUAAUGAACCUCCUACAAAAACCGGCAUGACCAAGGAAACUUCUUAUACCUUUGAUGUCCUUGGGACAUGGCAUAUUUUCAAUGGCAUCAACUUUAGCUUUAUCAACUUCAAUACCUCUUUCAGAAAUUUUAUGCCCCAAGAUAAUGCCUUCAUUAACCAUAAAGUGGCACUUCUCCCAGUUCAAAAGAAGACUAAUCUUCGCAUCUCUGCAAAACUCGUUCAAGGUUGCUCAAGCAAUCAUCAAAAGAGGAUCCAUAAACAGAGAAAUCAUCCAUGAAUACCUCACAAAUCUUUUCACAAAAGUCAGAGAAUAUAGCCAUCAUGCACCUUUGAAAAGUAGCAGGUGCAUUACAUGAACUAAAAGGCAUACGUCUAUAAGCAAAAGUACCGAAAGGGCAAGUAAAAGUGGUCCUUUCUUGAUCAUCCGCUGACACAGGUAUUUGAGAGAAACCAGAGUAACCAUCUAGAAAGCAAAAAUGUGUAUGUUUGGAUAGUCUUUCUAGCAUUUGAUCAAUAAAAGGUAAAGGGUAAUGAUCCUUUUUAGUGGCUUUAUUUAAUUUGCAGAAAUCAAUUACCAUCCUAUAACCUAUAAUAAUCCUUUGCAGGAUCAAUUCAUCUUUAUCAUUAGGAACAACAGUAAUACCUCCCUUCUUAGGGACACAAUGGACACGACUUACCCACUGACUAUCAACAACGGGAUAAAUUAUACCUUCCUCAAGGAGUUUUAGUAUUUCCUUUCUUACCACUUCCUUCAUCUUAGGAUUUAACCAUCGUUGGUGAUCAAUAACUGGUUUGGCGUCUUUCUCCAAUUUUAUUUUGUGUUGACAUAGAGUGGGAGUACUUCGACAAGUUGUUUAAUGGGGAGAAUGAGAGUUCUACCAUUGAACUGGAUGACUCCUUUGAUGAGACCAGCAUGCGUUUUGUGCGGCGCAUCCAAGAGUCUGAGGUGAAGGAGGCUUUAAAAAGGAUGAAAGGAGGCAAGGAGAUGGGCCCUGAUUCUAUCCCCAUUGAGGUGUGGAAGGUCUCGGGGACAUAGCGAUAGUAUGGCUAACCAAGAUUUUCAACCUCAUUUUUCGGGCAAACAAGAUGCCAAAAGAAUGGAGACGGAGUAUAUUAGUACCAAUCUUCAAGAACAAGGGGGAUGUUCAGAGUUGUACUAAUUGCCGUGGAAUUAAGCUGAUGAGCCAUACAAUGAAGCUAUGGGAGAGAGUCAUUGAGCACCGCUUAAGAAGAAUGAUAAGCGUGACCAAAAAUCAGUUUGGUUUCAUGCCUGGGAGGUCGACCAUGGAAGCCAUUUUCUUGGUACGACAACUUAUGGAGAGAUAUAGGGAGCAAAAGAAGGACUUGCAUAUGGUGUUCAUUGACUUGGAGAAGGCCUAUGAUAAGAUACCGCGGAAUGUCAUGUGGUGGGCCUUGGAGAAACACAAAGUCCCAGCAAAGUACAUUACCCUCAUCAAGGACAUGUACAAUAAUGUUGUGACAAGUGUUCGAACAAGUGAUAUCGACACCGAUGACUUCCCGAUAAAGAUAGGACUACAUCAGGGGUCAGCUUUGAGCCCUUAUCUUUUUGCAUUGGUGAUGGAUGAGGUCACAAGGGGUAUACAAGGAGAUAUCCCAUGGUGUAUGCUCUUUGCGGAUGAUGUGGUGCUAGUUGAUGAUAGUCGGACGGGGGUAAAUAGGAAGUUAGAGUUAUGGAGACAAACCUUGGAAUCAAAAGGGUUUAGGCUUAGUAGAACUAAAACCGAGUACAUGAUGUGCGGUUUCAGUACUACUAGGUGUGAGGAGGAGGAUGUUAGCCUUGAUGGCCAGGUGGUACCUCGGAAGGACACCUUUCGGUAUUUGGGGUCAAUGUUGCAGGAGGAUGGGGGUAUUGAUGAAGAUGUGAACCAUCGAAUCAAAGCCGGAUGGAUGAAGUGGCGCCAAGCUUCUGGCAUUCUCUGUGACAAGAGAGUGCCACAAAAGCUAAAAGGCAAGUUCUACAAGACGGCGGUUCGACCCGCAAUGUUGUAUGGCGCGGAGUGUUGGCCGACUAAAAGGCGACAUGUUCAACAGUUAGGUGUGGCGGAGAUGCAUAUGUUGAGAUGGAUGUGUGGCCACACGAGGAAGGAUCGAGUCCGGAAUGAUGAUAUACGAGAUAGAGUUGGGGUAGCACCAAUUGAGGAGAAGCUUGUCCAACAUCGUUUGAGAUGGUUUGGGCAUAUUCAGCGCAGGCCUCCAGAAGCUCCAGUGCAUAGCGGACGGCUAAAGCAUGCGGAGAAUGUCAAGAGAGGGCGGCGUCGACCGAAUUUGACAUGGGAGGAGUCCGUUAAGAGAGACCUGAAGGAUUGGAGUAUCGACAAAGAGCUAGCUAUGGACAGGGGUGCGUGGAAGCUUGCUAUCCAUGUGCCAGAGCCAUGAGUUGGUUGCGAGAUCUUAUGGGUUUCACCUCUAGCGUACCCCAACUUGUUUGGGACUAAAGGCUUUGUUGUUGUUGUUGUUGUUGUUGUUGUUGUUGUUGUUGUUGUUGUUGUUGUUGUUGUUAUUGUUGUUGUUGUUGACAUAGAGUGGGACUAAUGCCCUUAAGAUCAUCAAGAGUAUAUCCAAUAGCAGCACGGUGCUUCUUCAGAGUUUUCAAUAAUCUUUCCUCUUCCUGUUCUGAAAGGUUAGCACUAAUAAUAACAGGAUAUAUCUUCUUUCAUCGAGAUAAGCAUAUUUAAGAGUAUCAGGUAAUGAUUUAAGCUCAAACACGAGAUCACCCUUAGGUGGUGGAAGAUCCCCUAGGAUUUCAACAGGUAAAUUGUGUUUCAAGAUAGGACCCUAUUUAAAGAAUACUUCAUCUAUUUCCCUUCUUUCAUUCAUGAACAUAUCAUUUUCAUGGUCUAGCAAAUAUUGUUCUAAGGAUCAAUAGGAGGCACAGAAAUAGAAGCAAGACCAAUAAUUUCAUCCUUACUAGACAGUUCUUUAUCAUGGGGUUGUCUAUGAAAUUUAGCAAAAUUAAACUCAUGAGUCAUAUCAUCCAAGCCAAUCGUGACAACAUGUUUUUUGCAAUCAAUUCUAGCAUUAACUGUAUUCAGGAAGGGUCUACCAAAUAUAAUGGGACAAAAGUCAUCUUGUGGGGAACCAAGAACAAGAAAAUCAACAUGAUAUUUAACUUUCCCACAUAAGACUUCAACAUCACUAACAAUUCCAAUUGGUGAAAUAGUAUCUCUAUUGGUAAUCUUAAUUGUAACGUCAAUAUCUUCUAUCUCAGCAGGUGCAAUGUCAUGCAUAAUUUCUUGAUAUAAGGAAAUAGCUAUUGCGCUAGCACUAGCACCCAUAUCACAUAAGCCAUGAUAACAAUGAUCUCCUAUUUUAACAGAAAUAACAGGCAUGCCUACUACAUGUCUAUGUUUCUUAGCAUCAGGUCUAGCAAUUCUAGCAGCUUCAUCACAGAAAUAAAUAACAUGCCCAUCAAUAUUAUCAGCCAAGAGAUCUUUAACCAUAGCAACAUUAGGUUCAACUUGAAUUUGCUCAGGUGGUGUAGGUGUUUUAGUAUUACUCUUACGAACCAUAGUUGAAAUUUUAGCAUGAUCCUUUAUCCUAACAGGGAAAGGAGGUUUCUCAAUAUAAGUAGUAGGGACAAUAGGAUCAUUAUAAGUGAUAGUAUUUUCUUCAACUUUAAUAGGUGCAACUACUUUUACUUCAGUGGGAGGAUUAUAUUUAAACCACUUCUCCUUAGGGAGAUCAACAUGAGUAGCAAAUGAUUCACAGAAAGAAACUACUAUCUCAGAGUCAAGUCCAUAUUUAGUGCUAAAUCCACGAAAAACAUCGGUAUCCAUAAAAGAUUUAACACAAUCAAACUUAGGUGUCAUACCUGACUCCUUACCAUCGUCGGAAUCCCAAUCUUCAGUGUUGCAUUUAAUUCUUUCCAAUAAAUCCCACUUGAAUGCAAUAGUCUUCAUCAUAAAAGACCCAGCACGAAAAGUAUCAAGCAUGAAGCGAUUCUUGAGAGAAAGCCGAGCAUAAAAAAUUUGAAUGAUCAUUUCUCUUGAGAUCUCAUGAUUGGGGCAUGAAUAUAACAUUGACUUAAGCCUCCCCCAAGCUUGAGCGAUGCUUUCCCCUUUGCGAGGCCAAAAAUUAUAUAUGUAAUUAUGAUCACGAUGAACAAGAUGCAUAGGAUAAAACUUCUGGUGAAAUUCCAAUUUCAAUCAUUUAUAGUUCCAGGAUCCUAUGUCAUCACAUAGCCUAUACCAUGUCAAUGCGUCUCCCUUCGAAGAUAAAGGGAAAACCUUCUUCUUGAUAACAUCCUCAGGCAUACCAGCAAGCUUAAAUAAUCCAGAAACUUCAUCUACAUAGAUUAGGUGCAAGUUGGGAUGUAAUGUUCCAUCUCCUGUAAAAGGAUUAGCUAGCGGUUUAUCUACCAUACCCGAAGGAAUUUCAAAGUAAACAUUUUCAGGUUGAGGAGAAACUCUUUACUCUACUAGUUGAGGAGAAACUCUUUACUCUACUGGUUGAGGUGAAGAUACCCUGAACAAGCCCCUCAAAGGAUUAGUUUCCAUAGUAACAAGUGACAGUAAAUUUCAGCACACUAUAUAAUUUUUUCCUUACCAAGUUCCACUUACCAAAGGCGCUUCACUCCCCGGUAACGGCGCCAGAAAAGAGUCUUGAUGACCCACAAGUGUAGGGUAUCUAUCGUAGUCCUUUCGGUAAGUAAGAGUGUCGAACCCAACGAGGAGCAGAAGGAAAUUACAAGCGGUUUUCAGUAAGGUAUUCUCUGCAAGCACUGAAAUUGUAGGUAACAGAUAGUUCUGUGAUAAGAUAAUUUGUAACGGGUAACAAGCAAUGAAAGUAAAUAAGGUGCAGCAAGGUGGCCCAAUCCUUUUUUUAGCAAAGGACAAGUCUGGACAAGUUCUUAUAUGAGAAAAGCGCUCCCGAGGACACAUGGGAAUUAUCGUCAAGCUAGUUUUCAUCACGCUCAUAUGAUUCGCGUUUGUUACUUUGAUAAUUUGAUAUGUGGGUGGACCGGUGCUUGGAUACUGCCCUUUCUUGGACAAGCAUCCCACUUAUGAUUAACCCCUAUUGUAAGCAUCCGCAACUACAAAAGAAGCAUUAAGGUAAACCUAACCAUAGCAUGAAACAUGUGGAUCCAAAUCAUCCUCUUACGAAGCAACGCAUAAACUAGGUUAAGCUUAUGUCACUCUAGCAACCCAUCAUCUACUUAUUACUUCCCAAUGACUUCCUCUAGGCCCAAACAAUGGUGAAGUGUCAUGUAGUCGAUGUUCACAUAAUACCACUAGAGGAUAGACAACAUACAUCUUAUCAAAAUAUCGAACGAAUACCAAAUUCACAUGACUACUUAUAGCAAGACUUCUCCCAUGUCCUUAGGAACAAACGUACUACUCAUAAAUCAUAUUCAUGUUCAUAAUCAGAGGGGUAUUGAUAUGCAUUAAGGAUCUGAACAUAUGAUCUUCCACCAAAUAAACCAACUAGCAUCAACUACAAGGAGUAAUCAACACUACUAGCAACCCACAGGUACCAAUCUGAGGUUUUGGUACAAAGAUUGGAUACAAGAGACGAACUAGGGUUUGAGAGGAGAUGGUGCUGGUGUGUCACAUCCCUAGCUGCUGGUAGUGCUCUAGGCUAGCUUCAUGUGUGCAUCAUGUCUAUAUUUUCGAAACUUGAACUGAGGAAUUUUGGAAGCCUCAAAAACUUAAAUAAAAGAGGGGCAAAAACCCUAGAAAUCUCAUUCAUUGCUCCAAAAUGCUCUUCUUAAAUGUUUGAUAAUUUUUGGUAAGGGUUCUGGUCCCAACCAAAAUAUUGAACAUUUUUAAGGAUUUAUUUUUGGGACUUUGAAUUUAAUUCAUUAGCUAUUUGAAUUUGAAUUAUAUUCAUAUAAUUAGAAUAUAAUUUCAAAUAUCCCUGAAUUAUUUUAUGAGCUCUUGGAAAAGUCCAUCUAGCAAAAUAAAAAUAUUCAGAGGAGCUUUGGCAUUGUUUGAAUUAUUAUUUUUAAUUCAAAACAGUGGCAAAAGAAUUAAAUAAAAGAAAAACCGAACAGAAAUAAAAGACAGAGAGAGAGAAGGAAGUUACCUGUCAGCCCACCCGGCCCAAACCUACCUGGCGGCCUAGCUGGCAGGCCCAGCCCACCACUUCCCNNNNNNNNNNNNNNNNNNNNNNNNNNNNNNNNNNNNNNNNNNNNNNNNNNNNNNNNNNNNNNNNNNNNNNNNNNNNNNNNNNNNNNNNNNNNNNNNNCUCUCCCUCUCACUCCCCUGCUCUUUUUCCCCUCAUGGCCGAAGCCGCCAUGGCCACUCCGCUGAGAAACACCGCGGCCAGCCACUCCCUCGCUCCCUCUCCGUGUUCCCGAGAUCCGUAUCGCCUCCAGCGUCAUCCUCGCCAAACCAAGCAUCACCGGAAGCCCUGCAAUGCCGGCGCCAUCAUCUUCUUCUUCCUCGGGCACCGAAGGCCGUCAUCGUCGAUUCGUCGCCGUCGUUGCUUCCCCGAGCUCGUUGACCAUCUCGACGUGACCACUGUGAGCUCAUGAUCCGUUUCCCCCUAUUACCGCACUCGAUAGCGCUCUAUAGUCGCGUAUGUCGCCGAGCCCGAAAGCUCACCGCCGCCGGCCAUGUCGCCGUCGUGGCUACAGACGCCGUAGCUCGUGCCUGGGUGCGUCAUAGCACUCGGUUUGCUCCCAGGAGAUGACCCCGACCACCAGCUGGACCUGCCAUGCACCAGAACUCCGAACCCGCGCUCGCCCGAACUCCGGUCGCCGCCGCGGGCCCCGUUCCGGUGAGCUCGGGCCACCUCAGCCCCUGCCGUUUGCACAGAUGGAUGCGGGCGACUCCCAGCUCCACGUAGACGCCCUCAUCCGCCCCUUUGGUCGCCGGAGAUGCAAACCCGAGCGUCUCCGCCGCUCUGCUUGGUCGUCGGCGGCUAGCCGCCGGUGUGUCCGACGUGGCCGCGUGAUUAGUGUUAAUUACGGCCAGCUAACCCCCCCCCCCAGAGCCACUGACAGCCGGGCCCCACGGCCUAACCAACCGGCUAACUAAAAUAGAUUAGGGUUAAUCUAAUUGCAGUGGCCCCACGCGUCAGUUUUGACCGCGCUGACGUGGCCGUUGACUGGGCCCACAUGUCAGCGACACAAACCAGUCUGAGACACUGACGUGUGGACCCCACUGGCCAGGUUUGACCUGGACCAGCCACGUUGACCUGCUGACGUCACUAAUACGUCAUGCUGACGCAGUAUUUAUUUCUGGAAUUAAAAUAAAUCAAAAAUGAUUUAUAAAUUUCAGAUAAUAACCAAAACUUCUAAAAUUCAUAGAAAAUUAACCGUAACUCCAAAUUAAAUAAUUUAUAUAUGAAAAAUUAUCAGAAAAAAUCAAGGAAUCCAUCUGUACCAUUUUCAUGCAUGUUUGAACAAUAGUUGUCCUCUGUUUUGGACAAAACCAAUAAAGGGCAUUUAAAUAAUCACAUAUGGAGUUUGAAUUUGAAUCUUGUAUUCAAACCAACCCCAUUUAACUUGUUGCUAGAUGCAUUAGCCCAAAACACAUUCAUUUUGCCAUGUCAUGAUCAUGCAUCAUAUUGUGCAUUGCAUUGAUUGUGUUCCCUUCUGUGUUGUCGGUAUUUGUCCCCUCUCGAUAGACGUGAUACCGAUGAUGUGAUCGUUGACACUGAUGAAGACUCAAUGUUAUCUUCAGAAGUGCCAGGCAAGCAAAAACCCCUUGUUCAUUCCGAUACAAUCCUACUCUCUCGCUCCUGCUCUCUUUUACUGCAUUAGGACAACAACGACAUAUUUGUUACUUGCUGCGGUAGCUGAACCCCUUUAUCCUUUGCAUGACCUGUCAUUGCCACAGUAAAUAGAUGAAACCCACUAGCAUGAGUAGGAGUUGUUUGAGCCCUAUUGUGCCUACUCAUUCUUGCUUGUUUGUCAUGCCUGCUACUGCUUAGAGUUGUGUCAGGUCUGAUUCAUCGGGAAUGAAUCAGAGGUGUGUAAACAUGUCCUACUGUGUGUGAGCUCAGUGUGUGAACACGAUUUGGUAAAGGUAGCGGUGAGAGGCCAUGUAGGAGUACAUGGUGGGUUGUCUCAUUGCAGCCGUCCUCAGGAACUGAGUUCUGUGUUUGUGAUCCAUGAUUCAGCUACUACCACGCAUUGGGCCCGAAACCAAUGGACCCUCUCGGCUUCUUGAUCACCCUUGUCCUCUGUCCAGGAGUUGCAAGUAGUUUCUGGUGUUUGUAGUAUGCUGGAGGCCAUGCGCAGCGCUGACCGUAGGGGUGGGCUAUGAUGCGGUAGGCACGUGGCACGGUGUACCAGGCGCCCGUUUGGUGUCUCGGGAACCCUAUUCACAUCGUUUGGGGCUGUGAGCGAAACUCCGGCCGGAUCUCCUCAUGGAUGGAACCCGAAUAGGCGAUAAACCUGGACUAGAGACUUAGGUGUUUAGGUAGGCCGUGGCCGACACCCACGUUGGGCUUCCGCUUGAAGGUUGCCGAGUACAUGUCGUGUAAACGGCGGUAAGUGGUGAGAGCGUGUGUGAAGAAGUACACCCCUGCAGGGUUAAUAUGAUCUAUUCGAAUAGCCGUGUCCGCGGAAAAGGACUUCUGGGUUGCUUAUAUCAGUUCAUAGACAAGUGAAAGUGGAUACUCUAAAAUAUGCAAGAUAAGCGUGAGUGCUAUGGAUGGCGUUCUCGUAGGGAGACGGGAGCGGAUCCAUAGUGGUGUAUUGAUAUGGUGAAUAUGUGGACUCGUGUGCGCCACCUCAAAAGAGUUACUUGCAGUCGUAGUUCAGGAUAGCCACCGAGUCAAAGCUGGCUUGCUGCAGUUAAACCCCACCAUCCCCUUUGUUGAUAAUGAUGCAUAUGUAGAUAGUUCUGAUGUAAGUCUUGUUGGGUACAUUUGUACUCACGUUUGCCUAUUUAUGUUUUUGCAGAGAGACUUCGGUCUCGCUAGUAGUUCCGCGUGGACUUCGACGUUUAGCUUGAUACCUCAGCUACGAUCUUGUGCCCUCGGCAGGAUCUGAUAGAUAGUCAGGCUUCUCAGCCUUUUUCAUUUAUAGAUGUCUGUACUCAGACAUGAUAGCUUCCGCUUGUGCUUUGACUUGUAUGCUCUGAUUGUUGGGUCAUGAGACCCAUGUUUGUAAUGUCUCGCUCCUCGGAGCCUAUUGAAUAAACUACUUGAGUCGUAGAGUCAUGUUGUGAUGCCAUGUUGUAUUGCACAUAUCGAGCAUAUUGUGUGUAUGUUAUUGAAAUGCUUGGUAUGUGUGGGAUCUGACUAUCUAGUUGUUUAUCUUUAGUAGCCUCUCUUACCGGGAAAUGUCUCCUAGUGUUACCGCUGAGCCAUGGUAGCCUGCUACUGCUCUGGAACACUUAGGCUGGCCGGCAUGUGUCCUUCUUCGUUCCUGUGUCUGUCCCUUCGGGGAAAUGUCACGCUUUGAGUACCGGAGUCCUGUUAGCCCGCUACAGCCCGGUUUACCGGAGUCCUGCUAGCCCAGUGCUACAGCCCGGACCCACUUGCUGAUGACCGACACGUUCGAAGCUGGGUCAUGGAUGCCUGUCCCUGUAAGUCUGUGCCACUUUGGGUUUACAACUAGUCAUGUCAGCCUGGGCUCUUUAUCAUAUGGAUGCUAGCGACACUAUCAUAUACGUGAGCCAAAAGGCGCAAACGGUCCCGGGCAAAGGUAAGGCGACACCCGUGGGAAUACCGUGCGUGAGGCCGCAAAGUGAUAUGAAGUGUUACCGGCUAGAUCGAUGUGACAUCGAGUCGGGGUCCUGACAGCGUUGAAUUAAAUCAGGAAAUUCCAGAAUAUUAAUUAAACUUCAAAAAUUCAUAACUUUUAUUCUGUAACUCCAAAUUGGACAAAUUAUAUAUGAAAAAUGAUCAGAAAAAUCCAAUCUAUCCAUCUGUACCAUUUCCAUGCAUGAUCAAACAAGUUAAGUUGAUGUUUUAAUCAGAACAAGAAAAGGCACUUUAAAAGGCCAUAUUUGAAUUUGAAAUUUGAAUCCUUGAUUCAAAUUUGUUCAAACCCUUCUGGUUUUAGUUGCAUUAGCCCAACACACUCAUAUUGCCAUGUUUCAUGCAUGCAUCAUAUUGUUGCAUAUUGUUUGGUGAUGUUUGUGUAUCGAUGUCCUUUGCGACAGGAUCUGUCCCCGAGGAGUACCGUGAUUACCCUAACGAAGAACCGUAUCCGUGCAACGAACCAUCAGGCAAGCAACCAACCAUCUGAUCAUAUCGAUACAAUCCCAUGUUCUCGCUCCUGCUCUCUUUUACUGCAUUAAGACAACGCGAUUCAAACUGCUGUGUGUUACGGUAGUUGAACCCAUUUCCUCUGCAUGACCUGUCAUUGCCACAGUAACUAGAUGAAACCCACUAGCAUGUGUAGGAGUUGAUUGAGCCAUAUGUAUGUGUUGUUCCUACCUUCCUAAGCCUGCUAUGCUUAGAGUCGUGUCAGGUCUGGUUCAUCUGGGUGAUGGGCUAGAGUGAAAUGAUUAUGUCGGUAAUGAGAGUGGUGUGGUGAACACGAUUUGGUAAAGGUAUCGAUGAGAGGCCAUGUAGGAGUACAUGGUGGGUUGUUUCAUUGAAGCCGACCUUAAGCACUGAGAUCUGUAUGUGUGAUUUAAGAAUCAGCUACUACCAUGCAUUGGGCCCGAAACCAAUGGACCCUCUCGACUUCUUAUUCACCCUAGUUCUCCGUCCAGGAGUUGCAAGUAGUUUCUGGUGUUUGUAGCCUACUGGAGGCCGUGGACAGCGCUGACCGUAGGGGUGGGCUGUGAUGCAGUAGGUACGUGGCACGGUGUACCGAAUACCCGUUAGGUAUCUCGGGAACCCUGUUCACAUCGUUCGGGGCCGUAUGGGAAACCUCGGCCGGACUCCCUGCGGAUGGAACCUGAAUAGGCGAUAAACCUGGACUGGAGGCUUAGGUGAUUAGGUAGGUCGUGGCCGACACCCACGUUGGGCUUCCGCUUGAAGGUUGCCGAGUACAUGUCGUGUAAACGGCGGUAAGUGGUGAGAGCGUGUGUGAAGAAGUACACCCCUGCAGGGUUAAUAUGAUCUAUUCGAAUAGCCGUGUCCGCGGAAAAGGACUUCUGGGUUGCUUAUAUCAGUUCAUAGACAAGUGAAAGUGGAUACUCUAAAAUAUGCAAGAUAAGCGUGAGUGCUAUGGAUGGCGUUCUCGUAGGGAGACGGGAGCGGAUCCAUAGUGGUGUAUUGAUAUGGUGAAUAUGUGGACUCGUGUGCGCCACCUCAAAAGAGUUACUUGCAGUCGUAGUUCAGGAUAGCCACCGAGUCAAAGCUGGCUUGCUGCAGUUAAACCCCACCAUCCCCUUUGUUGAUAAUGAUGCAUAUGUAGAUAGUUCUGAUGUAAGUCUUGUUGGGUACAUUUGUACUCACGUUUGCCUAUUUAUGUUUUUGCAGAGAGACUUCGGUCUCGCUAGUAGUUCCGCGUGGACUUCGACGUUUAGCUUGAUACCUCAGCUACGAUCUUGUGCCCUCGGCAGGAUCUGAUAGAUAGUCAGGCUUCUCAGCCUUUUUCAUUUAUAGAUGUCUGUACUCAGACAUGAUAGCUUCCGCUUGUGCUUUGACUUGUAUGCUCUGAUUGUUGGGUCAUGAGACCCAUGUUUGUAAUGUCUCGCUCCUCGGAGCCUAAUGAAUAAAUUACUUGAGUCGUAGAGUCAUGUUGGGAUGCCAUGUUGUAUUUGCACAUAUCGAGCAUAUUGUGUGUAUGUUAUUGAAAUGCUUGGUAUGUGUGGGAUCUGACCAUCUAGUUGUUUAUCUUUAGUAGCCUCUCUUACCGGGAAAUGUCUCCUAGUGUUUCCACCGAGCCAUGGUAGCUUGCUACUGCUCCGGAACACUUAGGCUGGCCGGCAUGUGUCCUUCUUCGUUCCUGUGUCUGUCCCUUCGGGGAAAUGUCACGCGAUGAAUACCGGAGUCCUGUUAGCCUGCUACAGCCCGGUUCACCGGAGUCCUGCUAGCCCAGUGCUACAGCCUGGAUUCACUCGCUGAUGACCGACACGUUCGAUGCUGGGUCAUGGAUGCCUGUCCCUGUAGGUCUGUGCCACUUUGGGUUUACGACUAGCCAUGUCAGCCCGGGCUCCUUAUCAUAUGGAUGCUAGCGACACUAUCAUAUACGUGUGCCAAAAGGCGCAAACGGUCCCGGGCUAAGGUAAGGCGACACCCGUGGGAAUACCGUGCGUGAGGCCGCAAAGUGAUAUGAGGUGUUACAUGCUAGAUCGAUGUGGCAUUGAGUCGGGGUCCUGACAUGGUGAAGAUGUUGAUGGAGAUUGACCCCCUCCCGAAGAGAGGAUCGUUGUUGAUGAUGAUGGUGAUGAUUUCCCCCUCCCGAAGGGAAGUUUCCCCGGCAGAACAGCUCUGCCGGAGCCCUAGAUUGAUUCCGCCAAGGUUCCGCCUCGUGGUGGUGGAGUUUCGUCCCAUAAGCUUGCUUAUGAUUUUUUCCAUGGUAAAAGACUUCAUAUAGCAGAAGAUGGGCACCGGAGGCCUGUCAGGGGGCCCACGAGGUAGGGGGCAUGCCCUAGGGGGGUGGGCGCGUCCCCCACCCUCGUGAACAGGGUGUGGGCCCCCUGACGCUGAUUCCUUCACCAAUAUUUUUUAUUAAUUCCAAAAAUGACUUUCGUGGAGUUUCAGGACUUCUGGAGCUGCGCAGAAUAUGUCUCUAAUAUUUGCUCCUUUUCCAGCCCAGAAUCCCAGCUAUCGGCAUUCUCCCUCUUCAUGUAAACCUUGUAAAAUAAGAGAGAAUAGCCAUAAGUAUUGUGACAUAACGUGUAAUAACAGUCCAUAAUGCAAUAAGUAUCGGUAUAAAAGCAUGAUGCAAAAUGGACGUAUCAGAUGGCAAAGUGAACAAAGGUAUAUUGGAUAUACAGAUUAUUGAUGUGUACUUUACUAGUGUUCAUAGCAACCCCUGGGUAUUUGAUACCGGUUCAGUUGCUAAAAAUUAGUAACUCGAAACGGGAGUUGCAGAAUGAACAGAGACUAGUUAAGGGUGAAGUGACGAUGUGUGUUGGAAGUGGUUCCAAGAUUGAUAUGAUCAUCAUUGCACACUCCCUAUACUUUCGGGAUUAGUGUUGAACCUAAAUAAAUGUUAUUUGGCGUUUGCGUUGAGCAUGAAUAUGAUUUGAUCAUGUUUAUUGCAAUACGGUUAUUCAUUUAAAAUUAGAGAAUAAUUGUUGUUCUGUUUAUAUGAAUAAAACCUUUGAUGGUCAUACACCCAAUAAAAAUAGUUUGUUGGAUCUCGAUCGUGGUAAUACACAUAUUCAUAAUACUGAUGCCAAAAGAUGCAAAGUUGAUAAUGAUAGUGCAACUUAUUUGUGGCACAACCAUUUGGGUCAUAUCGGUGUAAAGCACAUGGAGAAACUCCAUAAAGAUGGACCUUUGGAAUCACUUGAUUAUGAAUCAUUUGAUACUUGCCAAUCGUGCCUUAUGGGCAAGAUGACUAAAACUCCGUUCUCCGGAAUAAUGGAACAAGCUAGUGACUUAUUGGAAAUAAUACAUACAGAUGUAUGCGGUCCAAUGAGUGUUGAUGCUCGUGGCGGGUAUCAUUAUUUUCUGACCUUCACAGAUGAUUUGAGUAGAUAUGGGUAUAUAUUCUUAAUGAAACACAAAUCUGAAACAUUUGAAAAGUUCAAAGAAUUUUAGAGUGAAGUGGAGAAUCAUCAUAACAAGAAAAUAAAGUUUCUACGAUCUGAUCGUAGAGGAGAAUAUUUGAGUUACGAGUUUGGCCUUCAUUUAAAACAAUGUGGAAUAGUUUCACAGCUCACACCACCGGGAACACCAUAGUGUAAUGGUGUGUCCGAACAUCGUAACCGCACUUUAUUGGAUAUGGUGCGCUCUAUGAUGUCUCUUACCGAUUUACCAAUGUCGUUUUGGGGCUAUGCAUUAGAGACAGUUGCAUUCACUUUAAAUAGGGCACCAUCAAAAUCCAUUGAGAUGACGCCUUAUGAAUUGUGGUUUGGCAAGAAACCAAAGUUGUUGUUUCUUAAAGUUUGGAGCUGCGAUGCUUAUCUGGAAAAGUUUUUCAACCUGAUAAGCUCAAAACCAAAUCGGAGAAGUGCGUCUUCAUAGGAUACCCAAAGGAAAUUGUUGGGUACAACUUCUAUCACAAGAUCCGAAGGCAAGAUAUUCGUUGCUAAAAAUGGAUCCUUUCUAGAGAAGGAGUUUCUCUCGAAAGAAGUGAGUGGGAGGAAAGUAGAAUUUGAUGAGGUAAUUGUACCUUCUCCCAAAUUGGAAAGUAGUUCAUCAUAGAAAUCAGUUCCAGUGAUUCCUACACCAAUUAGUGAGGAAGCUAAUGAUGAUGAUCAUGAAACUUCAGACCAAGUUACUACAAAACCUCGUAGGUCUUCGAGAGUACGGUCCGCACUAGAGUGGUACGGUAACCCUAUUCUGGAUGUCAUGUUACUAGACCAUGAUGACCCUACAAACUAUGAGGAAGUGAUGAUGAGUCCAGAUUCCACAAAAUGGCUUCAGGCCAUGAAAUCUGAGAUGGGAUCCAUGUAUGAUAACAAAGUGUGGACUUUGGUGGACUUGCCCAAUGAUCGGCAAGCCAUAUUAAAUAAAUGGAUCUCCCAAAGGAAGAAUGGCACCGAUAGUAGUGUUACUAUCUACAAAACUUGACUUGUCGCAAAAAGUUUUUGACAAGUUCAAGGUGUUGGCUACAAUGAGAUUUUCUCAAUUGCAGCGAUGCUUAAAUCUGUCUGAAUCAUGUUAACAGUUGCCAUAUUUUAUGAAAUCUGGCAAAUGGAUGUCAAAACUGAAUUCCUUAAAUGGAUAUUUCUUAAAUAAGUGUUGUAUAUGAUACAACAAGAAGGUUUUGUCAGUCCUAAAGGUGCUAACAAAAUGUGCAAGCUCCAGCAAUCCAUCAAUGGACUGGUGCAAGCAUCUCGGAGUUGGAAUAUACGCUUUGAUGAGUUGAUCAAAGCACAUAGUUUUAUACAGACUUGCGGUGAAGCCUGUAUUUACAAGAAAGUGAGUGGGAGCGCUACAUCUUUUCUGAUAAGUAUAUAUGUAUGACAUAUUGUUGAUCGGAAAUGAUAUAGAAUUUUCUGAAAAGCAUAAAGGAGUGUUUGAAAGGAGUUUUUCAAAGAAAGACCUCGGUGAAGAUGCUUACAUAUUGAGCAUCAAGAUGUAUAGAGAUAGAUCAAGACGCUUGAUAAGUUUUUUCAAUGAGUACAUACCUUGACAAGUUUUUGAAGUAGUUCAAAAUGGAACAGUAAAAGAAGGAGUUCUUGCCUGUGUUGCAAGGUGUGAAGUUGAGUAAGACUCAAAGCCCGACCACGGCAGAAGAUAGAGAGAGAAUGAAAGUCAUUCCCUAUGCCUCAGUCAAAGGUUCUAUAAAGUAUGUUGUGCUAUGUACCAGACCUAUUGUGUACCCUGCCCUGAUUUUGGCAAGGGAGUACACUUUUGAUCUAGGAGUAGAUCACUGGACGGCAGUCAAGAUUAUCCUUAGUCGGGACUAAGGAAAUAUUUCUCGAUUAUGGAGGUGAUAAAAGAGCUCGUCGUAAAGAGUUACAUCGAUGCAAGCUUUUACACAAAUCUAGAUGACUCUAAGUCUCAAUCUGGAUACAUAUUGAAAGUGGGAGCAAUUAGCUAGAGUAGCUCCAUGCAGAGCAUUGUAGACACAGAAUAUUUGCAAAAUACAUACGGCUCUGAAUGUGACAGGCCCGUUGACUAAACUUCUCUCACGAGCAAAACACGAUCACGCCUUAGUACUCUUUGGGUGUUAAUCACAUAGCGAUGUGAACUAGAUUAUUGACUCUAGUAAACCCUUUGGGUGUUGGUCACAUGACGAUGUGAACUAUGGGUGUAAAUCACAUACAAAUGUGAAUAUUGGUGUUAAAUCACAUGGUGAUGUGAACUAGAUUAUUGACUCUAGUGCAAGUGGGAGACUGAAGGAAAUAUGCCCUAGAGGUAAUAAUAAAUUUAUUAGUCAUUUCCUUAAUUCAUGAUAAAUGUUUAUUAUUCAUGCUAGAAUUGUAUUAACCGGAAACUUAGUACAUGUGUGAAUACAUAGACAAAACUUAUAGUCCCUAGUAUGCCUCUACUUGACUAGCUCAUUAAUCAAAGAUGGUUAUGUUUCCUAACCAUAGACAUGUGUUGUCAUUUGAUGAACGGGAUCACAUCAUUAGGAGAAUGAUGUGAUGGACAUGACCCAUCGUUAGCUUAGCAAUAUGAUCGUGUCAGUUUCAUUGCUACUACUUUCUUCAUGACUUAUACAAGUUCCUCAUACUUUUAAUUAUGCAACUCCCGAAUACCAGAGGAACACUUUGUGUGCUACCAAACGUCACAACAUAAAAGGGUGAUUAUAAAGGUGCUCUACAGGUGUCUCCGAAGGUAUUUGUUGGGUUGGCAUAUAUCGAGAUUAGGAUUUGUCACUCUAUGUUUCGGAGAGGUAUCUCUGGGCCCUCUCGGUAAUACUCAUCACUAUAAACCUUGCAAGCAUUGUAACUAAUGAUUUAGUUGCGGGAUGAAGUAUUACGGAACGAGUAAAGAGACUUGCCGGUAACGAUAUUGAACUAGGUAUAAUGAUACCAACGAUUGAAUCUCGGGCAAGUAACAAAUACCAAUGACAAAGGGAACAACGUAUGUUGUUAUGCGGUUUGACCGAUAAAGAUCUUUGUAGAAUAUGUAGGAACCAAUAUGAGCAUCCAGGUUCCGCUAUUGGUUAUUGAUUGGAGACGUGUCUCGGUCAUGUCUACAUAGUUCUCGAACCCGUAGGGUCCGCACGCUUAACGUUCGAUGACGAUUAGUAUUAUGAGUUUAUGUGGUAUGUUGUACCGAAGAUUUUUCGGAGUCCCGGAUGUGAUCACGGACAUGACGAGGAGUCUUGAAAUAGUCGAGACAUAAAGAUUGAUAUAUUGGAAGCCUAUGUUUGGACAUCAGAAUGGUUCCGGGUGAGUUCGGGCAUAUACCGGAGUACCGAGAGGUUACAGGAACCCCCCGGGAAGUAUAUGGGCCUUAUUGGGCCAUAGUGGGAGAGAGGAGAAGGGAGCCUAGGAGGAUGGGCACCCCCCCCCCAAUCCCAAUCCGAAUUGGGUGGGCCCCCCCUUCCCUUCCUCCUUCCUCCCCCUUCCUUCCUCUCCUAGUCGAACUAGGGAAGGGGGGAAUCCUACUCCUGGUGAGAGUAGGACUCCUCCAGGGCGCGCCAUAGAGGGCCAGCCCUCCCCCCUCCUCCACUCCUUUAUAUACGGGGGAGUGGGGCACACUAUAGACACACAAGUUGACAUUUUUUAGCCGUGUGCGAUGCCCUCCUCCAUAGUUACACAUCUCGGUCAUAUCGUCGUAGUGCUUAGGCAAAUCCCUACGCUGGUAACUUCAUCAUCACCGUCACCACGCCGUCGUGCUGAUGAAACUCUCCCUCGGCCUCAACUGGAUCAAGAGUACGAGGAACGUCUCCUAGCUGAACGUGUGCUGAACGUGGAGGCCCCGUACGUUCGGUUCUUGGAUCGGUUGGAUCGCGAAGACGUUCGACUACAUCAACCGCGUUAACUAAACAUGUCAGUGUUCGGUCUACGAGGGUACGUGGACACACUCUUCCCUCUCUCUGCUAUGCAUCACAUAGAUAGAUCUUGCAUGAUCGUAGGAUUUUUUUUGAAAUUACCGCGUUCCUCAACACUUCUUCAUUCUUUGAGUAUAUCAAUAUAUCAUCAAUGAACACCACGACAAACUUGUCCAAAAACUCCAUAAACGCUUUGUUCAUCAUACUCAUGAAAUGGGCAGAUGCAUUAGUCAAACCAAAUGACAUAACGGUAUACUCAUAUAGCCCAUACCUUGUGGUAAAAGUUGUCUUAUGUAUAUCUUGCUCUCGGAUCUUCAACUGGUGAUAACCUGAUCGAAGAUCGAUCUUGGAGAAAACUUUAGCUUCUUGCAACUAGUCAAACAAAUCAUUGAUCAUCAAUAGAGGGUAUUUAUUCUUGAUCUUCACCUCAUUCAGCGCAUGAUAAUCAACAACCAUCCUCAAAGAUCCAUCCUUCUUCUCCACUAGAAGCACUAGGGAUCCCCAAGUUGAUGAACUUGGUCAAAUGUAACCUUUCUCCAGUAACUCCUCAAUCUGCUUCUUAAUUUCCUCCAGAUCUUUUGCGGGCAUCCAACGCGGUCUCUUUGGUAUUGGUUCGGUGCUUGGAAAUAACUCAAUCAAAAACUCAAUGUCAUGAUUUGGUGGCAUGUAUGGUAACUCUUCCGUAAAUACGUCGGGGUAAUCCUUCACCACUGGUACCUCCUCCUGAACAACUCCUGAUAAGGAAUUCACCUGAGUUCUCCUCGGCGCAUGCCGGGAUACAUACUUGAUCCUUUUUCCUUCUGGGGUGGUGAGAAGAAUUGAUUUACUGGCGCAAUCGAUGUUUCCUUCAAACUUGGAUAGCCAGUCCAUGCCUAGUAUCACAUCCAAUCCUUGUGACUCCAAAACAAUCAGGUCGGUGGGGAAAACAUGUCUCCUAUGGUUACUGGCAACUGAUAGCAUCCCCUACUAGCCAUAUACUCUGCUCCUGGGGAACUUACUAACAUAGGUGACUUAAGGGCUAUGGUUGGCAUUUAUACUUAUCCACGAAUCCCCUUGAUAUGUAUGAAUGUGAUGCACCAGUAUCAAAAAGAACAAGUGCGGUAAAUGCAUUAAUCAAAAACUUACCAACAAUUGCGUUGGGUUGAACCUCAAUCUCCUCCACACUGACGUGGUUCACCUAACCUUUGGUGAAGGGGUUGGGCUUCUUUGCAGAACCUCUAUUGCCAUUUCAAUUCUUUGCUUCAGGACAUUCAGUGGCAUAAUGUCCGGUCUUUUGGCACUUGAAACAAGUAAUGUGGCUCAGAUCCCUCUUUGCUGGCGUUGCGGGGUUGGAAUGGUUCUGGAUGCUGCUUCCUCCAUUCCCAUUGCCAUUCUUGGGGCCACUGUGGUUGUGCGAACUUGCUCCAUUGUGUGUAUGUCCUCCAUGGUUAUGGCCUCCAUGGUUGUGGGUAUGUCCUCCCAAGUACGGGUAAUAGCGGGGCUUCUGCUGAGCUCCAGAAGUGUACCUCCCCUGUCCAUACUUCCUCUUGCGAUUGUCAAUCUGCUGUUGCUUGCCUUCUAUCAUGAGGGCCCUGUCUACCAACUCCUGGUAGUUGUUGAAAGUUGCCACCAUCAACUGCAUGCUGAGCUCAUCGUUAAGUCCCUCAAGAAACUUCUCCUGCUUAGCGGCAUCUGUGGCUACAUCAUCUGGGGCAUAGCGUGCUAACUUGCUAAACUCAUCCACAUACCGGCCCACUGUACGCCCUCCUUGGCGCAAGUUGUGAAACUCGCGCUUCUUCAUGCUCAUAGCUCCUGCUGAAACAUGGCCAGUGUGGAAAGCCUGCUGAAACUGAUCCCAUGUAAUUAUAUCUAUGGGGUAAGUAACGGUGAAAUUCUGAGUUAUUUACCCAAAACCACCACAUUUUGGGCUAGGGUAACAACUUGGUACCACAUUUGAGUCAGAGCACAAAAAACCACCAACUUGGCGCCUAACCUAUAACGCCGAGCACUGAUAGUCGAAUUUACUCACGAAAACAGCGAAAUCAACAGGUAGGACCCACAUGUCAGGAUGAUGUGGCAUGCCUAUCUGGACAAUUUGCUGAGGUGGACGUAGGUCCCAUCUGUCAUCCUCAUGCACCUCCUCCUUCCUCCUCUCUGUCUUUUUCUCUCUUCAACCAGCGAACGCAGAGGACCUCGCCAGUGGCCAUGCUCAGGCUGGACCCAUGCCUCCGGCGCCAUGGUCGGCCGCCACGGUCGUCCCCGCCAGCAGCCCAACGCCUGACGAGAUGCCGCGUCCCCCGCCAUCAACCUCCUCCUCUCGUCCAGGCCGCUCCGGCGAUGCACGCCUCGCCCCGAGCAGCACCACUCGGCCCGCUUGCCUUGUCGGCCGCCGCUCGCUCCGGAUGUGGACGCCCGCAACCCUGCUGUCCUAGAUCUGGUGCCCAGGACCCGUACGGCGUCCGCAUCGGCCGCCGGCGUCCACACCCCCACGAAGCCCACAACAGCCCCUCCCCGAUCCGCGGUCGCCACCGGCCACCAUUCUCAUGGCCAGAGACCACUCCAAGCCCCACCACCUUGUCUGGGAGCACUGGAAUGCCUCCCUGAGCACCCCUACUGGAGUUAUUGGACCCGGACAUCCAAAACUGGCCACGCCGCGGUCGUCUUCUUCACGUCCGACCACCAAUGUGCCUCGAUCUCCUGCUCCGGUGAAUCCCUGCGCCUCGCAUCUAGUCUUCGACACGUCCUCUUGAUGCCUUCGCCGCCAACACCGGCAAGUUGCGAGUCCCCAAGCCAUCUUCCACGCCUCACCAUGCUUCGUCGGCCGCUGCCGCACACGAGGACGUUGCUCCAGUGCUACCUCGCCGCGUCCGAGCACGCAUAUGUGCUGAAGGUGAGCCCCGCGCCCCUUCCCCGCGCCAUGGCGUGCUGUGCCUUCUUCAGUGACCAGAGGAUGAACGCACGGAAGGUGCUCGAUGGAAUGCCUGAUAGAAAGAAUGUUGUGAAGAAGAUGACCCUCUAGUCAUUGACAGGUGGGGCCCAGUCUCAUUUGCCACAUCAUUCGGUCAAAGUUUUUGGUCUUCGCCAUGUCAGCCCAACAAGUGGGGCCAACCUGUUAGUUUCACUAUUUUCGUGAGCUUAUCAGAGAAUUAGUGCUCGGAGUUAUGGGUUAGGCGCAAAGUUGGUGGUUUUUUGUGCCCUGACUCAAAUGUGGUACCAAGUUGUUACCCUAGCCCAAAAUGUGGUGGUUUUGGGUAAAUAACUCUGAAAUUCUCCCACCAAGAUGUUGCGGGUCCAUCAAGCUGAUGUGCGGCAAAGCGCACUCUCUCCGCAUCUGUGCAUCCUGUAGUGGUCAGCUCUCUUCCAAUCUUGCGGAGCCAAUCAUCUGCAACUAUCGGCUCGGUGCUACUAGAGAACACCAGCGGAUUCAACCUUAGAAAACGGGCUAGGUGGACAACAGGGGGUGGUGGUGGUGGGUUGUUGUCGUUGUUGUUGCCUUGGUUCUGGUUCUGAACUAGUAUCUGCAUCAAGGCAUUCUGCUGCUGGAUCAAGUGAGUGAGCUCCGGCGGGGAUGCAAAUCCAUUGUCGCGUCUCGGAGGCAUCUGAUGGGUCAGAAGGGGUGAGGAAACAGAAUAGAAUUGAGGUCUAAGAGAGAUUCACUACCCAUAUGCUCAUGAGACAAACACAAUCAAUUUCACUUCAUUCAAUAGCACACCAGAUUCACACAAAUGAUCUAACAUAUGAUUCGAUCGUUGCUAACUACUUGGAGGAAUACUACUAGUUACAUGGUGGUCAUCUAGAAAUUUUAAUCAGAGGAAGACUCCAUAAUAUCUGCUCUAGCUUCGUCAAUGUAGUCGUCUUCACUGUCAUCACUUGCAUCACUAUCUGUGUCGGUGUCGCCCAUGAUGAUGUAGUCCUCCGAACGGAUCUCCUUUGCUGGUUCUCGCUUGUGAUUCUCCACUGGUAGUCCUAGCUUCCUCUUCAGGUCUUCAUGCUUCUCUAGUAGUACGGCAAUCUCUCCCUCAUAUCCAUCGCGUGUAGACUUAAGUUCCUCUUCUAGCUCGAUGUUUCUCUUCAUCAGCUUCUUGAUAUUCUUCAUGUGGAUAAUUUGUUGAUUCCCAAUAUGAUCUCCCAUCUCUUGAAUGUAGGCUGUAAUUGAUCCAUCCCUCCUGGUACGAAUCAUCUCCCAUUCUUCAUCUCGGCGGCCACAUAUUUGAUAAAUGGUGUUCUUCAGCUCCUUGUGAUACACCUCAAAUAUACGUCCAAAGGUGACAUGGGUUGCCAUGCUCUUUCCUAAACUCCAGCUUGGUGCAUCCAGGUAGAAAUCAAUAGGCCCCGUUGUUGGCGCAAAUGUCCUCCCAGGUACCCAAACUUUGAUCUUCCAGCGUUCCUCUUCCGGUAUAGUUGUAGAGAAAGUCCCCGUGAAUCUUGGUAGUCCGAUGUUCAGGUACUUAGUGACUUCCUUCAAGUGUCGUCCUAAAGGGGUGUCGACAUCUGGCUGAGUGAACUUGUUCCUAGGAUCCGCCAUCUAUAGAGUAGAAAUAGAGGAGAGUUCAAAAUGAGCAGAGAAGAGAAAUCGUGUGGCUUAUUCUAGUGGUCACAUCCUACAGUCAAUGUGUGCUCUGAUACCAUCUUGUAGCGACCACGACCCGAAUGGACCGAAGUCUCUGUGCAUCAGUGUCAUUCCUAGAUCGGUAAUGCUGACACGCACAAUACUUGAGGAAUUAUAACAGAGUUCAAUCACACACUUAUUACAUCGAGUCCUCAUAAAGAGUAUGAUUACACAAAAAUAUGGUUGAAGGCCAUCUAAACUAAAUAACUUUGGAAGCUUCGAAUGUAAAUGAGUCAAUCAACUCCAACGGCAUAGCUGAGUGCAAGACAACCAACCUAUCACACCUUAUUCGUCGUCUGAAUAGUCUGCAACAUCAGACGUUGCAGCCGUGUAGAUCAGCACAUUGAAUAUGCUGGCAGAGUUACACUGUAAAGCAAUGAAAUGCAAGAACUAUAUCUACAUGUAGUAUUUGGCUGGUGGAGGCUCUAAGUUUAUAAUUUUUGCAUAAAGCUAGUUUUUCCCUACAACAAAGGAAUAAAUUUAUUUAACUACUCCCAAGUUGUCCAAUAUUUGAGAAGGUAACCCCAACUCAAAUCCCAAUUAAAAGUAUCAUCAUUAACCCAUCAAUUUCAUUAAGUAAAGUGAUGACAUCAAAUCAAUAAUUCAACUACCAGAUACUCAAGAUGUCCAUAACCGGGGACACGCCUAACCAUGAUUAGUUUAUAUACUGUGCAGAGGUUUGCGCACUUUUCCCCACAAGACUCGACCGCAUCCAUGAUCGGAUGAUCGAGACAUAGUCUUUCUAAAGCACUUACUCUCUACUCCGGGAGGACCGGUACACCUACUUUCCCCUACAUCUGCUAGUCCACCUCUUCAAGAGCUCAUGCAACUUACUCUACUACUUCCUUCUCUCUCCCCCUCCCCAAGGCCACUCUCUUGAUUUGAACCUCAACGUGACACGAGGAACUCUUCCUUCCUUGUAUAUGAAAUGAAUCCCGUGCGGUAGAUUGAGUGAGUGGGUGGGGUUCAAAAAGGAUGCGCUCCGAUGCUGCCCGGCGUGUCCACCAACAUUUGAGGACCCAUCUUUAUGCAUUGUAGUUGGAUACUGUAGCACCAUGGUAGAGGAGACGGUUCCGCUCUUAAGGGCCCGUUCGGAGUGCAGGGUUGGUAAACAAUGGAAUGGGAAACUUUCUAGGAAUAUAAUUUACUUGACUGGUGGAAUCUUUGGAAUGGAAAAUAAAGGAAUGUAUACUUUUCCUGCAUUCGGCGCCAAGUUCUAGAAGCAAAGGAACGAGGAUAAAAGCUAGUGCAUGUAGCCUUCCUCCAAUGAGAUGAAAAUAUUUUUUUAUUCAGCCAGACAUGCGACCUACACUGCGGGCCAGCCUUUUUGGGAAAUUCUCUCAGAAUUGACCCCCUCCCAGCUUCUUCCAGAAUUGUCACUUCAUUUUUUUUAUAAUUCCUAGCUAGUUAAGGUGUAAAGCCCCAUUCGAUUUGGAGGAUUUUCAUAGGAAAAACAUAGGAACAAGGAUUCCAGAGGAAAAUUUUCUAUAGAUGCAUUCGGUUUGUAGGAAAGGCGUACAGAAAUAUCAUAGGAAUACUACUCAUUUCCUGUGUUUUUGGAGGAAACUAGACAUUCACUCAAAGCUCAUUUUACGCGUAGGAACGAGGCAAAUCAAUUCCUAAGGAUGGCAAGUGUCAUCCUAUCAAAUUCCUAUAUUAAUCCUAAUUCCUAUGUUUUAGUUUCCUCCGAACCGAAUGAGCCCUAAUUAGUUAGGAAUUGUAAAAAAAAUAAUAGAGUGGCCAUUCUGGGAGAAGCUGGGGAGGGGGUCAAAACUGGCAUGCGUCUCUUUUGAUUCCGAUGCAUGUAAGAAAUUCUUUAUUCGACUGGCUGAUGCCCCGCAUCGGGCUUCCGCCCAAACAUUGGGUCCCAGUGGAUUUUCUAUUUCUAGUAAAAAGUACAAAGCAGGUACUCUUUUCUAUGGAAUGAGAGACGAGUAAUCCUUUGAACCGAACGCACCACAAUUUAUUUUUCCAGAGGAAAGCAAGGCAAUGUUUCCUGCAUAAUUCCUGCAGAUCGAACGAAACCUAGGGUGUAUUUGGUUGCAGUUUGCAACAGUAGUUGCAUUGCAUGUCCAUCUCCAGCCAGCCUGAUUGCUGAAAUACAGCCUCAUAUGCAGCAGAUGCAACCUGUUUGGUUGCCUGCAUCGCAUCGAGAGGCACUUACCCCUCUGCUGUUUGGUUGCCCGCAUUUGUACUUAGGGUGUGAGCAGAUGCAAACUUCAGCUGUUUGGUUGCAAACAGCGUUUGUGUUCUGCUCACCCCAUUCAAAUGUGGUGGCCUUACCACCACACAUGAUCAGCACAACAGCAACAGCACAACAGCAAGAUCAAACAAAGCAAGCAAUGUAAUGACAGCAAACUACUUAACUAGAUAGCAUAAGUCUAGAUUAAGAGCAGGGGCAUCCUCCUUCCCUGCUCCAUGCCAGGGUGCUGCUCCUGGCUAAAAUAUGAACAAGUUCCCAGCACAAGUCUCGCCACACACCAUAAAAGUUCUCCACUAACACCUUACUUAACUUAACUACAUAGCCUGCUCGAUGCCACCAAGGCAAUUGUGCCUGCUGCAACGAUAUCUGCACAUCACCGACGAGUCGUGGUUAUAGAUCUGAACCUUCAGUCCGAGUCCUGAGAUGCGCACAACGACGAGGUCGCCGGGGACGAUGCGGUGGCGGCGGCAAAAGUAGUUCCACCCCCGGCCAAGCACCAUGUGGCCCUCGAAGUUCUGGACCUACACCCAGAACAUGCACCGCUUGUUGGCCGAGAGCCUGACCAUGUGCGGGAGUCGCUUGAUGACCAGCCAGGUGUUCAUCACCUCCACGAACUUGGGAGGGACGACGAGCAUGGUGAGGUCCUCGUUGUCCUUGAUCUGCUUGUAGAAUCUCACCGGCUCCCUGGCUCCCUCCUCGUGGCCCUGCCUUCGAGAUCGUCCCCUUGAACGAGGCACACUCAUGAAGGCGAUCCUGCUAGGCAGGUCCACCGUCCUGAGCCACCUGUUCGUGGGGACGAAAUCCUCGAUGCGCUCAGCUCCGACCACUACCUGAGCUCCUCCACCCGCCACAUCCCAGUGAGUCUUCAGUAUCUUGUCAGGCAACAUGGCAAGUAUUAGUACCAAACAAAGCAAACAAAGCAAGCAAGCAAAUGCCACUAAUCAGUGGACUUGCCCAACAGCAAGUGCCACUGAUCAGUGACAUGUGCUCAUGACCAAAUGGCAAUGAUCUGUGGCACUUAGUGUUGGGCAAGAGCACUAAUCUACUUGCUGUAGUGCAAAUGGCACUAAUGACACUGAUCAGUGACUUGCCCAAUAGCAAGUGCCAUUGAUAAGUGGCAUUUUGCCCAACAACAAGUGUCAUUGAUAAGUGGCAUUUGCCCCUAGGCAAAUGCCACUUAUCAAUGACACUUGUUGUUGGGCAAGUCACUGAUUAGUGGCAUCUUCUUUGCUGCAACUGGCACUGAUCACUGCACUAUCCUAAACAAGGAAACAUCUAAAAAUAGCAACAGCAAUUGCCAAUAGCACCCAUGUGCAGCCAUGCAGAUUUGGGACCAUCCUAAAAUGGUCCUACUACAUGCACGUAUAACAUCCACUGAUGGCACAAACCCUAGCUUCAACAUGCAACAUGAAACAAUAACAUGAUUCUAACAUAAACAUGCCAUCAGUCAACAUGAUUCUAGCAUUCAUCACUCAACAUGAAUAUGUCAUCAGUAUAACAUUCAUCACUCAGCAUGAACAUGAUUCUAGCAUGAACACACCUACUAGCAUGUAGCAUAAAUCUUAGGACACACAAGCAGUAGCACAAGAAAAUUAUCCUAGCACACACACUGUACAAAACAAGAACAGAUUAGUCUGAUUGGAUUCGAUUGGGAUCGCAUCCAAUCGGAUCUGCUAGAAUCCUAUCAAUCCUAGCACAUGCAUAAGAAAUUAACCGCUAAUCUACAUCUAGGAGCAAGCUUUGAGGGGAUUUGACUCACCAGAGCACGCGCAGCCGCGGCGAACCGAAGCCAGGGUGAGAACCCCAGCGGGAAGGAUAGAGGUGGCGGAGUAGAGGAUGAGCCGGCCCCGGCGACGGCCUGCGGCAUCGGCCCCGUGCUGAACGCCAUGCCGAAGGUUGAGAAGGACGGCCCGCCGACCGGAGAAAACCCUUGGACGGGGGUCAAGAAAACCCCCGAGCCCAAUGGUGUCCCAAGAAGGGCGGCUCCGUCGACGGCGCCGGCGCCGGGCCCAAGACCACGACGUCCGGAAUCGGCGGCGGAGUAGGAGCGGCCGAUACCGCAUUGGCCGACGGGCGUGGAGGCUGGCGGCAGAUGGGGGACGGCGCCCAUAGUGCCGACGCCAGGUCGCGGCCCGAGUUCUGGAGCCCGGCCAGCCAGCCCUCCGGGAUGCUGGCGAUGUGCUGGUCGACCGGGGUCAGAGGGCGGCGCGGCGGUGGGCGUAGCGGAGCCAUCGAAGAAGAGGAGAGAAGAGGAAGGACGGUGAGAGAGAGGGAGCGGUGGAAACAGUGGGGGUAGGCGGUGACAGGAGAGUGUGGGGCGAGUAAUAAAACGUCGCCUUCGUCUUCCGCGCUUCUCAAAACGUGCAACUGCCCCGCACGCCCGGCCGCGCCCGGCUAGGCUCGCAAGAAACUGCCGAUUCGGCAGUUUUCGUCGGGCCAGGCUGCGGGCUGCUUUGAGAUCCGUGCGGGCCUCAAACCGCAUGCAGCCCAGCCAAACAAACAGGCCGCGCAUAUUCUGCGUGGGCCUGGUUGGGCUGCACGCGGGCAACCAACACGCCCCUAGUCUCACCCGUGUCUCAGGGUUCAUGUACCGAGAUGACACUAGACGCAGUUUGCAGAUCCUAGAAACCAUCUGCAACUGCAAACUCACAUUCUUCCAAAGCUUUCCACUCAACGGCUGGCGCGUCUCCACGCGUCUCCCAAUCCAGCCAUCAGUCCGAACCCAGGUGCACCACACCUCCCACUCCUUUCCUCGGGCCCCCUUCGAGCUUCCCAGCCGCGAGCUCCCUCCGACCGAGCUCGCCCAAACGAAUGGCAGCCACAUCCGUCGCCUCCGCCCCGCGCCCGCUCCGCGCGACGCCGCGCCGGCAUCCUUGCACGCCCUGCCGCCGCCACCACGCCGCGCCGCCCCACGCCCUCCGCAGGCCGCGCCUCUCCGUCUCGGCCUCCGCCGCCGACGAAGCCAGCAGCGCCUCGUCGCCGUCGUCUUCGCGGUUCUACUUCAACUUCACCGGCUUCCCCUUCCCGCUCGGCCCCUUCCUCAACCGCCGCACCACCCGCACCGAGGUGAUUGCUAGCAGCUGCACCUCAGCCUGCUGCUCCCCGAGCUCAUGGCCUCACUGCGUUCCCUCUCCGAAGUCUGAAAACUCCUCUCCGAAUGCAGGCCGUGAAGGGCAGCGUAUGGCUGUUCGAGCAGGAGCAGGCGCUGGGCUUCAGCAGCGUCUCCACCAACACCCGCAUGACCGUCGUCAGGCUCCGCUCCGGCGGGCUCUGGGUGCACGCCCCCAUCGCCCCCACCAAGGAAUGCAUCCAGGUACGCUUCAGUUUCAGCAAAGAAAGCAACCGUUCGCGCGGCUCCUGUUCGACAUUAAUCCGAUGCCAUGCCAUGUGCAGCUGAUCAAGGAGCUGGGCGCGCCGGUGGAGCACAUCGUGCUGCCGACCUUCGCGUACGAGCACAAGAUCUUCCUCGGGCCCUUCUCCAGGAAGUUCCCCAGGGCGCAGGUGUGGGUGGCGCCGCGCCAGUGGAGCUGGCCCGUCAACCUGCCGCUCGAGUUCUUCGGGGUCUUCCGGUCCAAGCCCCUCGAGGACGAGGACGACGCCACGCCCUGGGCCGCCGAGAUCGAGCAGAAGGUGCUCAGCUCGCCGGAAGUUGGUAUUCCCAGUUCCUCACUGCGCAUUCUCAUCUCUGAACACCAUUGUGGGUGCAUUGAUGCACACAUGAUAAUUCCCGUGUAAAUUGGGUGCGUUCAGGGAUUGGGCCGUAUGUGGAGGUGGCGUUCUACCAUAAGCCUUCCAGGACAUUGCUGGUGACGGAUGCUGUGAUUUUUGUUCCUCGGCAGCCACCCGAUUGCAUCAGCAAAGAGUCCUUGUUGGCAGCUGCCAAGAAUGGCUUGGCAGUGAAGAUAUUGAGCAAAGGGAGAGAGGUUCCUGAUGAUCCCGUUGAGGACAACAAGCUGACCCGGCAGACAGGUACAUACAAUCUGAUGCCAUUUCUGAACUAAUUGACAUAAAGUGAAACAAGAAUUAGCUGGAAACAGUGAGAUCUUGAGUUCAUGUUAGAAUUGAGGUAGUGCAGUAGCACACUAGCUGCAUUGUUUUCCACUAGAUUCAGAGAAGUGUCUUCAGAAAAUUGUCUAUAUUCACGUAUUUCAGUUAGUUUUUCCACAUUUUGAGAAGGAGCAACAUUCAGUAGUCUAGCGUUUUAACUGGACUAUAGUUGUGGAAGUACCUCUAUUCAGAAUCAUACAUUAAGUAUCUGGAAUUUGUAAAAUGCAGAGUUCAUGUUUUAAAUAAGGUACUGUAGUAGAACACGGGAUUGAUUUCCAUCUAGGGCUUUCUUGUUGUACUGUAGUAGAACACUAGAUUGAUUUCCAUCUAGGGCUCAGAAAAAUGUUAGUGCAGAAACUUGUCCAUGUUCACUUAUUAACUUCGGUUAGCCUCUUCGAAUUUAAAAGGUAGCAAUAUUAAGUAGGAAGGUCCUUUUGCCAGUAUCUCUGUGGUGUUCUAUUGCUUAGGGCUUUCUGUAUCUGAAUGCUGUUAGAUGACAUUCUGUCAAUCUCUGUCUUCAGCGAUUCCUGUUGCUUAGGGCUUUCUGUAUCUGAAUGCUGUUAGAUGACAAUCUUUUGUGUUCAGCGAUUCCUUUGGCAGUACGAAGGCUCUAACAUCGUAGCAUCAUCACACAGCAUGUAAACAACCAAAUACAGUCACAAAAGCAUCAUAAUCAGUUUUUUUAGAAAAAGCAGAGUUCACUUGUGGGAUUUUAUCCAUCGGCAUGUCAUCAUAGAAAGAUGUAUUUCUAGUUCUCCAGAUUGUCCAGCAAAUAGCUACACCGCCAGGAAGGAUGAGCUUUUGUUGGUUUUUAGGAAAAGAAUUUAACGAGCCCCAAACCUGGUCUAUGUUCGAAUCGCAUUGCAUAUUCGAAUCGACAAUAUCGAUAUUGUUACAGUAACCUGGUCUAUGUUCCAACAGGAUGGGAGAGGAUGGUACUUCAAAUACUGUUUCUCGGCCCCUCAAAUCUUCUCGAGCCAAAUGCGAGUUUCGCUCAAAUGUCACAGAAACUGAUCGUUUCACCAAUUGUCAAGACACUCGUCUUCAGCAAAGUUCCGGAGAAGGUAUGCAUGUGGAUGCACUCCUUUUUACACUGGACUUUCCUGCUAAAUAGCAUCACCUGCUUCUUGUGCAGGUGAGGGACUGGGUGGACAGGAUCGCGGCGGACUGGCCGUUCCGACGGAUCAUCCCGGCGCACUUCGCCGCCCCAAUCAACGCGAGCCGGUCCGACUUCCUGGCCGCCUUCGCCUUCCUCGACGAGUUCCUCCCGGACCGCCCCGCCGCGUCGCUCGGCCUGCCCCUCAUCUUCGCCUCGCUCAUGGGCAAGGCGGCCAGCUACUUCCCGCCGGACGACAUGAAGACCCUCUCGUCGCUCGACGACUUCCUGGUCUCCGUCGGCGCAGUCAAGAAGACCGUCUCCGGAAGGAAGCGAUGAUACGUACCGCAGAAACCGCUGCGCUGUGCAUAGUUUUGUCAAGAAAUGAAAUGUCACUGGCUGCUGCUGUAAUAGAUGAUUUAUCCACAUUGUUGCAGAAUGCGUGUAUAGAGUUAGUUACUACCUAGAUUAUAUAGUAGUACGACGAAAUGGUUACAGUUUUCAAUAGAAAAUUGUGAUCCGAAAGCUAGGAUCGGCCAGGAUACAGUGAAACAUUUGCCAUUGUGUGCAUCUUGUUGCAGUUGACAGUACACAUUUUCGUUGGCCGGCCCCCGGGCGGAGGGCACGGACGAGUGAACUGCUGCGACGGCACAAGAUUGGGAUGAUAUGCACGGUCGGUUGGGAGUUACUCCGCGGCCCGACCGAUCCAGUUUCCGCUGAGUAAAUGCACGGGGGCUGCCUCCAUGAGCCGGCACACGCGGAGUGAAGUGAAGUACACGGGAGCUGCAAUGCACCACGUUCACGCGGCAGACAGUUACCUCAUUAACCAGCACGUACGUACGUACGUACAUCGCUUGUUUUUUCUAACACAGACGCAAGCGCUCGUACAUACGUGCAUACACUCACCUCUAUGAACGCGCGCGCACACACACCCUAUCAUUAUGAGCACCUUCGUGAGACUGAGCCGGCAUAUCAUCUCGAAAUUUACGAAGUCACCGUAGGCGCCUCACCGUCGAUGGAAACGUCUCCUUCCACUGAAAGCGCAUCGCCGGAAAUCCUGAAAGGACUUGAACCCUGGUGGGCUCGGGAUACCACUGUCCCUCCAUCCAACCACAGGUUGGUUUGCCGCUUGUUGGGUACCCUAUCAUGUGUACCGCAGUCAGCCUUGUUGUACCACGUAGCAGUACAUCAGUUUUUUUCCCUGAGGGGAAUUUUUUUUUUACACAAUCCUGAGGGGAAGUACAUCAGUUGUUGUAAGACGUACGUGUACAUCAUUUUCGGUUCAUGGCUAGAAAGUGGGCUGGUACUACUCCGGUUUUCACUUUUGUUGAUGGGCUCAACCUCAACGUUUAGCUUUCGAGUUUUUAAUAAACAUGAAUUAUUUGGCUAUCUCGCCAAUCUACAUGCAUCAUCUGUUUUUUUUAAGCAGAUCUAUAUGCAUCAUCUGUUUUUUUUAGAGAGAAUAUGCAUCAUCUGUUGACGCAGGAGGUCGCCGGUAAUAAAUGUCCCAUUUAAGGAAAGAUGGAGCCUUGGCAGUUGGCACCGAAGACAGCACGUACGGGUAAAUGCAAUGGCAAUGUAACUUCAAAAAAAAAAUGCAAUGGCAAUGCGACGGAGAAAUGUUGGUCUCUCUCUAAUGCACGUAUGUGUAACGUUUUCACAUCUGAAAACGGUAGCGGUGUAGCACCACUACACGUGGGCACAGUAGUUAGUAGUUACAGUAGUACUCGUGACUUGUCCUACUCACAAAGUCAGAGGCCUCACUGCGUGUCCGUAUCCCUGUCAGACCCAGGCCAGGUAGUUAAGUUAGUUACCACGGCCACAAGGCAGAAUGAAGUCAUCAUCACAAGUCAAAAUUACUCCACUGUAACUUCGCAAUGCAGAUCGAAAUUAACCACGAGCGAGCGAAAUUAAUGCCACGCAACGCAAGGCCGAGACGGAGGCAGACAGACGGUGGUGCGCCAUUAAACCUCCUCCAACCUUGCCUCGCCGUCACAGGGAGGGGCAGCGCACAUUAAACCCCAGCGGCGCGGCCCGGCCGCCGACCGCCGUCCGCCGACGCCGUCCGCGGCCGUGGCAAUGAGAGCGCACAGUGCAAAACGCUGCCACGGAUGACCUCGUCUUCUGGUGGUCAGAUACAGGGCACGCCAAGCCUGACCUCAUUUUCUUUCUGUUUAAGAACGGAACGGAACGGAUACGUGUGAAAGAGAAGAAAAAUAAUGGCAUGGCGUCGCGCCGGUGUCCACGCCGUCAGCCACAGUGAGAAAUUGACAAUCGAGCGGACGUCACGUCGGCGGCGGCGCAAAAACUUGCGGUUUUUUCUUCCUUUGCAUUGAUUGAUGGCGCGAGCCGGGUAACGGCGAAAUUAUGCUACAAGACUAGAGCAAAAAUGACACGAAAGAACCAAGAAUUCCGAGGAGGAAGAAGAAGAAGAAGAACUGGCCUAUACAUAUGCUAUAUCUAUGUUACUGGCACGCAGAGAUGUAUGAGCAAGCAGGCAGGCGUCGAUCGAUCGAUCCUCCAUUGUAAGUCCUUUCCGGCCGGGCAGUCGAGCGGGUGCGCCGCCGCGGAAAGCAGGAACAAGAGAGGACGAUCGAUCCUUUCCUCGCUGAAGAACCCAGUCGGCCGCCUGCCGGUGAUCCGUCCAAGAAACCAAGAACUGACCCCGCCGUCGUCGCCGGCCCGCCUCAGUUGUGCAGCGGGUUGGGGCCCGUGGGGACGCGCCGCUUGGAGACUCCGUAGCGCAUGUCGACCUCGUCGCGGCCCGGCGGGGGCAGCGGCACCGCGGGCGCGCCCUGCUGCUGGUGGUGGCGGUGGUGGCCGCCGUGGCGGUGCCGCGCGCCUCCCCUCAGGGCGCGCCGCCUGAUCAGGUGCAGCUCCUCGCACCACGCCGGGCGCGGGCCAGCGCGCGGGUUGCACAUCCUGGCGAGGACCGCCUCGUCGGCGGCCGUCAGCUCCGCGGGGCUCGCGCUCCCGCGUCCUGGCGGUGGCGGUGGCGGCGGCGGGGCGGAGCAGAGGAGGAGCAGGGACGCCAAGAAGAGGAGGCGGAGGGCGCAGGAGCAAGAACGCGCCAUGGCUGCGCCGGCGCACGCGGGCGCGACUGGCCCGCCUGUCUUGCGUCGCUCCGGCGGUUCUUGGAGGGCGGAAUGGUGGCUCGGGGAGCGCGCGCGCGGCGAGGGGCGGCCGGGCGGGCGAGAGGUGGAAGGGGCCUAGCUGUGGCGAGCGGGGGGCUUGAGCCGAGAGGGACGCGGUGGAAAUUGGUCUGGGAGGGUGCGGUUGGCUUUAAAGGCAGCGGCGUGAGGUGCAUGAGGAGCUGGAAAACAGAGACGGCGAAAGGAGAAGUCAAGCCAAGCUAUUGCACGUAUCUGGGGAUCCCGACCCCCCAACUGAUUUAGGGGCAGGCAAAGAGCAAGUUAUGCAAAAGGGGCGAACUUUUUUUUCUAGUAAUACAUGUCUCGUUAAUAAAAUAAAAAUUCGCUUACAAGCCACGUAAACAUCGACAUUACAGGACUGGAAAGAUAGGAUAAUCCUAUGAAAAACCCAGCGCAUAUCCCUCUCCACUAAAAAAAGGCAGAUCACCUCUUCACCCCAGCUCGAGGCGGCUCCAUACUGAUCAGCAGCUUUACGGACCUUCAAAGUAGUUUGCCUGAAACAAAACCAUUGCCCUUGAAAGAAUCAGACUGGAGGAACGUGUCCCCGGACACGCCAUCAAACUUCAGAACUGACACCCCCGCACGACUACGGCGUCGGAGGAGGAAACUAGAACUACCAGCCUCCAAUCAUAGACCCAGCACAAGAUGCACCAUCUUUCAGCUGUCACUUGCAUACACAAGCGUCUGCGCGUACUCUUGGAUGACAAAACCUCCCUGCUCCACUAUGACGUCGAAGACAACGCCGCAACAAUGGGGACGGAGCAGUAGGAGAGACACACCUGAUGGAGUCGCCACCGCCGCCGCCUCGCCGACACCAUCCAUGAACCUUAACGCCGCCGAUCUGAAAGAUCGACAAACACAAGAUGCCAUCAACUCCGAGACGCCGCCAUGAAGGGCACCGCCGGUGUGGGAGGGAAGUUGAGGCGGAUUUAUUCGUCCGGGCGCCGCUCCCAUCACCCCAACGGCGCACCACGACCUACAAAUCCAAACCAUAACUACAAAGCGGAGGAACAGGUCCCCCCUUCCUCCUGCCGCCGGAGCAGCAGCCGGAGGAGAGGGGGCCAUCGCCCUCGCAGUGGAGAUCGGUGGAAAAAGAGAUCGCCUCCCUAGUCGCCUCCUGGUGGCGGCUAGGGUAGGAAAACGUUUUGUUUCGGUUCAGAAAAGGGCGACCCUCUGGACUCGAAAAAGCUACUUCCUCCAUGCAAUAAUGUAAGACGUUUUUUUAUGAUAGUGUCAAAAAACAUCGUAUAUUAUGGGACGGAGUAGUAGAUAACUAACUGUUCGUGUAUUGUAAUUAUGUGAUUACGGGUCAAAAAUGGAUGUAUGUGCUUGUUGAAUCUUUUUAUAUUGUUACGUAUCAAAAAUAGUUGGCAAUUUAAUUUGCUUGCUGACUUAUCAAAUAAAACUCAAACCGAUAAGACGUGGGGCAAUUGAGACAACUUUCAUGCAAAAACCUGUAGGAGAAAAGCGGAAGGAGGACAUGAAAUGCGGAGGGAGAGGGAGAGGGCGGAAUAGGGAGAGGGGGGAACAAGGCAGGUUAGAAAGCUUAUAAAUUAUUUAACUGCUUGUGUAUUGUAAUGAUGUGAUUACGAAUCAAACAUGGGCGUGUGUAUUGUAUAUUGUUAUAGCAUUUUUCUUUGGAAUCCUCUUGAUUCGUGAUAUAGGUUGUUGAUAUCGCCUUCGUUUUCUCCGGAAGUCGUGACAUAUUCACCGAUGAUAGCUGGGGUUUAAGGUUAGUGUUCUUCGGGGUGUAAGGUCCAUACGCCACCUGGACUUAUAAUAACGGUUAGUGGUUUUUCACUGCUGGUGGUGGUUCAAGUAGGAUGCGAUGGAGUGGGGCUGGGAUGAGCUGGCGCGUUGAUCAAUGCUAAGACUAUGAAAAUGACAACGAGAGGUUGUGGCAAAGAGGUGGUGCUGAUUCAGCAACCACAACCGACAAUAGAAUGGGAGAAGGUAAGGGCGUCGGACUAUGAGAAAGAAGACAUUAUAUCAUAACGGAGGAAAAUGGAUAAGGAGAGGCCCGUCUAGGUCUCUACGCCAAUGACACGUGGGGUUUCAGUGCUAGAGAUGGUUCGAGAAGAAGGAAAGAAGUGUGUUAGGGCGAUAGAGCAACCAAGUUUUUUGGAUUGAAGGAGGCAGUGGAGAAAAGUCGUGUAUCUUGAUUUGACGAGCUAAUCAAAUCACACUUGACUCACAGGUGGGAACUCAAUUUUGUCUUGCUGCAAUAGAUUUCGGGUUAUAUCAAAGGGUGCCAUUCAUCACACGUACUAUUCAAAUGUUGCUAUAAGUAUCACCAACUAUUUACUACGACACUGACAACAUAACAAUCUCGCCCAAAAAUGGUUCACAUUGACUUAGACAAUUAAGCAGCUAGCGUAAGCCCUAAGAUAUAUGGGUCCAUCCACAUUAAGUUGAUUGGGAUUGGUUUUUUCUUAUAUCCAAGUCUGAUUCUAAAAGAUGGAACGUCAAUUUAGUGAAACACACAACCUCAAGUUCUUUUUUGUUUUACUAAGAUACACUUUUUCUGGAAAAUAAGUUGCUAUAUCCAGUAUCCUAAACUAUGCUAAAGCCACCCUUUUCUGAAAUGUGGCGAGAAUCAAAGACUUGUGUCUUAAUUUGGAAACCUAAUCAAGUCAUAAAAGACUCACAGAUGGGCACUCAAUUUUUUCCCUUGCUGUAGCAAAUAUUGGAUUAUAUCAUCAAGGGUGUCAUUCAUGACACACACAUACACAAUCGUUGCAAUAAAUAUCACCAACUAUUUAGUACAACGCCGGCAACAUAACAAUCUCAUCAAAAACAUGGUUUACAUUGACUUGGACAAUUAAACAACUAGCAUAGUAAGAUAUAUAACGGCCCAUCUACAUUUAACUCGGCCGAGGUUGAUUUUCUUAUACCAUCCGAGUCGGUUCCAAAAAUUGCAGCGCUAGUUUCAAGUGUUUCUUUUACUAUAAGUACACUUUUCUGGAAAAAAAGUUGCAGUUUUGAGCAACGCUGUUUCCUGAAAUGCAUUUACAUGUAACAAAAUUCUCAAGCGAACCAACGGAAGAUAUAGAUAUUACCUCUUCUCUUUUGGGGGGAAUAUGCUAGUUAUGGCAAAGGCAAUAAUAAAUCGCAUGUAUUUUUGGAGAGUUCCGUGAGACCCAUGCCACCAAGAAGCCCUGAGAUCCGCCUACUUCCCGGCUCGUCCAAAAACUGCCCGGGCAGCCGUUUCACCUCACCUCUGUCGGCAAGCCUUCCUUGCGCUGCCGUGUGGGAAGAAGAAGACGCAAAACCGUAUGUAGGGUCCAAGCUCCCAAGUUUUGCCAUCCCCAGCUGGUCAUCGUGAAGGUGCGGGGAGAAACGGCCGUGAAACCCUCGUCUCGGCCGGGCCGUGCGUGGCCGCGGAGCCCGCCGCACCGGCCGGUGAGCGCGGCGGCGACGGGCGCGCAGACGCGAUCCCGGCGGAAUGCUGUCGCUCUGGAUGUAACGUGUGACCUGCGUGCCGUGUUGACGCACGCCAGGGCCAUGUACCGCUCACUCUCCAACGAAGUGGAUGCGAUCGCUGUGCGGGUCGGGGCACGCGGUGAGAUUGAUGUCGACUCCCCGUUUGUGAUGGCAGACAUGAUCUGAGACCUGAGUGUAGAGCAACUUCUGUUGCCCGCGCAGUGUGAAUGAAGGAUGCACUAAAAUCGUGGUACACAAACGUCAACGGGCACAAGACAAGCAAGAUUUCUCUGAUGCUGCUACCAGCCGUGUCAAUCACUACGAUGGCGUGGGCGAGUGAAAGGGAAGUCGCAAACUGUACACGCGAUCAAAUGGCAGCUUCAUUUAUACAAACAGAGAUUGUUGAUUACAUACAAUGGUCCUGAUUAUCUCAGAAACUUCGUUAAACUAGCCAGCAUGACCCAGGAUCAUUUUCCGAUGAUUUUGCCAGAACAUGAGCUGCCAUAUUACAUGACCGAUUACCAUGAGUACAGAAAGAAGAUACAAACUUUAGAGCAUCUCCAACAGCCGCUAUAAGGAGUUGGGCGCGCGGUCGGAUUCGCUAUCUCGCGCGGUGUAUUUGGGGCGCCCGCUUCCGCGCGCGGCGCACACUCGAGCGCUCGCGCCGCACUCUCUCCUCUCUGCCUCCUACGCCCCGCGCGCGCCGUCACCCCGCUCACCCCAUUGUACAGCCGCGACCCCUCCCCCAUCGCCGCCGCCGCCGCCGGAAACCCUAGCGUGGGGAGCGUUGGCGUCGCCACCGCCGGAGCUCCGCCGAGCAUCGGCCUCGCGCGCAGCCUCUUCUUGCCGCCGCGGAUGACCACGGCGACGGGUGGCAUCGUGCCGGCGCCGGCCCGUGCCGCCGCCGCCCCCUCGAAGCUCCCCAAUGCGGCGCGGCCGAAGAAGGGCAAGACAUCCGCGAAGAAGAACAAGGCGGCGGACGGCUCCGGUAACUCGAAGGCGAGAGGAAAGAAGCUUGCAGGGCGUUUGAUGGGCGCGGCGGCUACCGAAGCACCGGCGAGCUCACUCGUUGAGCCGGCCGCCGACGCGCACCACGUGUUUGACGAAAUGCCCCCAAGGUAAAAAAAUCUAACUUUUAUUUUCUUGUUAUUUUUUCAAUGCAUCAUAUAGAUAGCUUAUUUGCAUUGUUCAAAAAACUUUGUAGUCUCAACGAUGAUGCAUACAUAUCAAUUAUGGGUGUUGGCUCCAACAAUAUGCAUUGGUCUCAAACCAAUGACAUCCAUUUCGAAGACCAUGAGUUUGAGGUGGACGAGGAGGGUGAGGGCAUUGUCAACGCGCCGAAAGGAAGAGCGGGCAAUUACACCAACAAAGAUGACAUCUUUCUAUGCAAUACUUGGUUGCAAGUGUCGAGGGAUCCAUCCAUUGGAGGUGAUCAAAGUAGAGAUGCUUAUUGGGGGCGGAUGAAAGAACACUUUGAUGCUCACAACGUGAGUGGAAUUGACCGCUUCGAGAGAUCACUUCGGUCCCGAUGGUCGACAAUCAACUCGGAUUGUCAAAAGUGGGCGGCCGCACAAAAGGCGGUUGACAAGUUGAAUCAAAGUGGCACAAAUGAGGACGAUAGAGUAAGUGGCAUUUCAUACAUGUUCAUCAUACUUGUUUUUGGUGUCCGAAGUGCUAACUUGUUUUGUUUUUCUUGUAGUACAACAUUGCACAAAACUUGUUCAAAGAAGAGGAGAGGAAAACCAAGAAGGGGAAGAUCAAGAAAGGAAGGGUCUUUACCUUGCCUCAUUGCUACAAGUUGUUGAAGGAUGAUGAGAAAUGGAAGAAGCGUGAAGAUUUGGAUGAUUUGUAUUUGAGCAACAAACGCAAGCGAACAAUUGAGUUGAAUGAUGAUGAUGAUGAUGAGGAGGAGGAGGAUGAUGCAUCAAGUGAUGACGGCAAGAGAAGCCCCACACCCAACUCGGUUUCAUACUCGAAGCCAAAACGACCGGCAAGAAAGACAAAACCGAAAAGAAGAAGAGGAAAGGAGAUGAUGAGCUCAAAAAUGCUAUGGAAGCUAUUGUGAAGGCAAGAAAAGAAGCCAACGAGGUGAGGAAAAUGGUAAGGAACCAAGAUGCCGCGGCCGAGGAGAGGAGGGUGGCGGCCAAGGAGAGGAAGGUGGCUUUGGAGGAGAGGAAGGUGAGCAAUGAGGAGCGAACUAGAUUGUUGGAAUGGGAGAAGCACUUGUUCUUUUUGAACACAUCUAACCUCAAUGAGACGCAAAAGGAGUGUGUCAAUCUUGCCCGUGAAGAAGUGUUGAUCCAAAAAAGAGCCAUGAUUCGCGCAAUGGGUGGCAGUGGCCUUGGCGGCAUGGGUGGCGGUGGCCUCGGCGCCAUGGGUGGCGGCGGCCUUGACGGUGGCCUUGGCGGCAUGGGUGGCGGUGGCCUUGGCGCCAUGGGUGGCGUGGGUGGCUUCAGAGGUACCAUGAGCGGCUUAGGUGCCAUGGAAGGCAUGGGUGCACCUCCGGCCGCCAUGGGAGGCAUGAGUGGCUUUGGAGCACCCCCUGACGCUAUGGCCGCCAUGGGAGGCAUGAGUUUUGCUUCUCUCAUGGAAGGCAUGAGUUUUGCUUCUCUCAUGGGAGGCAUGGGUGCACCUCCGGCCGCCAUGGAUGGAAUGUCUUUCGAUGUGCCUCCUCACACACAUUCCCAUGAAGAUGUCGUUGAAGAUCUUGUCAACACCGUCGGAGCUUCACGUGAUGCGGUGCGUGAUGAGGAGAGGGAGGAAGAUUCAUCUUCGAAGGCGGAAGAAUCGUCUUCGAAAGAUGAGGACGAAGACGAGGAAGAGGAUUGAUGUGUCUUUCAUUUGUGUCUUGAACUUGAUUUGCAUUUUGAACUUGGUUGGAUGAACUUGUGGAUAUGAUUUUGAACUUGUGGGCAUGAACUUUUAUUCAUCAACUUGUUUGUGUGAAAUUUUAUAUGUCAUGUUCAUUGCAUUUUGAAUGUUUCAAACUUAUUUUGUGUCCAAAAUGCCAUAUAUGCAAUGCCCGGCGAGUCACGCGCGCUGCAUUUUUUGCACGCUGCUGGAGCGGCGCGCGCACUGCAUUUUAGCGCGGCUGCUGGAGCAGGCGCUGGCGGCCGCGCUAAACCAGCCGAAGCGCGCGCGGUAAACUAGUUUUUUGCGCGCGGCGCGAAGCACGACUGUUGGAGAUGCUCUUAGAGCCCUACUCUUCUUAAUAUAAAAAACUAUGGCACCUGUUUGAGAUCUGUCAAUCACAGCAGUUGUAUUUUCUUUUUUUGAAACAAAGACAACAAAUUUGCCUCGCCGAUUAAUUAAGCGGAGAAGAAUUGCCUAAUUAAUUAAUGGAAAACCAGGCAAAAACCAAUCACAGCACUUCACUUUGGUGACCAAAGUGGCAGAGUCAGAUGCCACGACAAUUCUUUGGAAGCCUGCUUCUGCAGCAAAUUCUAGUGCACAACGCAUAGCAAUGGCCUCCGCCAGUUCAGGGUUAACCACUUGGGCCGCAUACCUCCUUUUGGCUGCAAUUAUCCUUUCAUUUGUAUGUAUACAUCAAAUAGUUAAGGGUUGCAGAUUCACUCUCCAUCAGCUGCACAGGCAAAAAUGACACGUUCUCUUUCAUCGAAGUCUAUAAGGCCUUUACAAUGAGAGGUGCUUAGGGCAGGUGCUUAGAGAAAUAAACCAGGCUUUUCUUAAGCACCGGUGCUUAUUUGUACAGGAUAGACGCUUAAUUAAGCGUCUCUCCUGUAGAAAUAGGCACCGGUGCUUCAGAAAAACUCGGUUUAUUUUUUUAAGCACCCCUCUAAGCACCUCCCAUUGUACAAGGCCUAAUGGUGCUUCACUAGCUUGGCCUUCCAGCACUACCAUUUCCAGAAGCAAAACAGAACUUCUCCCAAAACCAAGUCUGAAACCGGCACGAAAAAGGGCGAGGCACCCCUUUACUAAUAAUUCAGCACUCCAGGCUAACAAAGGCUAGCUAGCACCAUUAGAGAGUCUACCCUCGGUUUUUUCCAGCCACAAACUUCCAUCUAUUAGUUCAGCUAUCUGAAGACUUGUGCAGCAUCCAGGAGCAACAUCUAAUCUCAAAAAGGUACUACUAAAGAAAACAUGCAUUUAUGAAAAACAACGCAGGUCCUCAAUUGAAGCGCUAAAACAACACGAGUCUUCUCGGCAUACAAAAAACUACAUUAAGAUAGCAUCACCUCAGCCUUGCAAGUCGCUUGUUCUAGCAACAGAGGCCAGUAACGGAUCUGAUUCAUUUCUAAUUUAAAGAACCCUAUCCCUGUGCAGUCAUGCUAGAAAUGCCUACCUGACAGUGUAUACUGAGCACCGAAGAGACUCGAGCCCUGCUGCGGUUCACAUGUUCUUCUCAUCAUGGUCCUGCUAAAAUGAUCAGCCCUGUACUGUAUAACGAACCAUGCCCAGCGAUCAAAGAUAGAAGGAAAAAAAGUGUAAGCAAGUCCCGAACGAAAAUUUAUUUCCGGAUCCAAGAUGGGCAGGAUGAUUCCAAUCAACAGAGCAGACAAUACCAACUUAACGAUGAAACACCCAGAGACACUUGUUACUGAGUUAUGGCUGAAAACAUCAUCACAUGGAUGCCCCAGCUAAUGGAGAAAACGCAACCAAACUGACCCCAUGCGAUAAUUAACAAGCGGGCCAAAGGAUAAAGCUACAACUUCAAUCUGUCAAGGUCAAGAAGCGACCUAGAACUAUUAAUGACAACAUUAAAACUCAGUGUAGUUGUGUAGACGCGUUCUGAUUCAUUGAUAAGGUGACGAGCAUGGUGUGGUACAGUUCACCUAAACGCAUGUUGUUUGCCCAAGAUUCCACAAGAACCAUGACAUAAUUAGUGGAACAAAAUGAUCCAAGCCAGAGUCUCAAAUGUUUAAAACUAUCAGUAGUAUAAUGCAGUAACAAAUGUAACAGAGGCAAUACAACAGUCAAAACAUGAUCCAAGCUGCGGUUCACAUGUCCUUUUUUCAUAGUCCUGCUAAAAUGAUCAACCCACAUAUAACGAACCAGGCCCAGCAAAGAAAUGUUAGCAAGCCCCAAACAAGAUUUUAUUUCCGGAUCCAAAAUGGUCAAGCUGAUUUCAUUCAACAGAUUCAGACAAUACCGACUUAACGAUGAAACACCCAGAGACACUCGUCACGAGUUAUGGGCUUAUGUCUCAAAACAUCAUCACAUGGAUGGCCCAACUCCUGGAGAAAAACUUGCAUUAUGCGACACAUGUAAGCAGCAUACGUAGACACAAUCAAACUGACCCCAUACGAUAAUCAACAAGUGGGCCAAAGAAUAAAGCUACAACUUCAAUCAAUCAAGGUCGAGAAGCGAUCUUGAACUAUUAAUGACAACAUCAGAACUCAGUGCAGUUGUGUAGACACGCUCUGAUUCGUUUACAAAAAUAACCAUGACAAACAACACACAUGCUGUUUGCCCAAGAUCCCAGAAGAACAAUGACAAAAUUAGUGCAACAAAAUGAUCCAAGCUAUAUUCUCAAUGUUCAAAACUACCAGUAGUACAAUGCAGUAACAAAUGUAACAGAGAGGCAAUACAGCAGUCUAAACAUAGUAGUUGCAGCACAAACUCUACCAACUAAAAGGUUUCAAUCUUUUCUCAUGAAACAUCAGUUCAGAAGAAAUGCCUUGGUAAUGUAAGAGCAAGACAAACCACAUGAUUCUAAACAUGAGGUAGCAUUACAAGAUGCCAGCCUGAGCUAUCACAAAUCACAAAAACUAAAGAAAAUACACAUCUACAAAAAACAAUGCAGAUCCUCUAUUGAAGCGUUAAAACAACAUGAAUCUUUCACCAUACAAAAACUAGCAUCACCACAGCCUUAGUAAGUCGCACGUUCUAGCAACAGGCCAGUAGCGGCUCUUAUUCAUUUAUAAUUUCAAGAACCCUGUACAGUCAUGUUAUAAAUGCCUACCUGACGGUGUAUAUUGAGCACCGAAGAGACAUAAGCCCUGCUGUGAUUCACAUGUUCUUUUUCAUGGUCCUGCUAAAAUUAUCAGCCCUGUAUAAGAAACCAGGCCCAAAAAUCAGACGAAGCAAGAAACAUUGGCAAGCCCCAAACAAAAUGUUAUUUUCUAGAUCCAAAAUAGGAAAAGUUGAUUUCAUUCAACAGAUUCAGACAACGCCGACUUAAUGAUGAAACACCCAGAGAAAACUUGUUACAAGUUAUGGCUGAAAACAUCAUCACAUGGAUGGCCCAGCUAAUGGAGAAACACUUAUGCAGCACAUGUAAGCAGCAUAUGUAGGCACAACCAAAUUGACCCCAUGCGAUAAUUAACAAGCGGGCCAAAGGAUAAAGCUACAACUUCAAUCUGUCAAGGUAAAGAAGCGCUCUAGAACUAUUAAUGACAACACCAGAACAAGGUGCAGUUGUGUAGACGCGUUCCGAUUCAUCGAUAAGGAGAUGAGCAUGACGUACAGCUCACCUAAACACAUGCUGUUUGACCAAGAUCCCACAAGAACCAUGACAUAAUUAGUGCAACAAAAUGAUCCACGCGUGCGACAAAAUGAUCCAAGCUAGAUUCUCAAUGCUCAAAACUACCAGUAGUACAAUGCAGUAACAAAUGUAACAGAGAGGCAAUACAACAGUCUAAACAUCGUAGUUGCAGCACAAACUCUACCAACUAGCAGGGUCCAAUCUAAUUUCAAGAAACAUCGGUUCAGAAGAACGUUGGUAAUGUAAGAGCAAGACAAUCCCCAUGAUUCUAAACAUGAGGUAACAUUACAAGAUGCAAGACCGAGCUAUCACAUUUCCCCUCCAGUUCUCCUUGACUCCAUGUGUACAGGCACUGGGGCUGCAAGCCCAGGCUUGCCAUUGGUACUCUUCUUGCUGUUUGCGGCCUUCGUCUCAUCAGCAUCGGCAGAACUCGAGCUCUCAGAGCUCUCAUCAGCCUCGUUAGUGGCCUCAUUACCGCGAAAACUUACCUUCCUGUUCACAGUUGGGCGAUUCAUCCCAUGACAACCUUCAGGAUAAUCAUCGAAUGCGCCAUCCACGCCCAUCUCCUCCUGCUCUUUGAGGAGCACCUUGUCAACGAACUCCAGAAUCCGGCCGAGCUCCCGGCUCACGGCGUGCUUCCCCUCCCGGAUCAUCGGGUCCCCUCCCUGAUCCGAAAUCCACCAUCAAAACCAGACACACCAAUGGCAUAACCGAUGGGACCGAACAGAGGUCGUUGCAUCACCUGGAUCCCGUCGAGGCGGUAGAGCAUGCCCAGGGCGGCCUCGGAGACGGCCAUCGGGUCCUUGCACCGGCGGCGGCCGGAGCCGGAGAGGGACGCCCGGAGGGACGCGGCCUUGGAGCGGAGCAUCGCGAGCUCCUUGAGCUGGCGCAGCGUGCGGGAGCGCCGCGCCAGGAAGCGGCGGAAGUGCUCCUGGAUGGUGCGCGCCGCGAGCUCCCUCUCGGUCGGCGGCUGCGGCCCCCGGCGCGCGCGACGCGGCGGGGGCGGGGGCGAGGGCGAGCGCGGGUCCUCCUGGUGCGCGUGCGCGCGGUGGUGCCGGCGAGGGUUAGGCUGAUGGGGAUGCGGAGCCGGGGCGGAGGGGAGGACAUGCGGCAGGGUUGUCUCGAGCGCGGUCACGCGGCGGAGGAGCGAGUGGAGCAGCAGCUGGCCGUGGUCGGGCGGGUUCGGCUGCUGGUGGUGAUGCUGCUGCGGCGGCGGCGCAGGGGCGGCCGCGGGCGACUGGGGAUAGGCGUGAGGUGCGGAUCCCUGCUGGUGGUGCUGCUGGUAAGCGUAGGAGGCGUAGAGAUUCGCGUGGUGCGCGGCGGGAUUCGGCGGUGGCUGCGGGUGGGGCUGUGGCUGGUGCUGGUGCUNNNNNNNNNNNNNNNNNNNNNNNNNNNNNNNNNNNNNNNNNNNNNNNNNNNNNNNNNNNNNNNNNNNNNNNNNNNNNNNNNNNNNNNNNNNNNNNNNNNNNNNNNNNNNNNNNNNNNNNNNNNNNNNNNNNNNNNNNNNNNNNNNNNNNNNNNNNNNNNNNNNNNNNNNNNNNNNNNNNNNNNNNNNNNNNNNNNNNNNNNNNNNNNNNNNNNNNNNNNNNNNNNNNNNNNNNNNNNNNNNNNNNNNNNNNNNNNNNNNNNNNNNNNNNNNNNNNNNNNNNNNNNNNNNNNNNNNNNNNNNNNNNNNNNNNNNNNNNNNNNNNNNNNNNNNNNNNNNNNNNNNNNNNNNNNNNNNNNNNNNNNNNNNNNNNNNNNNNNNNNNGGGGGCGGCGGGGGCGCGGAGCUGAGCAGGAGAUGCGCGGCGAUGGCGUGGAGGAGCUGGUCCGACCCGGGCGCCGGCUGGGGAGGCGGCGCGGGGUAGUAAUAGCCGCCGCCGCACGGCGCCGGGGCGGGGGGCGGCGGGGAGCAGCCGCAGGCGCAGCAGGAGCAGCAGGCCGGCGGGGCCGGGUCGUGGUGGUGGUGGCGAGACAUUCCCGGGGGCCGCGGCGCGGGAGGGGCGAUGGGAUCGGCGCGGGGUGGGAGGGCGGAGGCGGCGGGGGAUCACAUCGGCAAGGGAAAGGGAGCGGAGGAAGUGUGCGCGAGUGGGAGUGGGAGUGGUGCCCCCGUUCCCAUGUGCGCGCCCGCAGGGUGUGCCGGCCGUGGCGCCGCGGCGUGGGUCACCGACUGGUGGGGCGCGCUCUGGCGUCGCCAGGGUUUAUCCAUAGAUCUGCUCACAAGACACGAAAUCAAGCCGCCCGUGGGUCGCACGAAGUGUGUUUGGUGAGGUUUUGCGAACUGGACUCUUGUGCUCGACGCGAUCUAGCAGCUCGUCCAUUCACUCGUUCUUUGUCGCCUCCACAAAAGCCUCGGGGCCUUUUCAUCCAUUAGAUUGUAAUAAAUCAACAAUACUUAACUUUUUCUUUUUGAACAGGGCAUAACCCCUUUCCAUUACUAUUCAAAACGGAAAUACAAUGCUUCGGGCAUAAGGAAGCUAGAAAAGGGAGAAGCGAGCUCAAGGCACCCCUAGGAAACCCACUGUGAGCACUCGUCAUCGAGCAGCUCACCAUGAGGCGAAAAUCCAGUGACACCUAUAACCAACUAGACUAACCAGCACGACCAGGGUACCAACAAGCAAUCCCGAGAGGAACAAGACUCAGGAUGGGCAUAAAGCAAAAGCCCUCGUAGGGGCAAUGGUCAAAGUCUAACACAUAGUUAGGCACUUCCGAUGGAAGGCGGGACAUCAAACAUCUCAUCAAUUCGUCGCUGGUUCAAUUGGGGCCGCGCAGAACCUCAUCAUAGUCGCCGCGUUAGUCUUGAGCAUCUUGGCGCCACGUUCCAUUGCAUCGCGAUCAACUCCAGCCAUCAGACCUGCCCAGUAGUUCAAGAAACCACACACAGAGAUAACUACAUCAAAAGGAGUCCUCAACUGUUUACGUUCAAAUGUGGCAUGGUUGCGACAGUUCCACAUAGCCCAGCAUAUCGCAGCAAGGCCAAAGGUGUAGAACUUAGAUCCAUCCGGCAAGAAGAUAUAACAGUAGGAGAAGUAUUGCCACGGAUUGUUCGGGCAUAAUUCCAUGCCCAGGACACACCCAACGGUUCCAAACUACCUUGGCAACAUGGUAAGUGAAGAAAAGGUGUUGCGAGGUUUCUCUAUCCAUACAGAAGGAACACUUCUAAUUUCCAACCCAGUUUCGUCUGUUCAUGACAUCUCGUGUCAACACGACAUCCUAGAAUAAUUGUCAUAAAAAGAUUUGAAUCUUAAGACGGAAUUUAGCUUUCCAAAUCCAUCUAUAGUCACAGCCGGCUAAAAUGCCUUUCCAAACAUGCGUAUACACAUUUAGUUGAGAAGCGUUUAUUCUUCCCAAGAUUCCAUACCACUUGGUCCGGCUCAUUGGAGGGCAACCAGGAGUCAACAACGCGCCUGACUUCCCCCCACUGAUCCAGCAGUAGAGGGUGCAAGUCCCUCCUGAAGAAAUCGGCGCUAACAUUUUUUUAAAAUCAACAACUGUAACCUCCUAGUCAUUGCAUAUACUAUAUAGUUCAGGUAAUCUAUCCCGCAAGGGGGGAUCGUUGGCAAUGGAGUCAAACCACAUUGUAGCAAUGUGCCAGAUUUCAGGUUCACCCCUCUUCCAGCCAGAUAACAAUCUUUGACCUUAAUAAUGGCUUUCCAAAUCGGUGAAUCUCUUAAUCUACUUCUCAUUGAUGUUACCGUAUCUUUUUUCAAGUACUUAGCUCGAAUCACAUCCUGCCACGACCCUUGUUGUGUCUCGAGUUUCCAACACCAUUUCAUGAGUAAGCUAAUAUUUUGCUUACGGAGAUCUUUCACCCCAACCCCCUCUUUUUUUCUUAGAUCUAUAGAUCCUGGUCCAUUUCAGAAGAUGAUAUCCCACUAGUUUCUUUCCAUAAGAACUUUUUACGAUGUUUGUCUAGUUUGUAGAUCACCAUUUUGGGAAGUAAGAACAUAGCCAUGUAGUAAUAAACAAUGCUACUAAGGGAGGAAAUUAGGAGUAUAAGUCUUCCUCCCAAGGAUGCGACAUUACCAAUCCACGAUUCACCACAUCUAAGGAAUUUGUCAUCAACAAAACUCAAAUCCAUGCUACGCAAGGUGGAGUAGCUUACCAGCACUCCCAAGUAUUUCAUCAGGAAAUGCCUAAUCUGACAUUUGAACGGUUCAACAUAGGAAGCCAGUAUAUUAUCAUCUCCCCUAAUACAUAAGAUUUCGCUUUUGAGGAAGUUUAUUUUGAGCCCUGACAUAAGCUCAAAGAUAUACAAAAGGAGUUUCAAGUUAACAACAGCCUCCUCAUCAUGUUCAAAGCAAAUGACCGUAUCGUCAGCAUAUUGGAGGAUGGCCACGCCUCCCUUUAUGAGGUCCAGAGCGAGCCCAAUCAUCAUUUUUUUUGAGCAUUUCCAAUCAUCUUAGAAAGGGCUUCUACAACAAGGUUAAACAGAAAAAAGGGGAGGCUGGUUUGGGUUUUGUAUAGCUUCCUUUUUCCUUUUGGGCCCGUUUGGGACCUCAUUCUUUGUACCAUUUAUUUGAAAAUCAACAAAAAUACGCAACAAAGUCAUGUUGUUUCCUAAAUAAAAAAGGGAUCGCCCUGGCGAACACCUUUGUAGCUUUGGAAAUAAGGCCCCAUUUCAUUAUUGAGUUUUAUGCUUACCGUACCAUACUACCAUUAUUCAUGAUCUUUUUCACCUAGCCACACCAAGUUGUACCAAACCCUCGGUUACUAUGGCAUUCAAGGAGGAAAUCCCAGUUUAUUUUGUCGUAGGCUUUUUCAAAGUCUAGCUUAAGUAUCACGCCCACUCUUUUCUUUUCAUGUGUAUGGUGUAACACCUCAUGGAUAGUGAGGAUUCCAUCCAUAAUAUUCAUGUGCUUAAUAAAAUCAUUUUAGAGUUUGUCAGCAAAAAUAGCUACUCUGUUGUCCAUCACCUUAGUGAUCAACUUAUAAGGACACUCAAGGAGACAAAAAUGGGGCGAUGUUGUUGAAUUUUAUUAGCACCAUUCAUUUUAGGUAUCAAGGUGAUCACCCCAUAGUUUAGACGAGCCACGUCUAGGGUGUUAUUAUGAAAAGCAUGGAACAAAUGCAUGAUGCUAGAUUUAACAAAAUCCCAACAAUGCUUAUAGAACUCAGCCGGGAUAUUGUCUGGGUCAGGUGCCCUAUUACUAUCCAUGUUGAACAACGCUUUUUUCACCUCUUCCUCCGUGAACUCACUAGUUAGGAGUAUAUUAUCCUCUGCAGUGAGUUUCUCUUCUUCCGACCAGGUAUCUGCGGAUAGGUGAAAUAAAUUCCCCCUGGCCGGACCGAAAAGAUUUUUUUUAGUAGGCGGUAGCAUGGGCCAAAAGAUUAGUCGUGCCCUCAAUCACCGUCUCCCCAUCGGUGAAAGAGUGGAUGGUGUUCUUACGCUUUUUACCAUUGGCUACACGAUGGAAGAAGGUUGUAUUUUGGUCCCCUUUCAACAACCACCACUCAUUCGAGUGUUGUAGAUAAAACAGUUCCUCGUUAGCAAGUAUAUCAUUAAGUACCAUACACAAGGAUGUUUCUUCUCUCAUAGACCUCAGGGUCGAGAGGCCCCUCUUCUUCUAGUGUUUCAAUAUCUUCUAGCUCCAUUCGAAUAUCUUUUUUUCUUUUCCUAGCAUGGCCAAAUGAAUGGAACACCCACUCUUUGAAGUAUUUUUUGAGUCUUUUGAGCUUAAUAUUAAGAAUGUCAAUGGGAUCAUCCGAGGAAACUGGUUAUCCCCAUAUCUUUUUGCAGUGGAGAAGAAUUUCUCAUCUUUGAGCCAGCUAAGCUCAAAUCUGAAUUCGCGUUGGUGGAAGGUUUUCGCUAUCAUCGAGCCUGAUGAUAAUAGCAGGGGGUUCCGAAACAUCGAGCCUGAUAAUUAACAUGGAUCGAAGGGAGUAGAAUUUGCUUGAAAAACAUAGGAAUAGUCGUUUGAAUGGAACAUAGAAAAACACAUGAAAGUUGUCUAGAUCCUACAUGAAUGGGUUGCAGGGGAUGUUCAAAUUUCUACGGAAUACAUGCAAAGGAAUUUGAGUGCCAACACUCGUUUGAUCCAAAGGCAAUCCACUAAUACUUAGGGAAGAAUCCUAUAGAAUUCUCUCACCCAAACCUAGCAUUUAGGAAUAGUACACGAAGUUGAUAGGAUGUCGUUUGUCAUCCUAAGGAACUGUCGUGCCUCCUUCACACACACAAAAUGUACUUUGAGUGGAUAUGUAGAUUCCUCCAAAAAUGAAUAGUAUUCCUACAAAAUUCCCGUGCGCAUUUUCUGCAAACCGAAUGCAUCUAUAGGAAAAUUUCCCCUGGAAUCUUUGUUCCUAUGCUUCUCCUGUAAAAGUCCUUCAAACCGAAUGAGGCCAGAGGAGGGCCUGAGCCAUUCGUCCGGACCACCCUUGCUGAACAACGAGAGAGCAGGCGACUGAUUUCUGCCAACGGUGGUAGCGUGGCGAUUGCAGUAAGAUGCACCAGCCACACACACGAUCAUCCCCAGCCGCCAGGCACACCACGGGUGCACAGAUAGGCAGGCUGCUUUCAGUUUCAACUAACAACGGGCUGACAACACAGAGGGAACAAUCGAAGCGAAACACGUGAUUCUGAACCUAAAUGAGCGGACUUAUAACAGUUCAUCGGGUAUCCGAGCACAACAGAAGCUGUACAACAGCACAGGUCAAGUCAGUGAACACCAGCCAGCAACCAACACAGCUCUUCAGCAUAUAUAUGUGUUCUGUUCCAGGCUUCUAGGGCAAAGACUACAGGGGGAAAAGAACACAAAGAAACAGCUAACUUGCACGUCAUUCUUCCUUCUUGAAAAAAUUGUCUGGCAAGGC
rnacentral:lncRNA from 1 species